rnacentral:lncRNA from 1 species
UUUUUUUUUUUAGUAUGAACGAAUAAAUGACAGAAAACCCUCCCGUCCCACCUAUACCAUGAAUGUAAAAGUUCAAAUUAAUGUCUCAAAUUUUCUCCACAGAAAACAAACUAAGGAAGAGCUGAAAGAUUGAUUUUGAUUUUUUCUUUUUAGGUCUGAUUAAAUUAAUCAUGGCAACCUUUUCCCAGUUAUCCUUAUCACUGGAAUAAUAAACCAAGUUUUCCAAGUAUAGUGUCAGAACAUCUUGAGAACCAGGGCCAUCCCCAGUGAGAAGAAAAUAACGAGAUAAGAUUAUUUUUGACACCCUAUACAGUCACAGGGUUCGGGUCAAUAGACAUACUUCUCCAUCCAACGAGGAAAACGAGGCCCUCGAAACGUUGGUCUGAGCUCCCAGCCAUUAACACCUUCGAGUACAGAACCUUUCCCUGGUAGAAGAGUCAGCAGAAGCGCAGAUAAUCCGUUGAUCAACCUCACAACAUUAUUCAAAGACUCAUACGUAAAUGUCUUCACGGACCUGCACUAAAAAGAUAUACACGAAGGAAAGAAGUUACUUCUACAAUGAGAUAAGCUCAACUAGUAAGAAAUCCAAUCUUAUGAGGAAAUCAAUUUAAACAUACGAAAAGAAAUUCUAAGACGCAAGUUAAAAAAAGCACCUACAAAUUAAAAAUUGCAACAAGAAAAACAAAAGAAAGCUUAAGCAAUAAAAACAGCAACCAUUUCUUCAUUGAAACAAAAAUACAGAGAGAGAUGGCAAAUAACUAAAUUAGAUAAAAGGAAAAAGAAAACCAACUCGAUACAAUAAAAACCAAAAAAAUUCCUCAAGUGAAACAGCACCGAUUUCAAUAAACUAUUCCAACAUUCAAAAGAGGCAAGGCAUUCAUAUCGAAAUCCAACUCCAGUUCUAUUGUACGUGACUUAUAACUUGCACUAAUUAAUUUUCCAGAUUUUCCUUCCUCUCGCAUAAUAAUGAGAUGAGAGAUACGGUUGUUUUAGAAAUUUAGACAAAUCUUCCACCGCGAAAUCAGCUUUGAGAAAACAUAUCAUGAACCGCCAAAAACAAAAAAAAACAAAAAAAAUUCCCGCAAAAAACAAUAAAAUCGAAUCCGAAAACAAAAUCGAUCAAAAACUGGAAAAGGGAAGAAAGAUGAGAACUCACUCUUUGGUAACAGCAAGCACAUCGUCAACAACUCGUUGAAUCAUUUAUUAAGGUACUUCAAUCUCUUUCCGAUCCGAAAAAAAUUACGGAAUCGGAAAAAGAGAGAGAUUAAACGAAAUCCAAACCUAAUUAGAGGCGGAAAUUGAGGCAAGGAAUCGGAGAAAGAAGCGGAAAACCUGAAGAAGAAAAUAAGGAAAUAGCAAAGAGGACAAACCAAAGGGAGAAUUGAAUAUACUGAAAGAGAAACAACGGCGAUUCUUGACGUAAAAUGGAAGUCGGUUAUUUGUUUGCUUUAGGCCGGUGGUGACUGUGUCAGUCAGGUAAUGCCUCGCGCGUGAGCUUUCUCAUAAGGGAAAACAAGCAACGUGUCCCACCCGUUUCGGAUUUGAAUUACACGUAGUUAUGACGUGGAUUACCUCCCUUCACUUUUUGACACACGUGCUUGCGGCUUAAUCUUGACCGUCUAUUCUGGUGGUCUCACUACGCAUUUGUAAGGCGCAGAUGCGGUCGGUUGGGCCGACUUGGACGACCCGUUCCUGCCUGAAAGUACUUGAAAAUGGGAUGCUCACAUUAAAAUUCAUUAAUAAUGAAAGGGGAAAUUUUUAAAACCACGAAACUCGUGAAAAUAUAUUCGGUACUAUAAAUUAAAUUAUUAUUUAGGUCUAAUGAAUAGAUCCGUGUUCACAUUUAGCUCACUUAGAAUAAAUUAAUUGGGAGAUGUUAAUUAAAUAUAAAGUUUUUUCAUGCAUUUGGCAUGUUAGGUUUUAUAAAAUGUUUUUAAAUAUUUUUCAAAAAACUUUUGAUAAUUUUUUAAAUUAUUCAAUUUAAUUUCACAAAAAGUUUCACAUCUCUCGUAUGUAAAGGUUGGUGGUUCUUCUUCCUUCCUUUUCCAUCACAUCUUUCUCAAUUUCUUCUUUUUAUUAUUGGGUCCCACCAUCCUACUCCUUACGAAGAUGGAAAAGGUUUGCUAAUUUCGUUUAAUUAGGAAAUUUGCGACAAUAAUAAACUUUUAUUAUUAUUUAGCGUACUAUUUACUAUUUUCUUCUUAAACUAAAACAAUUUAGUUUCCAAACAUAUACUAUCGUAACAAAAACUAAAAUAAUCUAUAAUUAAACACAAACGGUUACAAUCCAACGAUAAAAUAACUCAUUGUUUGCCUGUAUGUCUUCUUAGUUUAAGCAAAAAAAUAGUAAACACUAUAACAAAUAAUUAAAAUAUGACAAAUGUAAAACAGUAAAACUAUCACAAGGAUUGUAUCUGAUAAGAGUUUUGAAAUACCGUUGAUAGUAACAAUUUAAAAUGACGUUUAAACUAUAUCUUAUAUAAAAGAAUUCAUAGUAAACGUUUAUAAAUUUUUAUUAAUGACUAAUGAGCGAUAGAAGUUUAUCGACUGUAUCUAUUAUUUACAAAAUUUAAAUUUUGUUAUAUUUUAUAAAUAUUUUAGUUGCUAUAAUAUAUUUGAAAAUUUCUCUAGACUAAUGUAUAAUACGUGAAAAUGUUAAAGAAUAUUGUUAAGUUAAACUUCAUACUACAUUCCCAAAUUUUUUAUCUUUUAAUGUUAAAAUUUGUGAAUUAGAUCAAGAAAAUUGUUAAAUUUCAAUGAGAUUAAAGAAAAACAACAUUAGGCAUUGACAUUAUUUUUAGAAUCAAUUUGAACAUAUAGUAGGAUUAAUUAAUGAUAAUUUUAUGAUAUUAGUGUUUAAUUUACGAAACUGUUGAGAAAAGGAUGUAAUUAAUUUUUGUAUAGAGUCGUAGUUGACUAAUUAUUCAUUGAUUUAUUUGUCUUCAGAACUAAUUGUAAUGUUUUUAAAUAUUAAUUACAAUUUUGGUUUAAUAAAUUAAAACAUUUUUAGUAUUGAAGAAAGAAGCAACAUUAAGUUCGAUCAUAGGAAUGGACCAAAUAAUUUUUAAUAUAAAGUGUACAUUUUUUUCAAAAUAGGUUCUUAAUGAGGCUUAGAGAAUUUAAAAUAUUCGUAUGGUCUAAAAUAAUUCGAAAAAAUAUAUAAGAUAUAGUUUAAACGUCGUUUUAAAUUAGUUACUGUCAAUAGUAUUUCAAAACUUUCAUCGGAUACAAUCCUUGUGAUAGUUUUACUGUUUUACAUUUGUCAUAUUUUAAUUAUUUAUUAUAGUGUUUACUAUUUUUUGCUCAAACUAAGAAGACAUACAGACAAACGAUGAGUUAUUUUACCGUUGGAUUAUUAUAAUUGGGUUGUAACAGUUUGUGUUUAAUUAUAGAUUAUUUUAGUUUUUGUUACCAUAGUAUAUGUUUAGGAACUAAAUUCUUUUAGUUUAAGAAGAAAAUAGUAAAUACUACAUUAAAUAAUAAUAAAAAAUAGUAAAUACCAGCAAAUGAAUAUUUUGAAAUAAUGUUAACUACAUUUAAUUGAAAACUUUUAAAUAGUAUUUACCGUAACUAAAUGUAGUUAUUGUAGUCUCGUAUAAUUCUUGCCUCACACACACAUUUUAAAUUAUUUACUUUUAAAACGCAUACUAUUAUAAGUCAAACUAAAAUAUUUCAUCCUCCAAACAAUAAUAAUAAUAACCAACUUUUUGUACCAAAUACUGGAAAGAAUCUAACUUAGGAACAUUUAUUAUAUAUCCUUUUCUUCAAAACAAACAUUCAAUGACUGUCAUUUUUCAAUAAUAGAUUAUUGUUGGGUUGGGAACACAACUUUCAAGUUGGUUUAACUAUUAUAGAGAGAGAUCCAACUAUGAAUGUUUAAAAUAAUAAAGAAUGACAUAUUGGAUCUAACGUAUUUCCAUAUUGGCUUACUGCUGAAAUAAAUUAUAUAAAAGUACAAUUGUCUUUUGAACAAAAAUUGACAAAUAGAGAAAAUAAUGUGUUCUUGCAAAUUCUUGCAAACUUUGCUCAUUUGAAUAUAAUUGAAGUGGUGACUAUGGUUAAAGAAAUAAAUAAAGUGGCCAUUGUGGAGAUAUGAAUCAAUGAAUUUGGAGUCUUUGACCAAGUUUGUUGCCUUUGUUGUUAUUAUUGCAAAAGAAAUAUUUCAAAAGUGUUAGGCUUUAAUUUGUGUAAUGUUUUAAAAGUCUUAACAUUUUAAUCUAUAGAAUCAUGGGUAAGGUUAUACACAGAGUUCAAGACUCACUUAGCAUAAACAUUACCUUCAUCAUACAUUAGAAAUUUUAAAAGAGCAAGAGAGUGUAAAUAGUGAGAAAGUAGAAAUUAUAUAACCUUUUAUUCACGUGUGUCACUGUUGUUUAAGCGGAUUUGAGUCUAUGCUUGUGAUAGAUCAACAACGAAGGUUUUUCAAAAAGGUGAAAAGGUUCUCACGAUCACGAUGAUACUGCUUCGUUGAUUAUUUUUGUACUUAAAAGAUUCCUUAUUUUAUUGAGCAAUAAAAGAUUUUGAUUUUUGGAAUUGAGAUUAUUUAACCUUCAACUUAAAGUUUUAUGUUUGUUUUUUAUAUAAAAAGAAUGUAAUGAUUAAACAAAUAGAAAAUAAAAAACAAUUUUUUUCCAACUAAAAAUUUUAAUUCAUUACAAAUUGUCACCUCGCUUAACAACGAAAAUAUAAAUAUUUAAAUUUAUGACUAUUUGAAAGUUGACAUAUAUCUCAAAUUAAAAUUGCAUAAAUUUGAUCAUUUUUAUGACUUCUCAUUUUAAUCGUUCUAUCAAGUUAAUUAUUUUGAUUUAAUUAAAUAUUAUUUAUUUAAACUAAAAUUAAAUUGGAUUCAAAACUAAGAUGUUUGAUAUCAUAGAAAAAUUAAAUAUUUUAAAAUCUAAAAUAUGCAAGAUUUAAAAAUAAAACUACUUAAUUGGGCUUGUCACUUUUUUAACUUUCAUUUAACAUAUCACAUCACAUUUAAAAGUCUAUAUUAGUAAAUCUCUUACUUUCUUUUACUUCUUAAUUGUGAUAAAUUUUAAAAUAUAUUAAUUACAAAAUUUUCUCAUUUCAAACAAAAUAGUUAAAUUAAAAUUAGUUUUCACAUUUUAAAUCAUUACUCCAACUUUCAUAAAUCCAAACACAAGGUAAGAAGUAAGAACAUUUUAUACAAAAACACCUAUCUAUAAACAAACAUCAUUAAAUUAAACCUUUUAAACAAAUUUAAUUUUCGAAGCUAUUUUCUAUAAUUUACAAUAAAAUCCUUGGUUCAACGGGAGGAGUUGAAACGACGUCGUAGAAGGUGUAUGGCUGAGACGAGUGGCUAAUUACCCGGCUUAAAAGAUCGCGAGAAUGGGACCCGCGACGAGUACCAUUUAGCUAAGAGCCAACCCACGCGUCAGCAACUAAGCCACUCAGUCGAAGCUCCUUUUACAUUUUCUCUGUGAACCACUGAACCUUACUCUUGCUGUACCAAAUCACUCUUCAUCCUUCAAACAGUUCUUCAAGCACGCUGAGAGAAGAGGGCGACAGAGGCCAUGGAAGCUGCAAUUUGCGGUCGAGUACCUCUUUCACCCAACCAAUUCUUCACCUCAACCAAGCCAGGUAUUCAAAUUCUUUCCUAUUUCCUCCUCUUAACUCUUAAUUUGUCUCUACUUCUUUUGGGUGUGUAUGCUAUGUUCUUAAUCCAAAUUCAGAUGAAGGACUUUGAGAAAUUUUGGUUUUGUUGAUGAAUCUUUGCAUAAUUCCUGGGUUUGUGGAGAUUGAAGCUUUUGGCUCCUUAGAAUGAGUAUAAUUAAUAUUAUUUACCGGGAAAAUCUGUGUAGAAUAUUAUUUUCCUGUUUGUAUGAAUUUUGUUUUUGUCGUAGAGGAGAGAAUAGAGUGUUGCAUUAUGAGGGGAGAACUACAAAUGGGGCCUAAUUGGUGUUUAGAAGAAGAUCUGAAGCUUUUUGUUUGUUUGUGUCUGUAUUUACGCUGCAGUAGUUUAAAGCUUUCGUGGUUGUCUAGUAAAAUAUUGUUUGUGGUGGGUGGAAGUAUUGAUAUAUUUAAAUAUAUUGUAAUUCAAACAUGUCAGGAGGUGGUAUUUUCAAAUCCUGUAGUGUCAUUUUUACCAGAUAAUGUGAAGCUGCGAUAAAAGGAGCUCCUUAUCUAUAUUUAAGAUUGUGAGGUUCCUUGGCAUGUUUCCUCAAAAUAAUGCCACUUUUGGUUCUCCAUUUUUUAACCAAAUAUUUGUUUGGGCUUUAUGGGAUAUGUUAACAUAUUAGGUAAUAUGAAGUUUCGUCUUAAAACCAAUAGGUAAUGAGAGGUUAGAGGAGUAGCUCAUCUAUAUUGUUAAGAUUAUGAGAUGGUCGAUCUUCUAAUAUGCUAGUUUCAAUAUCUGAGGUCUUUUAAUUUCUCUGCUAUGGGGAUCAUCGACACUUUUAUCUCCAAUGUUGCAUUUUGAGAGAUAAAACACUAAAAGGUAAAUUAUGAUAAAGCUUUUCAAUUGGAACUUUGAGUAGAAAGACUGCCGUCUUUAAAAAACUAUUUACUUUUUGCAUCAAUAUAAAGUUGGCAACAAAAUUAAUCAUAAAAAAUUAUCAACAUUUGAAGAAGGGUAACAUUCUCCCAUUUCGUUCACACCAAAGGUUAAAAAAUCAUCCCUGUUGACAGCAAGCUAUAAUGAUAUCUUCACACCAUGGUAAGGAUGACCCAAAAAAAAUGGAGGCAAGAAUGUCAUAUAUGUUGCUAGACAUAAUCAUUGACCAACCAAAAGCAUCCAAUAUCAAGAGGCAAAAGAGAAACCUAGUAAAAAGAUGGCAUAGAUGUUAAGGAAACACACCAAAAAGCAGAGUGACAAACGUGGAGCGUUCUCUUUUGAAGGUCAUCAGUAGCUCCCACAAAAAGAUUUAAAUUUCCUUCAGAUAAGCUUCCUUCCAAAUCAACAAAAAAGUUUUUUCGGAGAUGAGUCCUUAGCUUGGAUAGAAUCCUUUGUUAAUAAACGUACAUGAAAGCUUUAGAGGGAUUAAGAGGUCAAAUCCACGAAUUGUUGGCAUUCCUCUUACUCUUUGGCUUGUCCUGGGGGCAAAGAGUUGGGAUGUUUGGCGAUAUUCACCAAAGUAUUGCUUCAAGUCUGCAGGCAAAGAAUUUAAUAUUAAUCCAGCCCAUGUUGCAUCUAAGACCUAGAAAAGUAAAAUACAUUAAAUGAUUAUUUAAAUUCAACUGAUUAAGACAUAUACUCUUGGCUUAGAGGUUAAAGGGUCAAAGGCUCGACCCUUCUCAUUGUUGACUAGUUUGUGAAUCAUGCAAAUGGAUAACCAUAAAAGAGGUUCAUUGUUAGAACUAAAUUUGCAAGGAUCUUAGAUCCUAUUUAUAUACUCUUCAAAACACCUUUGAAUUUGUAAUUUGAGAUAAAUAUCAAUGGCCUAUUCUAAACGUUAAUAUUGAUAAUUAUGGUACGUAGUUUUACCUGCAAAAUUGUGAAGGCUGUUCAUUUUAUUAUUCAUUGGAACUUGCAUGACAUCUUCAUACAAUUUUACCCAUUUAUAAUUGCUAUUUGUGUCAUAGGGGAUAAAUACUAUUUUCAUAAACAAUGUAGAAACCGGAGUGCCUUAAUGAUGAUAUCAGUUGCUGAGCUUGGAAAAGGCGGGGGGUUGUUGGAAAAACCAGCAAUAGAGAAGACAACUCCGGGCCGUGAAUCUGAGUUUGAUGUUAGGUACAAAACACUUUUCCUUUUAAUGUUUGUCACGUAUAAGCAACUAAAGAUCUGUAUGCAUUAGAGAAGGUCUCAACUUCCAAAAUUAUUUUGAUAUUCAGGAAAUCAAGGAAAACUUCUCCACCUUAUCGAGUGUUGCUACAUAAUGACAAUUUCAACAAGCGGGAAUACGUUGUUCAAGUUCUGAUGAAGGUGAUUCCUGGAAUGACACUUGACAAUGCAGUCAACAUAAUGCAGGAAGCGCAUUACAAUGGGAUGGCAGUGGUAAUUAUCUGCGCUCAAGUAGACGCAGAAGAUCACUGCAUGCAGCUUAGAGGCAAUGGCCUUCUCAGUUCAAUCGAGCCUGCAAGCGAUGGUUGUUGAAUAAGAAACAUAGAUUGUGUAAUGUACUCUUUUUCCUCCCUUAGUUAUCAGCCAUAUUAAAAUUGCAUGUCCUCAACUGCUACAUUGUUGCAAGUUGCGCCUAUGUACAUAAAUAGAGAUACUUCAUAAACAAACAAUCUUCAAUUGAUGAAUAUAAUUAUCACUCUAGUUAUGAUAUGAGUUGUAUACACAAACACAUCUUCCUUUUACUAAAUUUUUUCUUUACUCGACUUCCAUGUGGCUUUUUGUGCUCUUAUGGAUGCAAUUCAUAGAGUGGGAUCUUACUUUUACUUGGUAGGACUUAGUUUGAGUAAAUAUUUGCAAGUUCUUCCUUUGGUCCCACUCUCAUGCAUACAUUGAUAAUUUUUCUAAGAAUGUUGUUCUCUCUGUUGCUUGAUUUCUUGAUAUAGAUUGAGACGUCUAGUGCUUUAACUCUAUAUUUACACAUUUUCCAGUUCCAGUCUUGGGAAGUAGUUCAGAACAGCUGGAGUUUCCAGUUUGUAGAAAUCACCUUUUCGUUAGAAUACUUUUUGAACGAGUUUAGUGGAUAAAGACAACAAUAGAAUACUUUUUGAACGAGUUUAGUGGAUAAAGACAACAAUUACCAUCCUAACGAUGGAUAACAAUUGGUGAACUGUUGUGGAUGGUUAAUUAAGCGGUUGCAUUCUUCACCAUUUUCUUGAAACUAUAACAGUGCUUUCCAUCUAUUACAAAGCUUUUCAAUACACCUGUGAAUUUAAUGAGAUAAAACCAUACGAAUAGAUCGAUAAAUUUAUUUUCUAGAGUGGCGCAGGGCUGAAAGAGAGAUGAAUGGGCUGCACUAACUCUUGCAGGACUCAACAUGGACUGCCCUUGAAUUACUGCAACAGCUGCAGGUAGGUCCAAUAUCCAACCUAUACUACUAUUAUUUCUUUCCUUAUUUAUGAUAGCAUGACAAAUUAACUUCGAAAAAUGUUAAGAGAAAAAUCAUAGACUUUUCUAUCAUAUAAUUGAAGUAGGUGAACUAAGGUACCGAAGUAUCUCCAUUGUAUUUAUCAUUCUUUUUAAAAGAAUCCGUUAUUAAGUAUGGUGGGUGAAUAUUUAUAACUUUCAACAAACUAUGCACACUUUUAAACUUAAACUUUAUAAAUAGAAAAUUGGUUCAAUACUAAUGUAUUUUUUGUUUUUGUACUUUCAUUUUACAUUUUAUCAUUCUACUUAAAAAAAAAAAGUAAACAUGUUAGUCUUAAGUUGGUACAUAUAAACAUAUAAAACGCAAUAAUUAAAAUAAACAAAUUUAUUCUACCAAAACCCGGAAAAAUGUAUCUCUCUCUUUGUUUACAUAUUGAGAAAAAUAUUUAAGAGAGUGUUUGAUCCACUGGACUUCGUAAAAUCAAUAUUAAAAUUUCAUAAUAUUGAAAAAGUCUAAACAACUUGAAAUGCUAAAUUUACAAUUUUCGAACUCUGGGCGAAAGAAUUCUAACUCGGCUCGACAAACAGCUUCAUUUUCUUUUCUAUUACUAUUAUUAUUUAUUUUUGCCCUCGUGAUUGGAAGGUAAGUCCAUGACUCUAUUAGAGUAGGUAGCAUUUAUUAUUGACUUCAUAUAUCACGUCUAUAAUUUAUAUUUAUAUUUUUCUUAUUUUUUUUUUCAAAAAGGAAAUUAUUUAUGUAUUUUUCACUUCGAAAACGACAUUUUUCAAAAACUAAAUCUGUUGCAAUCUCAAAUUAUAUAUAUAUUUUUGAAAAUUUGAAAAUAAAAAUAAUUAUAAAAUUUUGAAUAAUUUUCUACAGAUAAUGCCAACUAGGGAGCAGUGCCUUUGCCCCCAACCCCAAACCAAACUCAACCAUCUUCUUCCCCAUUAAUAAAAACUUCACUUCCUUUUUAAAUCCCCAACUCUCCAACUCCACUUUCUCACUGCAACUUUUUCUCCCUAACAAUGGCGUUAGCGACUUCAAAUCUCCUUUUCCUCUUCCUCUUUUUUCUCUCUCUCUUCCCCUUCACUCUCUCCCGCUCCUCCUCACACCUUUCUCCUCACUCCUCUGCUUCUCUCGACGUUUCAGCUUCUCUCCAACAAGCCAACCAGGUUCUCAAAUUCGACCCCACGGCUUCCAUUUCCUUCCAACAGCAGGUUCAUCUUGUUCCUUCCAACUCUUCCUUCUCCUUUUCUCUUCAACUCCACCCUCGCGAUUCUCUUCAUAAUGCUGGGCAUAAGGACUACAAGAGCCUCGUUCUUUCCCGCCUCUCCCGAGAUUCGUCUAGAGUUAAAUCGAUCUACGAUAGGCUUGAAUUUGCUCUCAGUGAAUUGAAGAGGUCGGAUCUUGAGCCGUUGAAAACAGAGAUUCUGCCGGAGGAUCUGAGUACUCCGAUUAUCUCUGGUACCAGUCAAGGAAGUGGUGAGUAUUUCUCCCGUGUUGGUGUUGGACAACCGGCUAAGCCAUUUUAUAUGGUUCUUGAUACUGGUAGUGAUAUCAAUUGGCUUCAAUGUCAGCCUUGUACGGAUUGUUAUCAGCAAACUGACCCGAUUUUUGACCCCAGAAGUUCGUCUUCUUUUGCUUCACUUCCUUGUGAAUCUCAGCAAUGUCAAGCUCUUGAAACGUCUGGUUGCCGUGCUUCUAAGUGUCUUUACCAGGUCUCGUAUGGCGAUGGUUCAUUCACCGUCGGUGAAUUCGUUAUUGAAACGCUGACGUUUGGUAACUCCGGGAUGAUUAACAAUGUUGCUGUCGGUUGCGGCCAUGACAACGAAGGAUUGUUCGUUGGAUCGGCUGGAUUGCUCGGACUCGGCGGUGGAUCAUUAUCCCUAACUUCUCAGAUGAAAGCGUCGUCGUUUUCAUACUGUCUCGUCGACCGUGACUCCAGUUCGUCUUCAGAUCUCGAGUUCAAUUCCGCUGCACCUAGUGAUUCAGUGAAUGCUCCUUUACUCAAAAGCGGAAAAGUCGAUACAUUCUAUUACGUCGGACUCACCGGAAUGAGCGUCGGCGGUCAGUUACUCUCAAUUCCUCCUAAUCUCUUCCAAAUGGACGAUUCCGGUUAUGGCGGCAUCAUCGUCGACUCAGGAACUGCGAUAACUCGGCUACAGACUCAAGCCUACAACACUCUCCGUGACGCCUUCGUGAGUCGCACACCGUACUUGAAGAAGACAAACGGAUUCGCAUUAUUCGACACAUGUUACGAUCUGUCGUCACAGUCUCGAGUCACCAUUCCAACGGUGUCUUUUGAAUUCGCCGGCGGGAAGUCUCUGCAGCUGCCGCCGAAGAACUACCUCAUCCCGGUGGAUUCUGUUGGAACAUUCUGCUUCGCGUUCGCUCCAACGACGUCGUCUUUGUCCAUCAUAGGGAACGUACAGCAACAGGGGACACGUGUCCACUACGAUUUGGCAAACUCGGUCGUUGGGUUUUCACCCCACAAAUGUUAGGAAAUUGGAAAAUUAUAAAUUAGGUUUUCUUUUCUCUCUCUUUUUUGGGGGUGUGUGGGAAAUUACGAAGUUAGGGUUGUGAUGAAUUGAAAUUAUAAAUUAAUUUGGGUUUGUUUAAGGUGGGGCAGAUGGAUAUGGAUAAGUAAAUGGGGCCAUGGAAAUCAAUUGGAGAAAGGUUUGUCAUGUGCUCUUCAUAAAUCAAUCAUAAUUGUACUCUCAAGGUUCUGUUGAGUGGCGUGUAUAGUGAAUAGAGUACAAAACUAUUAGCAACUUUGAAUUUCUAAUUACUAGUUAAAGGUAUCCAUUACCAUCUCAUAUAUAUAAAUCUGUCUUAAUUACUCUUGUUUAUAAGAUAAACGAGUUACUUCGAUUAAUUUUUAUAUAGAAUCAUAGAUUUAAUUGAAGAGUUGUUGUCUAGAAAGAAAUGUUGUUUUGUUUAUUUAAUAGAUUAUAAGUUUUAAGUUGUUUUGUGGUAUUUUGACGCUCAUGUACCAAAGUUUCAUGUGAUUGACUAAUGAUUUUUAAAUAAGUUGUCGUACUCCGUGUUUGACUUUUUUUUUUUUUUGAAACAAAUCUUUGUUGUUUCAAACUAGGGAUGUUUGAGCUAGGUUGUGGGUAAAGUUUUAAGAUGAUGUUAUUAUUUUAUAUUUGUUACUAAUAGUAUCAUACAUGAAACAUUGUAUAUUUAAUAAAACUUUGUUGGGUCAUUGUGGUAGGUCAAACAGGAGACAUUCUUUCAAUACUCUAAGAGUAGCAGCCAGCAGGUACUCUCUCUAAACUUACACUAUAAAUUUUCCUUUAUAAAUAAUUUUGCAAUACAAGUGAAUCUUCACUAAUAAUUAAUAAAAGUAGUAUUCAUAGUUUUUUAAAAAAGGGACAAAAAUAUAGAAAAACAACAUAUCAAGAUGAGUUAAUGACUAAGUUUGUAAUGUGAUCAAUAUACUAAAUUUAAACUGUGAAACAAAAAUUUUUAGUAAAAGUAUCUUUCUGGGUUUAGUAAAUUGAAAUUAAUUGAGUUGGAAGAAGAGAGAUAUACUUAUGGAUUGAAACAAAAACAAAAGAAGAAUUAAAAUGAAGAACAAAAGAUGAAAACAAAGAACAAAAACCAAGGGGGAGCUUAGGGGAAAGGAACUUUUACUUUGAAUUGGAGUGGAAGACAGCCAUAAUAAAUGAAUAAUUAAAUGCUAAAAUGUAGGGAUGCCUUAGAAAGGUAAAAAAAGUGAUAGGGUGCAACAAGGACCACGAUAGUGUUUUCUUGUGGACGAAUUACUGGCCACCGAUUUUCAAAUUGGGUGUGGAGCCACGUGGCGUGAUUGUCGGUGCGGUCUAACUGAACCCGGCAUAAUGGUUGGGUUUAUUUAUUGACUUUCAUUUUCUUUAAUAUAUGGUUAGUAAUUAACUUAGUAAUGUAAAUUCAUUAACUUUCACUAUUCCUACUCAAGUUCAAUUAUUUAAACUUUGUUUUUAUGCAAAAUUCACAACCAAAUUAUAUAUGUGUGGUCUUUCUUUUUAAAUACAAAUUAAAGAUAAAGAAAUACAUAAAUGUAUCAAUUAAUUAGCUAACCUCUUAUCAGAAAGAAAAAAAGUUAUUGUACACAUAUAUAUGGAGAAUUGUUGUAAAUAUGUAUAAAAAAAAGGCUUACUUGACCAAAGAAAAUGGAAAUUAUGUAGAAAAAUGAUCGUAAAUGAUAUAAUUGGUGAAAAUAUUUACAAAACGUUGUAAAAUUUAGACUCUAUCACUAACAAACACCCGUAGAAUUCGAACACCCAUUAAUGAUUAUCAUAUCUACUAAUAAUAAAAUAUAAAAUUUUGGUACGUUUUGUAAAUAUUUUGGUUCAUUUUGUUAUAUUUAAAAAUACUUUUAAAUAAGUAACAUUUGAAAUAGUGGUGGAGUAGUGGAGGAAAUUUUUGGAAGAAGUGUGAAUAUAAAUAAUAGUGAUUUCGGGUUCAAAUUCCUCUACCUUCACGUGGUACUAAAAAAAGUUUAGUAUUAUAUAAAAUUAUAAAUAUAUUUUCAUAAUUUAUAAAGAAGAUCAUGCUCUUCUUUAAAGAAAAAAACUUAAAAGGAUCGAAUAUUAAAAUUUAUUAGAAAAAUACUUAAAGUGAUUGAAGGAUUGGAAGUAUGUAAACUAAAACGAAGGAAACAUCGAGAAAGACUAUAAUAUAAUCUAAGAAUUGCUAUUGAAUAAAUUAAAGGGAAGUUUUUAACUUUUUGGAAGACAUUUUACACAUAACACGUUUACAACAUAUAGAAAACAAGUUCUAAAAUAAGCAUGUGGAUGUCAAUUCUUCAAUUUAAUUCUAAAAAAGAAAAGAAAGUGAGAGAGGCUAUGAUUGAUUUAUUCCAGAAAACAAAACAAAAUUGCAUGAGAUGUUAUCAUGUGGGGGAGAGAACCAAAUAUUCUUUGCAAAACAAGAAAUUAGAUAAUAAAUGGUAAAGUUAAUAAACUAGAUUGGAUUGAUUUUAUUAAAAUUAUAGGGCACAUGCCAAAUAUUAUUAUGAAUAAGAACAAAUACAAGUUGUAGUUUGCAAAAGGACAAGAAUGGAGGCGGUGGUUCAUGUGAAUGUUUCAAAAGAAAACGAUAUUACCUGUUUUUUCUUUUCUCAUUUUCAAAUUUUAUAUUUAUUAAUGUCUAUCACGGGUAGAAUAUGAAAUUUUGAUAUAUUUUAUAAAUAUUUGUAGAAGUUUUUGUCAUUUAUAAUAACUCUUCUUUUUUUCUUAACCCUUCUUGGUGUAAUUAUGUAAUAUUACUCUUCCAUAUUAUUUUUUGAAAUAUAAGACAUAAAAGGGCAUCGUUGUAAGUCUCCACACUAUCUAUAUUUAUUGUUUUUUCAUAAUAUAACCUAAGAGCCAAUAGUAAUUAUACAUGUGAAAAUGUUGUAGGUCUCAAUUAUAUGCCGAUAAACUUUAGAGUAAAAUGAGUCAUUCCCUAUGUAAUUAUACAAGACCCGGUUGAAACUUAUAUUUCUACCUAACGUUCUAUCCCUCUACUUCAUAUCGAUAGAAAAAUCAAUGAAAUAGUUGUUUAAAAAGUCAAUUUAAAGUUUGGGAAUAAAGAUAAAGUUUUUGAAAGGUCAAAAGCGAAAAAUUAAAACCUACCACGCUCUAAACUUCAAACACAUUUGGUAUAGUUUAAACAAAAAGACUACGAACAAUUUAUAUAUUGCUCAUUUUAAGAUGGAGAAAUUAUACUUUUAAUUUGAAGAUUGAAAGUAAGAAUACUAUGUAACGUAGAUGAAUUGUACUCAUUUUAAUUCGAUUAUUUUAAACCGUCAUAUUAUUUUUUUGAAAUUCACACACUUCUUAACUUUACAAGAUGAUAGAGAAAGAAGGUCAAAUCAUAAAUAAGAACGUAGGAAAGGAUUAAACAAAAGAGUGGAGCAUUGAAGAUGGAAAUCAAUUUUGCAUUUAUUGAAAAGAUAUUUUAUAUGAAAGAAGGAGAAGGAAGGAAGGCAUGCAAACUAAGAGCUUCCCAAAUGUCUAAUAUUUGGGGAUGGAGAGGUUCGUACUGAUUUUACAUUCAAUCCUCCCUCCUUCUUCUUCUUCUUCUUCUUCUUCUUCUUCUUCUUCUUCUUCUUCUUCUUCUUCUUUAAUCACAUUCCACAAGAACAAAAGUAUUAUGAGAGUAUAUUAUUAUACUUUAUUAAAAUUUCAUCCAUUAAUAUCAGUAGACUCAAAUUGACAUCGUAGACUUUACAUUAUGUACUUUUAGAAGUCGUGACAAAAAUAAAUGAAGUUUAGAGUGAAAUAUUAAAUUAAAGUUUCAUAAAGGUUAGUUUUUCAAGGUUGCAUAUGUCAUAUAAUAGCCAUCUGAUUUAAUCUAUAAUGUCAAAUUGAUAACCAUCUGCCCCAUUUGAUAUUGAUACGUCUUGUCAGUUCUAAAGUAAUUUGAUUUCUUUAUUGUAGGCUUUGUCAGCUUUGGUCAAUUUUGUUCAUGUGUCAAAAUAUCUAUUUGGAACCUUUUUUCUUACUUAAGAAAAUGGUAUCAAAUUCAUCACGGAUUGAGGGUUAAAGUCAAACAUAAUAUGAACCUACUCACACUCACAUUUCCCAACAUACAUGCAUAAUUAAACAUCUCUUACUAUUCUAUCUCUCCACCUUUGAAAUAAUAAUCAAUUACAAGUUAGACCACAAUUUAUUGGAAAUAACUUUUUGACACUGAUUUUUACUCAAAAUGAUUGGUUUAGUCAUCCAAUAAUGAUCUUGAGAUAGAAUCUCUCAAACAUACUGGAAAAAUAUUAUUGUUUACAAUUUUAGAACCUAUUUAUUUAGGUUAAUUAGAGAAAAGAAAAAUAAUUGUUUUUGAAGAAAAUAGUUUCUAUUUAAACCGUUAAAAACCAUUUCAAAAAUUAUUUUGACUUGUUUGAGACAAGAAUUGUCUAAAAUUAUUAUAAUCCAAAUUAAAACAAUCAUUAUUACCCGACUAUAACAACUAAUGAUUUGUAUAACAACUUCUUGCUUUUUUUUUUCUCUCAAAAGAAUGUAUUUUUUAAAAUUAAACAGUAUCUCGAAAAACAUACAAAGGCAAUUCUUUUAAACAAAGGUUUGAACUAAAAAGUAUUUAGCAAGAACAAAUGCUGCACAUGCCAUAGAAGAUCUACCUCUAGCCAAAAUAAGACACAAAAUAGUGAAAACCAACUAAAGACAACUAACAUAAAACAUAUGUUUAUAUCAUAUGAAUGCCAAAAAAGCUAUAAAUUUAAAUCAUCUGACUCCAAAUCCUAAACCCCACGUACUAUUGAAUUGGAGAAAAUGGUUAGUAAGAAGUAAUUAGGUUUUAAAACCCAUCACCAACAUUUUAAAAUUUUGUGGGAUCUACCUACUUAGAACUUGGAAGCACUCCAUAGGAGGCAAGUAAGUCCAUAGGGAAGCUAUUCAACAGAAACCUGAAAAACACAGGCAUACAUGAAGAAGAGAAUGUGAAUGAGAUCAAUUAUUGUUAAACUGGAGAAGAUAAUUACAUGGUCAGGCAACCGAGGAAAUGCAUAUAGAAGAAGAUGACAAGACGGGCAAAGAAAGAGACACCAUUGGUCCAUUGGUCCAUUGGUGAUUGCUAAGAUGAGAUAUUUAAAGCAAUAAAAGUUAGGUAGAGGUAGCUGCCUUUUAUCAAUUCACGUCCUUACUCAACUUUUAUCGGUUGGUUUUCUGCAUGGUGGGGGAGGUUUUUAGCUUUAUUGAUCUCUUCAAAGAUCACAACUUUAUGUCUAAGAGAUUUCAAUCCAAAAGGAAGAAAACAAAGAAAAACAAUGUGAGUACCAUAGAUAGGGUUCAAAAUCCUACGUACACUGAUUGUUUGUUGCUGCAAUACGCUUUUCACCACACGGAAGUUGGUAGUUGAAACUGUAGCAAAGACAGCCAGAGUAUAAAGCAGUUUGAUACAUACAAUAAAUAGAAUGGAGUUCUUUAAGAGUCUAUAAAAAUGUUUAAAUAUUGAACAUUUUCAACUUAUUUGUUCCAGAGCCAUGUUGGUGUUGACAAAUGUUGCGCUUUUGUUGAACCCCUCGAGCAAAAGAAUCCGUAUUGCGUCUUCGCCAACUUGCAAUGUAAAGUUCAACUGAAAAGAAAUGAUUCCAUUUCGAUGGUCAAAAACUAAACUCAGUUAAAUUAUCAACAAGCUUCAUUUAGUGGAAAUAUGAUGCCAUUUUACACACCACUUUCUCGUUCUUCUUCGUUGAAGGGGCGAAGAACAAAAUUUGCUGCAUCCAUUUUCCCUGGAGGUCUCCCUAUGCCUAGAAUAUUUUCACCCAUUUAACAGCUGAUAAUAUAUAGAGGCAGUGUGGAGGUGUUAAGAGAGCCCUAAGACACGUACCAAUUCUUAAUCGAGGGAAAUAAUCACGACUGCCUUUGAAAUGACCAAGAAUACUCCUCAUUCUGGCACAGACAAAAAAGUAAUAAAAGUUUAUACUUCUGAUGUCUAUUGCUCUUCGUAAUGAUUAUUUUAUUUACAAACUUCAUCAUACAAUCAAAACCAGUAAUCCUAGAUCCUUGAACUGAGUUUUCUUGGAUCAGGCGCACACAUGACACCUUUUAAUCUUUUGGCAACUUUCACAUUUACUUGUCAAGUCAACUCAAUUAAAUUCUAUUUCUUCCUCUAAAAAGCUGCAAAGAUUCAAAAGCAAAAGUCUAUCUUCAGAUUUGAAGAAAGUGUGUGAUUAGUUCUUUAUAGCACAAAAACUUUUGCGGCCAAAACUUUUCGAGUAAAUAUUUUAUUUGAAGAAAGUAUACUUUUCCUUGUAUGGAAAAAAAUCAUAACCUUUCAACCAAAAAUCCAUUAAAAUGGAAUAUGCUUAUUUUUUUCCGGAAUGGAAAAACACAUGCAUUACCUCUACUGCCUCACAGAAUAAAAAAUGAAAAAUAAAGAAUACAAGUCAGCAUUACUCAGACACAGAGCAUGGACUUAGAUUGGCCAAAACGCCCACUGAAAGCUACUAUCAUCAUGCAGUAAAUCAAGCUUUCUCCACUUUCACACUUUAUGUAGAAGCUCACUCGUUAAACUAAAUGAAAGAAAUUUCUGUUGAUAUAUACAACAACAAGGCAGAGAAUAUUGAACAUGACUCUGAAGAAAUUAUAUGAAAAUCCACCGCUGUACCUUCUACCUAGUGUGUUAUUAAGGAUAUUGAAAAAUAGAUGCCACAAAACUCAGAAGACUGAGACACCAAAACUGUAGAUUAAAAUGAAUCAUAUUUUCUGUAGAGAGAUAGAAAGAGAAUUUGUCAAUAGCUUAUUUUUUACAUUAUUUUCUAAAUUUAUAUUACUUUUAAAAAAAGUUCGUUCAUCCUUAAGAGGAGGAUAACAUAGCGUGUUCGUGUUUGUGUGUUUUCAGAUGGUAAAAGAGACAUUUACAUAUGGUAAGAAGGUUAGUGCAAGAGAUAUAAACCCUAAAAUUUUGGAUUUUACUAUUUCAAGUGAGCUUCAACUUUUUCUAAAUAAAACAUUGGAGGCUCGUUUUGAAGAUGAAACGGGGUAAGUUCCAAAAAUGAAAAAUGGGAAGGCAGAAAAGUGCCUAGAGGUGAGUCCCGGAAAUGAAACUUGCAAAUAUGAUUUUGGUCUUUAUUAUGGGCUUGUUGGAAGCUUAUGGCUCUUUGUAAGGAGGGUAAUGGUGUGCUGGCCCAAUUUAACUGGCAUUCGGUACAACAAUUUGAUUAUGGGCCUAGCCCAAUAGAAAAUAAGAGUUUGAAACUUGCAAAUAUGAUUUUGGUCUUUGUUAUGGGCUUGUUGGAAGCUUAUGGCUGUUUGUAAGGAGGGUAAUGGUGUGCUGGCCCAAUAUACCUGGCAUUCGGCACAAUAAUUUGAUUAUAGGCCUAGCCCAAUAGAGAAGAAAAGUUUGAAACUCGCAAAUAUGAUUUUGGUCUUUAUUAUGGGCUUGUUGGAAGCUUAUGGCUGUUUGUAAGGAGGGUAAUGGUGUGCUGGCCCAAUAUAACUGGCAUUCGGCACAACAAUUUGACUAUGGGCCUAGCCCAAACACAAGAAGAGUUUGAUAUGCAAAGGGCUAUGACAACCUGUUUAGGAAAAGGAUGAUGAAAGAAAGUUGGGCUGCUUUGUGGGCUGAAGAAAGACGAUUAGCCCAAAGUCAAUAAACCUUAUUGGAGUCCAGAGAUAUAACCCAAAGUAUAUGGAGUUUUAAUUAGUAUAGCCUAAAUACACUUAAUUGUGUAAGUUUAAAAUUAUCAUUGUUUACAUAAAAUACACAUUGAACUUCAAAUUUACAUGGAAAUAAGACCAAAAUGACUAACACUACUUAUAAUUACGAUUAAUAUUAUUAAGAAAAGGUAAGAAAUUAAAGAAAUUCAUAAUUAAAAAUAGUUUUCUCAUUUAGUUAAUUUCACAGUUGUGUAACUAUUAUUGUUUUUUUAGUUUGAAGCAUGUGAGAUAAUUCAUAUAUAUAUAUUUUUUAAAUUUUUUGUGUUUGAUAAAGUGAAAAUAUACAUAUCAUAUACUAUUUGGUAUAUAAGAUGAUUAUUAUAUAUAAAGAAAAAAUAAAUGGUGUAGGAUCCAUACGGCCAACUCACUAAAGUCGUGUCCAUGACUUUGGUUGUCAACUGUUACGACUUCACUAACCUAUUUUUGUCAAUACUUUUUGACAUAUUUUAUUUUUUAUAUAAUUUUUUUAAAUAACAUUAUUUAGAAAAAAGGGGUAAUUUGAAUAGUUUUAUGUUUUGCUGAUGAAUUAUUAUAAAAAUUAUCGAUUUUGCAACUUCAACACAGUCUAAUUGCUUUGGUCACAAAUAGUUUAAUUUUCUAUUAGUUAAUUAAUUAAAUUAGAGUAUAAAUUAUAAACUUUUCCGUUAGAUUUUAAAACACUUCCCAUGAAGAAUAAAAAUUCAUGGAAUGAUUUUAUAGUUUUUACUAGUGUUAAAUUUAUUGAUGAAGACUUAAUUUAAAAUGGUUAAAUGGACUAAUUUUUUUUUUUCAUUUAUAUCCUUUUAUAUAUAUACUAUAGAUGUAUUGCAUUUAUUGUUGUAAUUGCUAUCUUAUAUCCCAAACAUUAUUCUUAUAGCAGAAAGAUUUCAAAAGGUGUAUGAAAAAGAUAAAAAUAAAAGAUUAAUCAAAUAUGAACGUGUUGGUGUAUGAAACUAUGUUACUCCUAGAUAUGUUAUAUCACUCAUAACUUCUACAAGUACAAAUGAUUUGGUCACUAAUAGUGAAAGAAUUUGAAAAACUUGAAAUUUUUUGUCUAUACAUGCAAAUACAAAUGAUUUGGUCACUAAUAGUGAAGAAUUUGAAAAACUUGGUCUAUACAUGCAAUUAUAGGUCUAAUUACUAUAUUUUUAUGUCAAAAUAAGCUCAGAUCAAUUUUAGAAGUGGAAGAUUCGAUCCUACCCAAAAUUAAUUAAAUUUGUAAUAUAGCUGGAUGGACUGAUAUGGUCUUAGGCACGAAAAGUGAGUACAACCGCAAAUCUUUACUUCAACUCAGAGAAUUCAAUUUGGGAUCAAACAAUAACUCAAUUGGAGACAGACCCUCAAGUGUAGGUGUGGGCAUUUCAUUUAAUAAAAUAACAACUAUUAACGAGGCAUCCCACCAAUAAUUCAAUGUUAUGUUGGCUUGCGGAAGGAGAGUAAGCCCACUCUAAAUACAACAUUAAUAUUACCAAGAUUUGUUCCUCUUGACAAAAGUUGACGUACCUUAUUUUUGUGCAUGAAUUGUUGCCAAAACACUAGAAAUUCUUUUAAACUAAAAAGAAUUUCAGAAAAAGAAAAAGAAAAAAAAGUGCUGACAUGUCAUAGAAGAUCUACCUCUGGGCAAAUAAAGACACAAAAUAACAAAAACCAACUAAAGACACCUAACAUAAAACAUAUGUUUAAAUCAUAUGCCAAAAAACUAGAAAUUAAAAUCAUCGACUCCAAAUACUACAGAAUUGUAGAAAAUGGUUAGUAGGAAAUCAUCAGUACGUUUUAAAACCCAUCACCAACAUUUUUAAAAUUUUGUGAGAUCUACCUACUUGGAAGCACUCCAUAUGAGGCAAAUAAGUCCAUAGGGAAGCUAUUCAACAGAAACCUGAAAAACACAGGCGAACAUGAAGAAGAGAAUGUGAAUGAAAUCAAUUGUUAAACUGGACAAGAUAACAUGGCCUAACCAAGGAAAUGCAUAUAGAAGAUGACCAGACGAACAAAGAAAGAAACACCAUUGAUCCAUUGGUCCAUUAGUGAUUGCUAAGAUGAGAUAAUUAAAGCGAUAAAACUUUGGUAGAGGUAGCUGCCUUUUAUCAAUUCAUGUCCAUACUCAACUUUUAUCGGUUGGUUUUCUGCAUGGUGGGGGACGUUUUUAGUUUUAUUGAUCUCUUCAAAGAUCACAACUUUAUGUCUAAGAAAUUUCAAUCCAAAAGGAAGAAAACAGAGAAAAACAAUGUGAUUACCAUAGAUAGGUGUCAAAAUCUUACACUGAUUGUUUGUUCCUGCAAUACGCUUUUCACCCCACAGAAGUUGGUAGUUGAUACUGUGGCGAAGUCAGCCAGUGUAUAAUGCAGUUUGAUACAUACAAUAAACAGAAUGGAGUCCUUUUAGAGUCUAUAAAAAUGUUUAAAUAUUGAACGUUUUCAACUUAUUUGUUCCAGAGACUUGUUGGUAUUGACAAAUGUUGCGCUUUUGUUGAACCCCUCAAGCAAAAGAAUCCGUAUUGCGUCUUCGCCAACUUGCAAUGUAAAGUUCAACUGAAAAGAGAUGAUUCCACUUUGAUGGUUAAAAAACUUUAAAAAACCAAACUCAGUUCGAUUAUCAACAGGCUUCACUUAGCGGAAAUAAGAAGCUAUUUUACACACCUCUUCUCUUUCUUGUUUGUUGAAGGGGCGAAGAACAAAAUUUGCUGCAUCCAUUUUCCCGGGAGGUCUCCCUAUGCCUAGAAUAUUUUCAUCCAUUUAACAGCUGAUAGUAUAUAAAAGCAGUGUGGAGGUGUUAACAGAGCCCUAAGACACAUACCAAUUCUUAAUCGAGGGAAAUCACGACUGCCUUUGAAAUGAUCAAUAAUACUCCUCAUUCUGGCACAGACAAAAAAGUAAUUAAAGUUUAUACCUCUGAUGUCUAUUGCUCUUCUUAAUGAUUCUUUUAUUUCAAACUUCAUCAUACAAUCAAAAUCAGUAAUCCCAGAUCCUUGAACUGAGUUUUCUUGGAUCAGGCGCACACAUGACACCGUUAAAUCUUUUGGCAACUUUCACAUUUACUUGUCAACUGAAUUAAAUUCUAUUUCUUCCGCUAAAAAGCUGCAAAGAUUCAAAAGCAAAAGUCUAUCUUCAGAUUUGAAGAAAGUGUGAUUAAUUCUUUAUAGCACAAAAGCUUUUGCGGUCAAAACUUUUUGAGUAAAUAUUUUAUUUGAAGAAAGUGUACUUUUCCUUGUAUGGAAAAAAUUCUGUAAAAAGAUAAACUUUCAACCAAAAAUCCAUUAAAAUGGAAUAUGCUUAUUUUUUUCCGGAAUGGAAAACACAUGCACUGCCUCUACUGCCUCACAGAAUAAAAAAUAAAAAAUACGAGUCAGAAUUAUUCAGAUACAGAGCAUAGACUUAGAUUGGCCAAAAGCCCCAUAGAAAGCUACUACCAUCAUGUAGUAAAUCAAGCUUCCUCCACUUUCACACUUUAUGUAGAAGCUCACUCGUUAACUAAAUGAAUGUAUGGUAAUAUAUAUACAACAAGGCUGAGGAUAUGGAACAUGGCUCUGAAGAAAUUAAAUGAAAAUCCACCGCUGUAUCUUCUACCAAGUAUUAUUAAGGAUAUUGAAAAAUAGAUGCCACAAAACUCAGAAGACUGAGACACCAAAACUGUAGAUUAAAAUGAAUUAUAUUUUCUGUAGAGAGAUAGAGAGGGAAUACCCAUUAUGCCCUCCAUGGCCACCCUUCGGCAGCAUUCGCAAUUUGGCAAAAGGCAAAUCCAAGUCAUCAAAAAUCUGUUAUAUGGAUCGCAAUUUAUGGAUUAGAUGUGGUAGGGGAAAAAUUGAAUCACACAGAUCCCAACCUCCUCUCUUGUCUUCCCCAAAAGUAGAUAUCACUCGUCAAGAACACUGAUAGUCUUACGUGGGGAAUAAAAUAUUUACCACAAGUACUUGCUUCAAUGGAAUCUUAUAGUAGGAAACAAUAGCACCGACCUGCAAUCAAAGGUUAAACGCAUAGCAUAAUAAAUCAAUCAUUGAGACCGAAGGAUAAACCUAAUAACUAAAAUGGAUGAGAUCCUAGAGAAAGCUUACUUACUGACUCACCACUUGCAUUCAUGAAAGUUUGUGGCUUAGCUAGCAUUACAGGAACAUCCCCGAUGAAACCUGAAAUAAAAGUGAACAUAAAAUCUCUUCACUAUUUUAAUAAUCAACAACUGGGAAAUAAUAAUAUCCCCAAUACUAUGUCCUGGACAAUAACUCAUUUUUUGGGGGAAAGAAACAUUUGAUUAUUCUGGUAAAACAAACUCCAACAAAUGAAUCGUGCUUUAUCUUUCUUAACAAGAAACAAACUUAACGGAUAGAUGCAAAAAGAAGAUAUAUAUUUGAGAAUACAAACCCCCAAAUAAAGAGAAAAGAAACAAGGCACCCAAUGAAAAAAUAAGACGACAAAAGUUCCAAGAGCCUGAAAAGAAAAUGAGUAUCCGAAAGAACAAAAGAACAUCAGCUUGAAAGAACAAAGACAACAACAGAGACAGAAACUUUUAGGCUUCUUGAAGACCAAAGCACUGAGGACUCCAAGAGAUCUUCAAUCAACAAAAGCUAAAAGCAAAGCAUUGAUUGGAAACACCACAAACCACGGAGCCUUCAAACAGAAAAGGAAAAACCAGCUGGAUCUUAGUGAAACAUGCUCAUUAAGGAUUGAGAAUGCAGCAAUCGAAUUAAAAUUUCAACAAAAGUCUGAUUACAGACAAUCUAAUUGUUAUUUUAUCAAAUUAUAGUUCAUGAUCAGACUACCUUGUCCCAAAGAUAAUCUUCAAAGAGGAAAGGUUGGAGUCAAUAAUCUACCAGCAAAUUAGUUCAAGUCUAACAAACUGACUUUCUGGUAGAUGUGCUUCUAAGUCCUAACCAAAUAUUCUAAUUUCAUCAACUGUCAAGAAUUGUUAAAAAAUGCAUACCCUUCCCUAUCAGAGCUUUGAAGGAAACAUUACUGAUGGAUAUCCCUUCAGCUUCAGCUACAGCAUCCACCAUCUCAAAACCUACCUGUAAAUUCAGUCAUAGCAUUAGCUACUGAUAGAGUUUCAAUUCAUCUUCAUAAAGAACAUCCAGAUAACACUCAUAAUCAACAUUAAACCCUAAUUUCCUCCAAAAUAAUAAUAAGUUCAUGCUCGGGAAACUUCCCUAUGUGGUAUCCCCACACUUAAAUCAAACAGAAAACAACGCAUAAUCUUCUAUAGCGAGAUCGAGGCUAAUUUCUGGAAAAGCAAUCACGCUCAAAGAAAAAAUGAACUAAAACAUAAACGAUAGGAGAAACUUGGAAUUCAUAUAGCAGAGAUAAGGACCAUACGGACAUUAUGGCGCGUACGAUCGUACUUCUUCCCGGGAUUUCCGAGGCCGACGAUGAGCCAUGGCUUCGGCGGCGGCGCGGGCUUCUUGUCAUCUAAAGCCGGCUGCUCUGUGGUCGGAGACGAGGAAGUGGACAUCGAGGCAGUAAUGGAAGAAGUGAUUGAAGAAAAGAUAUGGAAAGUUGGAGAAUGAAGGAGGGAUAGAGAAGGGAAAGAAAUGAGGGUUUUGGAGGUUGGAAAGCAAUGGAAGGAAAAAGGAAGGCGGAGGGCGGCGACUGAAGAUAUAGAAGCACCGAUAAUCAUAGUGUUUCGUGUGGUGUUUCUUCAAUGGAAUGGAGAGAUUUCAAAAUGGGAAAAGGAUUGAAGUGGAAGAGACAACAAUGGCGGGAGGAGAAAGGAAUGGAUAGAGGAUUAUGCUUUACAAAUGGCGGGAGAAAAGUAGAGUUGAUUUAACCUAAUUUUUAUAUGCCGUUAGGGUUUACUUCUCCGCUUAAUUUUACAAAAUUUGGUAGAAAAAUUGACAGAAUGUUGAAACAAUUUUUUCUUUAAAAUAAUAAUAAUUAGUUAACACGAUUAUUGUUUAUAUUAUUAAUCUAUAAAAAAACACUAAUAAACUUGUAUCAAUACAUAAUAAAAAAAUAUCAGAUGAAUGUUAGAAUUUUAAAAAUAGACUUUUAAAAAUAUAAAACUAUUGAUUAAAAUUUAAUCAUAUGAUUGCUUUUAAAACUUUUGAUAAAGGUUAGAAUUUUAAAAAUAGACUUUUAAAAAUAUAAAACUAUUGAUUAAAACUUAAUCAUAUGAUAUAAUUGAUAUUAUUUAAUCAUAUGAUAUAAUUGAUAUUAUUUAAUCAUAUGAUAUAAUUGAUAUUAUUUAAUCAUAUGAUAUAAUUGAAACGUCAAUUCAUACUAUUGAAAGUGUGGAAGUAUCGAUUAUUAGACUAUUGAAAGCGUGGAAGUAUCGAUUAAAGUUUAAUAAGUACUUCUACAGUAGAAAACUUUCGAACUUAGAAACUUAGUAUAAGAUAUGGACAAAUAUGUUUUUGAACAUUUAAGUGAAUAGUUAAUAGAAAAAACAAAGUGUGGAGGAAGUGGCAAAGGUGAAGAUAGGUUUUGGGAUUUAUUUUGCUCAUAGAUGAUGCCAUUCUUCAACACCAUUGUAAAUCUUUUAUUACUCAGUAAAAACUCCGAAUGACCUCCCAGUGUCGAGUUAUGAAAAGUAUACAAUAUCUUUAGGGGUAAGAGGGGGAAGAAUGUGCUAUGCCAAUGUAUGUAGAUUUUUAUGAAUUAGAGGUCUUAACACUUUUCUACAACAAACACACUAAUUUGACAUCAAUAGCUACAAAAAUUUGAUUGAAACCUCACACUUGCACCUUCAAACACACCUAUCUCUUAUAUACUUAUGCUAUAUUCCAAUAUAUGUAAGAAUGAAAACAAAUAAAAUUUUGAACAAACAGACAAAGUAAAUCUAAAAUCCUUGAUUUAAUCAAGUUAGCCGUUAAUUGCAAAAAUCCACAUCUGGCUACCCCAAAGAGAAAAUCAAUUAAUAUUGGGGCAUUGAUUCACUUUCCUCUGCAUUCCACGAGGGUAGCUUCACCUUCUUGUAAUGAGUACUCACUUUUCUGUACAUUGCACCGCUGAAAUAUUACAUCAACCAAGUAUACCUUUUAGGUGAAACUAGCCAACUCUUUGAAUCAUAUUUCCUCAUGAAUUGAUGAUGAUGCUGCGGACGACAAAUGGCAUAGACCACUAAGGUUUUUGGAAACAUUUUAAGAACGGAAAAUUAUAGCAUAGGAUUUGAACUCACAAUGAUAAUGUUGCCUCAGAUGUUGAUUGUUGCUUCCCAGAGCCUUAGAAGGCCAUUACGACCACCAGUGCAUAUUCGUUUCCUUUCGAGGUCUGAAGCUGCACAUCGUACCUGGAUCCAUGCAAUAGGUGCAUUCAGAUGAAAAACUUUUUUAUAAAAAAAACAUGGAAAACAAAAUUGAAACAAGAGAGAACUAAAAAAGCAAGAUCUCUGUGGACAAGAAAGAUUGUUGAAUAACGGUGAAAAGAAUUUAACAUUUGAAUAUUGCAUGUAGUAGCUCUUUAGCUUUGUCUUCAUUGGCCCAAGUAAAGAGAAUCACUAGGCCAACUACUAAUUUCGUUCUGUCUUCUCAAUUUAAGUAAAGAGAAGAUAAAAAACCGUCUCCCAGGAUUGAAUUAAAAUGAUACAUUAUAAAAAGAAAUAUAUAUAUAACAAAAAGGCUGUCAAAAGAGUCCAAACCGCCUAAGAAUUAAAAAAAAAAAGAACUUUAUACCAUGGCUGCAGUCUUUUGUGGGGUUCUGUAUAGUUGCCACCCAGCCAUUUUUGCACCCGUGUUAGGGAAGCCUCCGAGUCUCUCUUGUGGCCGAUGGAAGAGAGACAUAGAGUUAUCUGCCGCUCCAAUUCCUAACCAAUGUUCCCCAGCACUGAUUGACAGUAUGGCAGCACUGUGAAUGGUGACAUUCUUCACACAUCUAAUACCCCCUACAUAUAUAGCAAGAAAAGUUUGCAUCACACUUUCACGCGAUCAAGAAAAUGAAAAAGCUCCAUUGCAAGGAACGAAAGUUUAUAGUUGACACUUGAUGAUGUGGGAGGAAAGUUAAAUGAGUGAAAGACAUCAUAUUAUCAAUAAAUUUCAACAUUUUAUAUAGAUAAUUUACCAUCCUCGUUUUCCCAAAAACGGAGAAGUCCAUCAGUUGAACCUGAAAGGAAACACGUAGCCAUUAUUUUAAUUUUAAACUUCCAUAUACUUUAACUGCAUUAGAAACGUGAAGAAGCCAAGUUAAAUACCAGUUAUUAUUCCCUUAUCCAGUGCAGAAUACUCGACAGCCAAGAUUGGGCCAGCAUGGCAUGCUAGAACAGCAUCACAUGUUCCUCGAGAAACAGACCACAAUCUAGCGGUCCAAUCGUCACUACCGGUAACUAUGGUGUCUCCUACCAUUCUUAUUGAGCUGCAUGGAUGCCAUAUGUGUAUUAGACUGACCGGCACAUUAAAAUAUCCAAGGAUGUGAAAAUAGGAAGCCAAGAAAAAUAAAAAUUGUGAUUUAUACACUAGUGUGGCUGAAGACACUUGCCCUCUGUGUCUGGAGUGUUCUACUUGCUUAUAAACUUAGAUUCAGACAAUUACUUAUUCUUUAAUUAUUUUUAUUUUCUAGCCUGCAAGUUAGUAUUCGGGCCUUGGAUUCCCUACAUCUUGAUCCUAUAAAUAUUGGUUCCUUAAGGUUGUAUGGAUAUUUUUUUCCAAAUAAACUAAAACUACUGUCCAUUUUACACCACUUACCGUAUCCAUUUUGUAUGACCUAAAAGCUUGUGCAUUUGCCGGCCAGCACGGAUGUCCCAGAUAUUUGCUACUCUGAAAUGCGAGUAUCCAGUACAUAGAUAACAAGUCAGUGACCAUGCAAUCUCAAAAUAUUUUUAUAGAACAUAUAUCAUUUUAGACAGUUUAACAGGAUAUCUCGGCCACCCUCUAUAUCAACAUACACAAAAGAAACAUAAUUUCAGUAAAUUGACAUACGUAUCUCUACCACCAGCAGCCAGUAUUCCCGUAGAGUCGUCAUAUUCCAUGCAUAGAACUGCACUAGAGCAACGACCAACAGUUGCCACACAAGUAUCAGUUCUGACAUCCCACAUUUUCACAGUUCCAUCAUGUGCAGCCGUAAGGACACGUUCACCUGAUAGCAUACGAACACAACUGACCUGCCAAAAUCAACACAUGACACAUUCAGGCAUUGCAGACUCCACUUAGUUAAUAAUAUUGUUCUUCACAAGUUUAUUCCUCCAAAUAUUUCAAUGUUCCAGCCUAAAAAAAGACUGAAACAAGUUAUUUUCUAAAUCAACAUACUACGACAUAUUUCAUUCUAGCGUUUUAGUAAUCUCUUGUAUUAGAAUUUUUUUAAAACUAAAAGUAAAAUAGAAAUAGAAAAACACCUGUGCAUCGUGGCCUUUCAGCUCUUCUAGAAGCUGGGUUGUUUGCUUAUCCCAUACAAUCACUGACUGAUCAUCAGACCCAGAAACUACUUUUACUCGAUCAGAGUUAAUCGCACGAACAGGUCUGUAGGCUUGCAAAAAAUGGGUAAAGAGAGGGAAUAUAGUUAAAACUGAAUAGUGAAAAGACUAAGCAAAUCAAACUGAUCCCUGAGAAUGAAAAUGUAAGAAGUUAGACAAAGUACCCUGUGUGACCCUUUAAAGUUGCUCGCAACUCAGAACCACGAAGACUUGGAUCCCAUAUCUUGACCUGAGCAAUUUUGAACAAUAUGAUUCAACACUUCAUAAUUCAUAUGCCAUACAAACUCUCUAGUACAAAUGGUUUUCCCAAAGAUGAGAAAAAUGAGAUAUCAAGAUUUUACCAAGCAGUCCGUGCUUCCACUAAUGAAGAAACCUGCAUCCUCACGGUCUCCCACCAAGUCCCACACCUCCCUUUUCGUAACACAAUGAAGUGCCGUCACAGCUCCACUAUGACCCCUAAGGACGCGAAUAUUGCUUUGAACCUUUUUCUGCCCGGCUGAGGAUAAAUCUUGUCGUGGAGGAGUACCGCUCUCACUUGUGGCUAAAAGCAAAAGGAAAAAACAAACAACACAAAAUCUUUGAUUGCACGAUAAUAUUAAUCCACAAAAUCUUGAUGAAAGCUACAUAUGAGACAUCCCACCAUCGGAAGACCAACGACCACUACGACCUAAGUUAAUCCUUGCAGAUGUAUCCCUGCUGAACAUGCUCUGAACCCAACUUCUUCCAACAACAGAAGCCUCAGCAGGUUGCUGAUUCUGAUCAGAUCCAUCUUUGGGGCGUGGAGAUGGCAAUGCAUGAGCAGAUAUGGACUGAGACUUAACAGAAGAGAGCCCCCAAUAACUAAUGCGCAGCUGCUGGAUAUGGGAUAAGAAACCUCGGAGCUUUAUCUGAAAAUCAUUAAGUAGGAUUGUAAAUGAGAAAAAAUGCGGUAAUGCAAAACCAACCAUCUUUAGAACUUUUCUUAAUUGCAGUUGAUGCAAACACUGAAUGCAUGUUGUGGCUGAUGUGAACAGUUCUGGAAUGCAUUUGCACAUUAUGAUGAAUCAGAUAAAAUGAUAUUUGACUUACGAGUUGCUUGUAUCCAAUGCUGUUUUUCUCCGCAAUUGUCUCAAUCAUGUACCAAGCAUCAGUGUCAGGAAGCCCAAGCCCAGCCUUCCAAGUAGGCAAUAAACUGAAUUAAGUUUUUUUAUUGUUUUCUGCGUGUGUGUGUGGUGGGAUGGUAUUCAUUUCAAAAUGAGUGAUAAAUCGCGUGAAGUGGCGUUUUGUUCACUCUCACACAAAAUGUCAAGGUGAGGAGUACCAUAUGUGAUGCCAUAACAAUUAGCUGUGCAGAAACCUGAGAUGCAUAAUUGGCGCUUCUGCAUUCAAAAUAAAAUUGAAAAAGAACAAGUUAGAGAACAUCUGGGAGAUGGUAUGGAGAUACAAAUAACCAGUGCCCGUAGAUGGUCUAGUAUCAAGGAGCGCUUUUGAGAUGAUAGUUGGUUCUUUGAGAAGUUCGAUGGAAUAAGAACGAAGAGUAUGAGCAUGUUCAGAAAGUACAAUGCCGAGUUGGAACUAUGCAGAAAUUCUAUGAUUAAUGGUAACUUUACUAGGUCCAACCGAAGGGAAUCCCUACAUUGGACCUAGUAAAUGGGUGGUGAAGUUCAUGGGCUCCAGACUAUCGAAGAAAUCAAGAGCUGCAUAAGACCAUGUUCCUAUCCUCUAAGAAAUGGGAUUUCAUCUUGAGGACUCCAUCCUUUUAUGUUAAUAUUUGUGGACCCUGGAACAAGACUUUGUGAAUUUCAUGGAGUUCUGGUGAAAAACAAAGAACUCCUGGGUGGGUCUAAACUGCCUCAUCAAAAUUUGGGAAAAAAUUGAAAGAUCAUUUGAAGGAAUGAAUUUUAAAGGAGGAGCCAGAAACAUCACUAAAAAUCAAUACCAAAGAAGAAUCUGACAGAUUGGCACGAAAACAUGGAAAACUUUGAUGUGGCAAGUUAGCAACCAUAUGAUGUCAUCCCAAAAGAUAAAGUCCUUAUAAAAGUUUUUGAGAAACUUCAGGGAAUGAAACCAUUAAUCGAAUCAGAGGUUUAAAGUUCACCUAGCCGAAAAUAUUGUAUAAAGCAGCAACAUAUACAAAAUAAUAAGAGAACAGCGAAGUAAUAAUUAAUUCAGCACUUCCUUGCAUAAACCAUGUAAAUCCUUACUUAUUUGAAGACCGUUCCAUCAAGUAAUCAAAAUAACCUUCCCAAAACCUGCAGAAAACCAAAUAUCAAGAUUGAACCCACAGAAGUCCUGAUAACAAAUAAAAUAUUUCAAGGUAGGAUGUACUCCGUGAAUAAACCAGCUGAAUACUGGUAUGCUACUGAAAAAAUCAAAGGAAAAUUACAGAUCUACAAUGUCAAAUAUUGGUGCUUCAGAAAAAAAAUCCAAUGAAAUUAAGCAAUUUUCUUCAACUCAACAUAUGAAAUAGGAAUAUUGUUACUGAUAAAUAAAAAAAAAUUAGGAGAAAUGUUAGAAAACUAGAAAUCUGACUUAAUGAGCAAAAAAUACCACCAAAACUGGCAAGUAAAUCUCACCUUAACUCCUCCCAUAUAGAUAGAGAAAUAAGAUGGCGUUGGAUGUAAUCAGGAACAUUAUUGGGGUCUUUCUUGAACAUUUCACCAGACACCUCAAGGGCAUCCCUAAUUGUCAAUAUAUCAUUUCGUGAAGUUGCACGACUGAUUGCUGUUUUUAGCUGAUCAGAAAAACAAUUUUUAUUUUUAUUUUAAACAAUAAAUGUGAGGUAAUUGAAAAGAGAUAACUUCCAAACUCUUAUUCAGCUGUACAAUGCAAAAAGAAAAUACAAAUUCUAUAUGUUUUCUAAAACCAUUUGCAACUGCAAGUUCAGGAAUAGUUGGAAUGGUUUUUGUAAACACUUGAAAAUUUUAUGUUUUAUAUACGUGCAUACACUCUUCUUUAAAAAAAUGCCCCAAAAUUGACAACAAAUAGCAACCAAAAAUUGCUAAUAGUUUUAUGAUACGGCUGCUUACCAUCACCACAAUUAGAGUGUUUUCGUUUAGCUUUUCUAUAAUUAUUCUCUGUUGGGGUCAUCGUUAUGUAACCUCAACUUGUUAGCAGAUUUUCCCCUCUGCUUUCUUUUGUAUCUUUUCAUGACGCCUAAUGAAAAGUUCCUACCACUUUCUCAAGAGAAUAAAAUAAAAUCAACCAAAUUUCUGAGUCAAUGAAUCAUUUUGCUUUUAGGAAAAGAAAAAAAGUUUAACUCAUUAAAACAACCUUAAUUCCCUUUCUUUUAUUUAGAAACAGUGAUAAAAACAGGCAAUGUAAACAAACGAAAUUGUUGAAAUCAAUUUUUACUCGUUUUUAAUAAUGAAGAAAAAAUUGACAUGACAAAAACAAAUACAUGUGCAAGAAGUUAGUUACUAUAAAUAUGUCAAGUUGCAUGACAUACCAGUUCUUUCACAGCAAUAAAUUGUUCAUCGGUUAACUGACAAAGCCAUCCCUGAAAACACAAAACCAGUCAAAAGUUAACCCAAUGCCAUCUUGAGAUGAACCUGUCAAUGUCUCACACCAACUGCUACAAUCUUAGGAAAGUAAAGGCCACACAGUUUUAUUUAUGAUUUUAACUUCCUUAACCAUUUUCUGUAGGUUUUGGAUUGGAAUUGGAAGUGUCACAUUCUCAUUGUUUUGUUUUAUUCUUUUCCUAAAAUUGUUAAUUUUCUCAAACUAUGCAUUAAAAACCUGAUGUGGAUCAGAGAUCUGAAUUUGAGGGAAAGAGAAACAGAAAAGGUAAUGAAAAUGAUACUGAGAGAAACGAUCGUAAAAUGGGAGUUUGAGCAUGAAUGACCAACUCUUAUUAAUCCCACGAGCUACUUACUGUAUUUAUAUGCUCACUAAUGCACUCAACAAACCCACUACCACCAAUUCCCUCUGCAUCAGACUCAAUCAAAGCUGCAAAAAGAAAAUCAUAAAUUUUUUUAAUUAAAAAAUUAAACGUAUUUUACAACAAACAGAGACAAAUACCUUCUCUAAUCAAUAAACCAGCAAUAAGUCUAUAGAAAAAAGUUACCAAGAAUAGUGCCAUAUUCAAAAGAAGAAAGAGGAUCAUCAGUUGCACCCAGUUUCAGAAGGCGUAGCCAGAGACCCUAACCAAUAGGAAAUACUAAUUAAUACAUAGAAGCCUGAAAUCAAUACUGUCUAUGACUCUAACAGAAGCACAUUUAGAAGAAAAUAUUGCAAUACUCGGUAAAAUAAUGACCUGUAGCUUGACUUUAAUGUCCAAAACCAUGCGAUCUCUUUCGGCCUGUCUCUCCAUUGGACUGAGGCUUUCUGCUUUCAGAUCCUUGCCCGUCGAUAUAGAAGGUGAACUGAUUGCAGAAAGAAAAAUCAAAGAUUAAUGGACAAGUUUGACAGCUAAUUCAUGGCUCUGCAGAGUAAUUACAGGAUUUUGAAAGUAAAUCCAUACUUAGGAUUAUGUUUUCCAGAGUAUUCAAAAGCUCCACUAGCUGCUGCUAGAAUUUGUUUUCUCUUUUCUUCCUGCUCCUCAGUUCUAAUGUUUGAAGGAAAUCUAUCAUAAGUGUACUUGGCACCAGAACCUCCAAAGAAAAUUGGGAAGAAAAACCGACAUCUCAGCACCCAUCGAAGGUUUCAAGAAAUACUGUACGCAUGUUCAGUAAUUAUGCGGACACCAUUCAAUUUGAAAUUGAUAUGUUCUUUACCUGAUGUUCCCAAAUCAGGGUCAGAGAUUGUUAUGAUCUCAGGUUCAACCAAUGGCGGAAGAAUUGAAAGAGGAUUUUGACCCCUCCCAAUUGCAUCUUGUAACUUGUCAAGAAUAUUAUUAUUACUUUCAUCAGAACCUAUGCAUCUCUCUAGAUAGUCUAGAAAUCCUUGGGACUCCAGGAAUUGAGUUAUCUGAAAACACAACAAAAGUAUUGGGGUGUAAUUUGUGAACCCAAACAUUAGGGGAAACAAAGAGAACUUUCUAGGAAAAUACUGUUCCAUUUGCAGAAGCAAUAAGAUAGUAUCACAUAAACUAUCUAUAUGAAGAUAAAUCAGUUUCAUUAAUAAUUCAAAAGUUAAGUACACAGAGGAUGAUGUGCAAGGUAUUAAUUAGAUGGCAUUACCAUGGGAUCUUCUGGUUGAUUAGUCGAUCGUGAACGCUUCUUCAAGAAUGCUUGUGUAUUGAAGACAUCAGUCGCAUUGCUUUCCUGAUUAACAAUUUUCAUUGAAGAAAAAUUGUAGUAAAUUAUGAUGCCAAACCCCUAUUGUAAAUGUUUGUGAGAGAAAGAUAAGAGAGAGAGAACUACAUACUACAAAAUUGCGAUAGCCACUUAAGAGUGAUGCAAAGAAUUUUAAAAAUAUCAACCUGCAUGAAGGAUGGAAAAAAUAUUAUAACAUCUAUUGGAAAAUAUAGACAAAGAAAGAACACAAGAUCUACGUAGAAACCCUAGUACAGAGAGAAAAACCACGGUACAUAUGUCUCUUAUUAUUUUCUGAUAAUCAUAAAGGUACAAAAGGGAGAAAAUUUAUAAGCAACACAAGCCUAGUUAAAAGAAUAAAAAAUUAGGACAAAGUAAAUCUUAACUACUCAUGGCCCUUCGUCAAGGCCUAAGCUCACUAUUUCUAACAAUAUCAACCUGCACAUAUCAUGUUAAAUUUUAGAAAUCACACUUGAGAUAAAAGUCUACUUCAUGUGCUUAUGCCCUGAAAACAUUUCUUGCAUAGAUAUCAUAGAGAUCCAAGACUGACGCCAUCAUCCAAACAUAUCAUUAUCAUAUACAUGGCAGACUGACUACUGCAGAAGCACAUAUGCCAAUAAGUGAUACUAGUUUCUGAAAUGUCACUUCUAUAAAUAAUCUCAGGUCCAUUCAUAAGCACAUUCAUACUUAUGAUGAUAGCCAAAUCAAUGCAGACAGGUGAUAACAAUCAACAAACAUGCCGAAUGAAUUUGAGUGAUGAAAAAGCUUAAACGGUAAACCAUUAUCAUUUCAGAUCUCCAAUUUUGGAUAAUGAAGAAAAGUAGCACAAUUCAUAACUUUACUAAGUGAAACUACUUUUUACUACCGAGAAAAAAACUUUAAAUUAGAAAAGGAACUAUAAGGAUAUACAUGGUGUCCCAAAUUAAAAAACUUAAAACUUGUGAAAAAUGUUCAGAUGGAGCAAGGUGUAUUAAAAAAAAUAUGCCAUACUUGUUACACAGUCUUGAGCUUCAGUUCGAUAUUUAAGAAACAAUAAAAGUAAAACUAAGAUCCAGAGUCCCCAACAAGUAUCCGAAGUUCUACACAACAAUCACAACAGACAAAACCUAAAACUAUAGACCACAAAAAUAAGUAUUACAGAGGAGCAAUAUAAAUAUUAAGAACGAGUACAUGAAAAAUUACAUAGAAGUCGUUCAAAUGCAAGUAAACUUUUAAAAAAAGAAGGGAAAAAAAUCAGUAGGAGAGCUAAAAGUAUAAGCCAUGCACCAAAUUAUCACCUAAGCUGAAGGUCUUGGUUUUCUCCCCAAGGCUUGCUGCUACCUCUAGGGUACUGCUCAGAUGCGCUACGCAAAUCAGAUCUCAUUUGAUCUAUGCUAACAACAUUGGGAUAUAAUAACUUCAUCAGCUCACUACGCAAAGAUCCAAGUUCUGGUUCUGGAAUAGGUGGUAUAUCCUCAGUAGUUGUGAUACAAUUAUACUCAAGAUCCACUACAACAACCUAGGUUUCAAAAUGAGCAAAAACAUUUAGCUUUAUUUCACUACAUAACUCCAUGAUAAAAACAUCAAAUUUUCAUAAAAUAUCCUAUGUUUCAGCUCAAACAAAAAUAUUUGAAGGAAGAAAAAAAAAGGCAAUAAGUAACAGUAUUGCAGGAAGCACAAACCAACAAAUCUAGUUCGCAAUGUCUUGUUAUUGAGUCCCUGUUGUGAUUAAAUACAGUUGGAGUGGAUUCUUGAAAGCUCUAGGGUGAACGCAAGUUGAAGGCAAAACACACUAAAGAAGUAAUUUCUGACUGACCGAGCUAAUCACAAUUUCAAAGUAAAUGAUCUAGGUCUUCCUCUGCCCUCCAACGGGGAACACAUGCCAAAUAUGUGGUUGAGUACAUGCACGGCAAUACAUUCUAAUAUAGCCAUGGCCCAUGAUAAACAUUGUUUCUACUGGAAUUUCAUUUUAUUUUAUAAAUUUUAAAAAGGAAAAAAAAACAUUAAAAUACGUAUUAAAAAAAUCAAAUUACUUACACCAUCCAUUGCCAGAUAAGAUGUAUCAACACCUGAAUGAAGACCCAUCAUAUAUGGUGUGGGAGCAUCAAUAUAGUCUACUCCACUGAAAAAGAGUAACGGAAUGUAGACAUGCUUCAGGACAACAUAGAAAGCUUGGGUUAGAAUCUAUAAUAAAGAAGCAGAAAAAUAUGCACAAAAAACAGACUCACAAAUAUUACACCAAAAAUGUGGAGUUACAAACAUUUUCAAUUAAAAAAAAUUAAUAAUAAUAAUAUGAAAUUUUAAAGAAACUGACUGACCUGCCAUCUAAAUGGAUAUAUUAAAUGACAAAUGGCUUCUGAUACAAGAGUUAGGAGCGAAUACCUGCAAAAAGAAGAACAAAAGCAUGAAGGAAAAUGUGUUAUCACAUACUAAUAAAAUGACAAUUAUCAAUUUGGAAAGUUGGAAUUGUCACUUACAGAAUCGUACAAGACUAUGUAUGACAGAGAGCAAGCAAUCAAGUCAAAAUGACCAAUUAAACCAAAUUGUUGAACAAGAGUCUGACUAGUACUAGGAGAGAAUGGCACAUUAAAGGACGGGGACUAAAAAUAACAAAGACAACUAAAAAAACAUUUGUUCUUUAAGAUUACUAGAAACCCUGAAUUCUGAAGUAUUUGGUUGAAUCGUACAUUGACUCUCCUACACUUUAAACAAUCAGAUGAGAAUUCCAGUAAAUGAAUAAAUAUAUGUGCAUAUAUAAUGGGAAAAAAAUCCAAAUUAAUCAUCAAACAAAUGAAUAAGAUAAUUGUGGUGUGACAAAUAUCAAUUCAAAAAGUCUGUAGUAACCGAGAGAUACUUGUUCGAUCGAAGAAGAAUCCUCCUCUCCAGCAAGACAGCAGUGAAGAGUUUGAUUACGUUUUCCAAAUCUAAGCACUGCGUAAGCGGCUGAAACGAAAUCUGCAUUCCCCAUAAAGAGGAAUGAUCAUUAGAUGAGAAGACAAAUCAACAUUUCACUUUCUGAAUAACAUUGUCGGCAAGGUACAUCAGCGCUUAGUCAGCUUUCAAAAAAGUAUUGUUUACAUAAUUAAAAAAAUGAUAAAUAAAUAAAAACUAACUUACAUCAGCAUAGGGAAGCCCAUCCUUGGACGGAGCCUGAACGGAAAGAAGGCAAUUCUCAAUGCCAAACAAAAUCCGAUCCUUCCCAGGAGUAGACAGUGGUACAUUGGAGACUAUGUGUGCUAUGAUAUCCCACAGAGGCUUGCUGAAAUGUUGAAGAGCUGAGAAUAUAAGCAGCUAAGGAAAAAAUUCCAUUGAAAUUCAAAUUCUAGGCUAAUUGAUUUUUGUAACGUGAUUACUUAUUACUUUAGGCCAGUUGAAUAAACUUUUUCGAUAGCCUUGAAGGUUGAGUUAAUUUCUCAUCGCCCUUCUACUAUAUCUUUCUUCCUUCUAGAUACAAAUUUGUUAAAUAAAUCUACUCGUGUCUAUGAAAUCAGAUUUAUAUUUCACGAUGUGGUACCAAAAUCAGCUGCCACACACAUAAAUAUGAAGUAAGGAAGAGAGCAUCUAAUUAUGUACUGACCUACUUCCACUGCUGGAGAAGCACAAUGCAAACAGUUCCUCCAAUGCAUCUUUAAGUACACGGAAGCUGGGUGAACGCGAAACAAUACAGAUACAUUUAUCAGCAUAAGAAUUCGGUGGAAUGCGAUAAGCUUCGGCAAUGUCCUCACUAACAGGGUCUCUAAAAGCAAUGCAACUGACAUAAAUUUUUGACCCAUCGCCCUCUGCAUUAUAAUUUCCACAAUAUCAGUGAGUGAAGAUACACAGAUGCCACACCUAAUAACUACAUUCCAUUCAAAUAUAACAUACAUCCACAUAGCCAAUCCCAAUCAUCUUCGAAUCACGAAUGCUGAAAGAAAUUCAAAGUUAAGCACCAAUCAUACCCGUCAAAACAAUCGGAUAACUCCGCGGAAAAGUGCUGGCGUCGCUGGAAUCAUAUCCCGAUGAAAAAAACUCAACCCCAGCUGGUAAAACACACUGCAGGCAAAAUGCGAUCCACAAGCAGGCAACUCCGGUUAAUCAAUCGGUAGAGAAAUUCGACACCUCUAAACUAGAAAAACAGAAAAAAUAUGGUUGAAAGUGGAUAGAGUUUCUGUAUUGGAAGUCACCGUUGGGAGCUGAGGUGGUGGAGGAGGACAACGAGAAUUGUUGGAAGGAGGAUACUGGUCGAGAAGAGAUGGUAAAUACAAGUAACCAAAUCCAUGAAAUCCCUUGUUUCCAUCUAGAGUACGAAUCUCGGGCCCGAUCCCACAAACCACGAAAUACUCAAAGAUCCGAGCCAUUCAACACCGAUGGCCGAUUAAAUCGUGUCCGUGAUUGAUUCUAGAGAGGGAAUCGAGGAGUUGCAGCUGAUCUUGAAGGUGGAAUCCAACUCAGAAUGUGGAAUUGAUGGAAGGAGAGAUGAGUAGAAUCAUACGGAGUAGAAAUGGAGGGGAAGACGAAGAACUACUCUGUAGUCCGUCCUGGAAUGACGCGCGAUUAGAUUUUCCAAACCGGAAAAUGUAUAUACGUGGCCGGUUGCCGGUUAUCCCGUUUAACAUUAACCAUCGCAGAAUUAUUGAUGAUUACUUUUCUCUUUUCUUUGAAAGAGGAAAAAUGGAAACUGUUUUCUUCAACUCCUACUGUCCUACAAUUAAUUUUGGUUUUUAGAUAGUUAUUACACGUAGGAAAUUGCUCAAAUAGUCUCUCAAAUUGUUCUAAAAUAUGUUUUCUAAUCUUCAAUUUUAAUAUUUUAUUUUACAUUUUAAAACAUGUUGUGUUUAAAAAAAUAUUAAUCCCGCUGAAAUGUUUGACAUACAUCCACAUGGUGGAUCUUAAUGGUUUCGAAAUUGACUCAAGAGAGGCUUUGUGCUAAAUGCAGCACACCCCUCGUCCUCAUCACUCUGUGGUAUCCUCCAACUUUAGGUUGUUGGAAGCUCAACAUGAAUACAAUUUGGUCAGGUGCAAUAGAUUAGUAUUGAUUUUGAUACAUUAUUUGAAACCAUUAACGGAAACGGAAGGGUACACAAAAGGAUUGAGUUUUAAAUUUGCUAAAAGUGGAAGCAUAGUUAGAAGGUCAGUGACUUGUGUUGAGCAAUAUCGCAUAUGAGACUAACUCUGAUUGUGAAGUUGAAACAAAUGCACCUGAUGCAAUCAAUCUAUUUAAAAACAAUAAGUUAUCACUAGUGAAAAUUCGGGUUUCCAUUGAAUAUAUAUUUUUUAAUGUAACGUAUGUUAUGAAACAAUAACAAAAUUGAGCAUGUUACCACACAUUUUUCUUUAUCUCAAAGUUGUUAGUUGAUAUAUUUUAUUUUCCUAACAAUAUCACCCAUGAUAAAGAUGUAAUUAAUAAGUUGGAGGUGGGCGUUUGCUCGGCUACAAAGAAAAACACAUUAAACUAUAGUCGCUUACUUUAAACUUUACGAAAUAAAUAAUUUGUAAUUACAUUUCAUUAUUUGAAAUUUGUAAACUCCAAGAAACUGAACCAAGUAAAACAUUACCCACAAAAUCAAUUAAUCCAUUACCGUAUUAAAAUUAUUUUAUGUUUAGAAUAUCUCUCAAAACAAUUCAAUUCCACGUCAACAGACCUAUUCUUACAAUCAUACCCUAUUUAACUUUUAAUCUUGCUAUAAAAAUGCUAAAGCAAACAUAGAUCAUGUAAUACUCAAUCAAAUUUUCAUUACAAGAAACAAUUUAAUUUCUCAAUAAAAGUAAAAAUAAAAGAAAGGAGGGAAAAGUUGUAAUGAUUCAAACUCAUCAAAAAGUGAUAAAAGAAAAUGACCCCUUUUUUCCUUUGGUGCUUUCCCUCGCGUUUUCUACAUGAAGAUCGUAGAAAGGGCCCGCAGUGACCCUGAUCUUGACUCUGUUCAACCUACAAGCUUUGGAAUAUCCUUCCAGUUCCCACUGUGGACUUUCCCCAAUCCCAAUCCAUUGAUUUGUUCCUAAUUUGACUUUGAGAACUUAAAAAAUGGAGACUCCAUCCAAGUAACAAGCAGAUUCCACAAUCGCACCUCUCUCAUCUUCAACUUCUGUACAUCCUCGGUGGUUGAAGAUGGACUCUGAUAAGAUUAAAGGGGUCGUCGUAAUCACUCUUCCGCCGCCGGACAAUCCCUCAUUAGGUAAAUCCGUUACUGCUUUUACUCUCACCGAUGACUUCCCCGAACCUCCUGGUGAGUCCGUUGCAGUUGAUCAAGAAGUACAACAACCCAACAAUGACCAUUUGACUCUCCCACCGAAUCUCCCGAUUCAAGCCCCUUUGAGUCAGCGAAGUAUCCCUUUGUCGAGGGAGCUUUUUGCUGGUACUCCUAGGAAGCUUGUUUUCGUAUUAGGCAUUGCUCUCGCUGCUGUUUAUCUUUAUGCUUCUAAUUUUCCGGAGACCAUUCGGGAGCUUCGUCGUUCUGAGAGGAACGAUGAUGAUCGCCCUUCAUCCUUUUUGUUUCCCCUUUAUUUCCAAUCGGAGUUGGGUGAUAGUAGUGAUUUCCAGCUUAAGUUGGGAAGGACUGUUCGUGUAAAUAAGGAUGAUCUGGGUGUAAGAUUUAAUGAUGUACUUGGAGUUCCGAAGCCUAGCAAAUUGAUUUCUGCCUCUUUAAAAUCUGAUUCAUCAGCCGUAUUUCCUGUGCGGGGAGAUAUCUAUCCAGAUGGGUAUGUUUUUUCUUGUCUUCUUCACUUAUUUACUUUAUGUUCGGUGAUGAGUACGUCAGUCGUCACCCAUUCCAAGAUAUUGCUGUGAACUUUUUAGCUUAAAGUAGUUGAACACAAAUACUUUUUGAAAGCUUCUUUUUAUCGGAAGAUCAAGAAGAAUGAAGGUACUUUAGCAGGGGAAGAAUAGACGGCUAGAAAAAUAAAUAUUCGUAGUCCUUGCAGCAAAGCUGAUGUUUCAUCGUUAAAGACCUCGGCUCAUACCAAAAGUCAAACUUUUAAAUUGACUUGAAAAUGAUGAUGUGGGUUACUUAAUGCCACUUUUGAAUGACCAAGAAAUCAUGUAGCACAACUGAACAAGCCACAUACAGAUAUGAUUAUACCAUUUCUGACUGUAAAUUAGGAUUCUCAAGUUUACGCAUCUGAAUUCUGGUCAUUUUGUGUCGAUAGCAUACAGUGUUUGUCAUGAUCUUGGAGAUGCCUUUAUUUACACUAACAUGGAUUUUCACCAACAUAUAGAUUGUAUUAUACAUACAUAAUGGUUGGAGAGCCACCAAGACCUUACUUCCUCGACAUUGAUACUGGGAGUGACCUGACAUGGGUUCAAUGUGACGCUCCUUGCAGCAGUUGUGGCAAGGUAAUCUUCCAAUGUUAUUGAGGAAUUUAUGCUCUUGUACAACUUAAUUAAUUUGCUAUUAUUUUGGUUGCGUUUUUAUUUCUUUUAAAGCCAUUUGGUCGGGUGUUUUUCUUCAACUUGUAUAUUAUCUAAAAUUCAAUUUAUCAAGUCACUGUUGCUGCCUUUUCUUACAACAUUCUUCUUUCAAAUGGAAUGUUACCUAGUUCUUGAAUGGGGAUUAUUUCGUGUGUGAACAAUCCAACUUUUUUACCAUACUUUCUUGGUAGUGCCGUACAUUUCGUGACAGUGAUGACAAGUGUUUUUCAAGUGAGAUCUAUUGAGGACAUUCACAUAAUUACAGUUGCACCUGCUUUGGGUAUAUCAUUGUAAUCUGACAGGUUGAAAGAACUUCCUGGUUUAAGGUUACUUUUUUUGAUUCAAAUGAAUAAUGGAACCAUGUUUGCUGGUCUUCAAUGGAAAUAUCUUGGCGUCGUAGUUUGAUCAUAUUUCAGAAUGUUAGGGAAGGCGAAGCUAAAGGAAGGAGAAGACAAAUAAUCUCACAUUAGGAAAUUAAAAACUUUUAGUAGGUUGACACCAGCUGAAGCAACUUGAAUGGAUAGUCUUUAUUUAUUUAUUUAUAUUUUUUAUUUCCAUUUAGAAGAUUCGAAGAGACUGGACAAUGUAAUACGUAUGGAGUUAUAAACAAACAUACUAUCGUUGACAAAUGAAUUAUAUACAUACCUGGUCCCACCUUUGAUUUUCUUUUCUUACGAGCACAAUGCACUUUGCAGUAAAUUUUUAUUGCAACGUUUUAUUGAGUAAUCAACCACUGUAGAUUACACGACAUUUUUGUUGUCAAACAAAACAUUAAUCUAAUGAUAUAGUUUAUGUAGGGAAGAAGUCCAUUAUACAAGCCAAGAAGAGAGAACGUUGUAUCUUUCAAGGACUCUUUGUGCAUGGAAGUUCAAAGAAAUUAUGAUGGCGAUCAGUGUGCAGCCUGCCAACAGUGUAACUACGAGGUUCAAUAUGCCGACCAGAGCUCCUCUCUGGGGGUUCUUGUUAAAGAUGAGUUUACUUUAAGGUUUUCCAAUGGAUCAUUGACUAAGUUAAAUGCCAUUUUCGGGUAUAAUAUUUUCUCCUUAUACCUCUGUUGUAUAGAUUAUCCAAGUUCUAGUUUUAGUGUCAAUAUUAUAAAAUUCUCUUAUUUAUUUGAUUACAAGGUGUGCUUAUGAUCAGCAAGGCUUGCUAUUGAACACUUUGUCGAAGACUGAUGGCAUUCUAGGACUAAGCAGGGCUAAAGUUAGCUUACCUUCCCAGUUGGCCAGUCGAGGAAUCAUAAACAAUGUGGUAGGUCACUGUCUUACCGGUGAUCCAGCAGGUGGUGGAUAUUUGUUUUUAGGUGAUGAUUUUGUGCCACAGUGGGGGAUGGCAUGGGUUGCCAUGCUUGACAGCCCUUCCAUGUGAGUAUGAAUUACACCUGUUAUGGGUGUAAAUUUGUCUUACACAAGAAGAUUCUUCUUCCAACUAGUUUUUUAAAGAUGAAAUAAAAAAUGAAGAGCAGAACCUAUAAUCGAAUUUGGAUCUCAACAUAGAUGCUCAUAAGCUUCCUAAUUUUAGUACCAUAAAUAUAUCUAUACUUACCUUUCUGCGGAAAAAAAUAAAAGAAAUAAAGAAAAAAGAAAAAGAAGCAAAUGGAGUACCAAUAAUUUGUUGGUUGUCUUGUAUCAAAUCAACUCUGCAGUGUACAUUUUCUAACGAGAGACUGAGCUUUGAAAACAAACGAAAGAAUAUAAAAGAGCAUUGAAAAAGAUACUCUAUUAAAAGGAACCCAGACCAAAAAAAAAAAAAAAAACUAACCGGACAAAAAGGGCCUUUAGUCCAAACAAUGACAACCUACCUUGUAGUUAUAGUUAUGAAAGAGCCUUAACAAUUAAAAUCCACAGAUGGACAUUAAACUCAAUGAUAGUUCAGUUCUGUCGACUCCUCUUAAAGUUCUCAUACUUCUCUCUAGCCAAAUGCCCCAUAAAACAGUGGAAAGGUAAGCAUACCAUAGAGUAAUACGCUCUUCUCACGAAUGCUGCCAAUCAAACAUGACAUAGUUCUCUGCUAAAGAGUUCUGCUGUGUGCAUUAAUUCAAUGUACUGUGUGGCAUUUACUUGUGCUCCAUUGUCAUAGGUCUUUAACUGCUUCAAUUUUAUAAUUCCAGAGAUUUUUAUCAAACAAAGGUCGUGAGAAUAGAUUAUGGAAGCAUCCCACUGAGUCUUGAUACUUGGGGAAGCAGCCGGGAACAAGUAGUUUUUGAUAGUGGCAGCUCAUACACUUACUUCACAAAAGAAGCAUAUUACCAAUUGGUUGCAAAUGUAAGUUUCAAGAUAUAGUAGCCUAUUGUAACCUGAAGGCCGAAGGGAUCUUCUUUCUUGUUUCUUCAUUUUUUUUUCUUUUUUUCUUUUUUUUUUGUUUUAAUAUGCUGAUUAUGUAUUUCGAUUCCUCUGUAGCUUGAAGAAGUGUCAGCGUUUGGGCUUAUUCUUCAAGAUUCAUCAGAUACCAUUUGUUGGAAAACUGAACAAUCUAUCAGGUAUAAGAAAGAUAGAAUUCUUAAGAACCCUCUGAGUCAUCAGAAGAUAUUCUUGAACCAUCUGCAUCCUCAAUAUGAAUAACAUUUACUUAUUGAAAGUAGAGACGAAGAAUGAACACAAUUUAAACAUAAUUUUAUGUGGAAACCUUAGUAUAGGGAGAAAAAUUGCGGUGCAGACAAUUUGAUUAUUUCUAAUAUUCAUAAAGGUACAAAGGGGAAGUAUUUAUAGGCAACACGAGCCUAAUUAACAAAAUAAAAAAUAGGGCAAAGACAAUUACGUAACUACCCUUGGGCUUUCAACAUGACCCAAGUCCAUUACUUCUAACACUUCUUACAAAUUUCUCUUACAGAUCUACUCACAAGUGAUUAAUUAUUUAAUCAAAAUGGAAUACUUGUUGUGACUAGAAAACUUUGCUUAUUUUCUUCUGUUUUUAAAACACCUUGAUGAAUAAUGAUGAUGGGGGAGAAAUAAAGGAAAACCUGGCUAAAAGUUUCUAGCUUAAAAAAGAUUAUAGAAAUUCUUGGUAGUACGAAACAUUUCCUUAACCACGUAAAAAUUUGCUCUACUUCAAUAGUUCCAGUCUCAAUGGCAACUCUCCAUUAUUGCUAGAUCCUAAGUUUCACAUGAACUCCUGCAGAUCUGUUAAAGACGUCAAGCAUUUCUUCAAACCUCUAACGCUUCAGUUCGGGAGCAGAUUUUGGCUUGUGUCCACGAAACUUGUGAUUCUUCCAGAGAAUUAUUUAUUGAUCAAUGUAGGUCUUAAUUUAUUUCCUUUAGAAAAAGUAUAGAUAUUUCUCCUGCUGUCGUUUCCAUGUUUUUUGAUUUUAUUUGCGUUUAUAAAUAUUGUGGAAUAAAUAAGUACUCCAUGUUCUGCAGAAAGAAGGAAAUGUAUGCUUGGGAAUUCUCGAUGGAAGCCAGGUACAUGAUGGGUCCACAAUCAUUCUUGGAGGUAAAAACUAUUUAUAGAGUUCGUGUUUUAUGCUACCUCAUGGACUUGCAUUAUAACCUUAUGCUUCGUGAUAAUGAGAAUUUUUAUAUAUUUCUAUCUUUCGUUUUACAAUAAGGAAUUUUCAUGUAUUUUUAUGCUCUGGCCUCUGGUUAAGCUCUAUCACGUCAACAUACUUUUAAUAUCCCUCAUGGUUAACAGAAACAUUAAUCUUAAAUGGCAUUGGAGGAUUCCUUUGAGUUUUUCAGCAUUGUAAGAGCCUGUUUGGAAUGACUUGGUUAAGUUUAAAGAAAAAAAGUGUUUCUAAGUGCAAAUAAGUUUUUAAGCAUUUAGAAAAUCAAUCGAAAUAGGUUCUAGGUGUGAUUGUGGUGCAAAUUUUCCUGGUUCGAAAUUACUGAUGUUUGCAACUCAAACAUCAUUUUAAACUUUCUUCAAACUCAUUAUUUUUCAUUGUUUUAUCUUUCAGACAAUGCAUUGCGUGGGAAAUUGGUCGUGUAUGACAACGUGAAUCAGAGAAUUGGAUGGACUUCAUCCGACUGUCACAAUCCAAGAAAAAUUAAACACCUCCCACUAUUUUGAUACACUGUCAGUCUACAGAUAAACUACUUAGUAAUUACUACGUGAUAUGCCUUGAUUGUUCUGUCUAUAAAUAUAAAUAGCUUAUUUGUGAAUAAAAUAAUAGAAGUGUAAGCACUGGACUUCAAAAUUCCAACAUGAUCAACUGUAGGUUCUCUUUUGGUCUCUAAGUAAACAACUAAAUCCAUACAACUUUAUGAAGUAAUUUGCAUGUAUGACAGAAAAAUGGUAAAAUAGUUUGAAAGAUGAAGAAGAAUUUAUGUUAUAGGAGAAGCUAAGUCUUCCUGUUCUUUUGUGUCACCUUCAUGCUUACAACAAGUUUCAACUUGGUCAUAGUUUGAUUGGCAUUUCCAGGCAUUGAUGAUCAAGGGCCCUUGGAUACCAUUGUUUUCAUUGAAGGUAUCACACUCUUGAAUCUCCAAUAUCUCUACUCUGCGGUUGGUUUUCUUUCUUAUUUUGAUUGCUAUAUCUUGAGGGCUAAACUUCCCACAAACGCUUACCCUGCACUGCUUUUGUUCUAUCAAAUGGGUCUCCAACUCUAUCAAGGUGACAAGAAGUUACAUGUCACAGGUUACCAAGUAGAAUCAAUUGAAGAGAGCAAGUCUAACUCAAAACUAAAGGAUUGAGAGAGACAGAGAUGCGAAAUUAUUUAUUCUGACUUCCUCAAUAUGACUGUCUUUUUCUAAACUCUAACCAUUAGUUUCAUGGUAAAAAAAUAGAAUUUAAUUACUCUCUGAUUUUGAAUGGUUUGAAAUAGUCAGCCAUAUUGUUUUAGCAGCCCCCUUAAAUAAUUUCUCUAUAGAGAAUGAAACAGAGAAAGAAAGAGAUUUCACCUUUUAUACUGAGAAUAGCCCUUCUUACUUUCCUGUAACAUCCAUUGCAGUCCAUGUGAAUUCUCAAAACCAUGCAGAAAAACUGCCAUAGUUGUCAAGGGAAAACAGUUCAUUAAUACCAAUGAAGCUUCGAAGGAGAAGAAGAAUGGAGAGUUGGUGAGGUUGAACUUGCCUUUCCUGUCAUUAAAACACUGUCCAAAACAAAACCUUUCUCCCUGAAUGAUGCUUAAACACGUAAACAGAGAGAAAACUGAUGUGGUUUUUCACAGAACUUGAAAGGGAUGGACUUGAAAAUCUAGGUUUAACGACGGUAUUGAUUGGUGAGAGAAUAAAAAUAAAAAUAAUAAUAAUAUUGUUAUUAUUAAUAUUUGGAACCUGAUUCUGCACUGUGGUUUGUAGGUUGUUCAUUAUAUUCUUGGCUUCUUCACUUUGUUUCUCCUUUUCAUUCUCUUUUUCGUAUAGAGAAAAAGAAGGCAUCCUUUCUUAAACCAGAUAGUCAUUCUUCUUCUCAUCAUAAGGCCAUAAUUCUUCAUCAAAAUUUUAGCAGAGCAAGCAAUGACAAGGCAACAACCAUAUAGAAAACCUUUUUUUUUCCCUUUUAUAUUAAGGAAUAUUCCAAACUACUCUCAGGUUUAAUUAUUAGUGCAUUUGGUUCCAGGGUUAGCCUUGUCUAAUUUAUAAUUAAAAACGUGAACUUAGGUAUGAUUUGUUCUAAGUUACGGAUUCGUGAAUCCACUAGAGACACUAAUGUAAUCGUAUAAACUAAAUAUAUACCAUAAAAUUAAGUCUAAUAAGUUAAUAAAGGCAUCAAUUAUAGUAAGGUCGAUGAUUGGAUUCUCUUCUCACGAGUCAUAUACUCAACUUUAACGUUAUUGUAUCUUUUUACUUCAACCUCUAAAAAUUCAAACUAAAUAAAGUAGAUGAAGUCGAGAGAUAAACUAUAUCCAAAAGUCUAAAUUGUAAACUCCUUAUGCCUAACUUCAUUAAACAAAACUAAAGAUAAUUUGAUGUGAUAUGCUAAAUAUUCACUUCUCUAAGUUCAACAAUGUUGAGGUAGCAUUUUGUGCAUCGACUUGAUUUUUAAGAUAAACCAACAUUUUAAUCCGUUGAGUUAUAUUUAAGUUGACAUAUUAGAUAAGACUUAGUUUUCGUAUUUAAAUAAAAUACGUGGUUAUUAACGACGAUAACGUGACUUUUGUAUGUUGUAUCAUCUUCCUCAAUUUUCUCUAAUUAUAAAAGGCAUACAAUUCAAGUAUUUUCAAGGUACAAGAUUAAUUACAUUAAAUGUCUUAGACACCCAUUACUGACUUUUUAAAAGCAAAAUACGUCCUAAAUGUCAACUUUAUAAUACUGCUUGCUAAGAAAAAUAAAUAUUGAAAAGAACUAAUAAGUUAGAGGGCAUUAUUGAAAUUUUAAUUUUUUUAAAAAUUUUAGUUCUUAGGAAAUUAAAUUGCAAUUAAACUAAAAUUGAUACAAUAAUUUAGAGUAAUUUUCUUGUUAAAGGGAUUGAUUCCAAAGAAAAAGAAAAGUCAAGUCUUUUGUUUUCCUUAACAUCAAAACUUUGUUGUUCAGAUUCUGAGUGUACUUUAUUCUUUAUUGCACUACAAUUGAAGAGCCACUUUUUUUUUAUGUCACAAACAACUAUUUGAGAUAUGAUAAUAUCUCUUGAGAAAAAAAUUGAUUCCUAUAAAAUAAUAUUAAAUAAAAAAUGGAAAAGAAAAUAGAAUUAGUUACCAUUUAAGUUGAAAAUUGGAAAGGAUUAGAGUUCUUUUGUGGGCUAAAUUGAGUAAACUCAUACCAAAAAUUUAAUGCAAAAAAAAAGGUUACAUUUAAAUGAAAAUAAGAAUAUUUUCCAUUUCAUCAGAUAAUCUUAAGCAUAGUUCUAUUUUAUAUAGUACUUUCUCAUGUAAAAAAUGGUAAAUUUAUCGAUCAACUUACAUUUUUUGUUGAGCUAAAUUUUAGUUCAAUGAUUUGAGAGUUUCAUUGUAGUAAUAUUUAAAAGUUUAAUCGUAAAAUUUCAAAUUUUGAAUAAAACAAUUUGAGGAUAUAAACUUUACAAUGGCUAAUUCUCAAUUUUGUUACAUAUACUAAUAAUUUGUACUCUGGAGGGUAAGUAUAUAUUGUCAUCUAUAUAUAAGAACAUAUAAAAAGUAUUCUCACGUUUCCUAACAUAAAGAUGUGAAGCUUGUGCCAGCUUGAGAGAAAUUUAUUAAUAGAAGUAUAUAUGUUUGGGCAUUACAAUUGAAAUCAUGGAAAUGAUCAAGAUUUGCAAAUAUUGUUAUUAUUAGUUACAUCAUUUCCAAGGGUACUUCAAUUCAUACCUUUUGUUGGUAUGGUUAUGGAAGGAAAUACCAGAGUUUCCAGCACUCCAAUUGCAAAUAUUAUGGUCACAAUAAUUAGUGAGAUCUGACUCAUAAUUUUCUGGCCGAAAAACAUCACCACUUACCGUUCCAUGUUUGCUUUCAAAAUUGCACCAAAAUAAUGUGCUUAGCUGAAGAUUUUCAUAAAACCCCCAGUUGUAUUUUUUCCUAUAGUCGAGUAUGUGCUUGCCCAGAUCGUCAUCUUUCGACUUACAGUGAACUGUUAGACUUGAUUCAUACACAUGAUUCCAAAUCGUCACUUCCCACCAAUCAAAUGGAUUUAGUACUUUGGAUUGGGCGAAACACGACUUGAUCAUCGUGUUUGAUUCCAAAACAAUAAAUAAGAAUAUGAAACCUAAAAUGUUUACCAAUUUCAUGAUUUUGAUAACUUCUUUUUUCUUAUAAUAAUAUAAACUGUUUUAGUUUUUGUUUCGUAUAUAUAUAUAUAGCCAACUUGAAUUAUAUUUCUGAUAUGGAAGAUUAAUCUUUAAUUUCCUUACCUUAUUUAUUAAACAUAUACCAUGAAUGUAUGUAAUCAUGUCUAACAUAAGGAAAGCUAUUAGUUAGGUGAGAUGAAUUUUGAAUUGAUAUUGACUUUAAUUAAAUAACUAGCAAUGCAUAAUACCAAUUAAAGUAAAAAAAAAAAAAAUCAUACCAUUACAUUGAAUCGGUGAUAAAAUUUAAAGUUUGUUCACGAUCAAUAUAUUUUGACAAUGAAUAUAUUUUGUUCUAUUUAAUCAUGAUCAACAAUAUAAAAGAGUGACUAGAUUCAUGUUUAAUAUCAAUGUAAUUUUUGUACGGGAAGAUUUCAAUAUUUUUAAUUCGAAGAAAAUGAGUUUGGAUAUGGAAUUUGAAUAAUAUAAUUAUAUUUUAAAUACUAUAUUUAGAAAGAUAGAAAAAGUACAAUAUAUAUAUAUAAACUCUAUAAGGCAGAUACUCAUAUCAUAUUAUAAAAGUUUUUCUGAAGACAUAAGUUAAGAAAUACCAAUGUACAUUUGUAUAUGAUAAUACUUCAUAUUAUGGAUUUUUUUUUCUUGUUUAGAUAAUGCAAAUUGAUUUCUUUUGGCUUCAAUUUGGGUCAAUUUACAUUUUUAUAUUGAAUAGAAAUUUUAGGAAAUAUUAGUUAACAUAUGAUAAUAUUAUUAAAUAUAUUAUUAUUUAAUUUAAUAUUAAAGAAAAUACAUAGAUAAUAGGACUUUUAGGUAAUAUUUUUCUCCCUCAAAAGAAAUCAUUUUCGAGGACGAAAAAUAAUGUAAGGAUUUAAGUUAGACAUGUACACAUAAUCACUUGGACAGUGUACACAUAUGAAGGUCCAUCGGAGAAGUCAUUACAUAUAUUAUUUCCAUCGAUAAGCUAUAAUAUAUUCAUUGAUAGAAGCAAAAUACAAGUAAACCCCAAAUCUUCGAGCAGACCAAAUGCAGUUAUGAUCUUUACAUUGAUCACUAAGCCGAUUUUUUCUUUCUGGCCAGAAAACAUCACCAGAAGCCUGUCCAUCAUUGCUUCUAAAAUUGCACCAAAACAGUGUAGUUUGCCAAAUAUUUUCUUUAAAAUUCCAAUACCAUUUAUCUCCGGAGACGAUCACAUGCUCUCCUAAAUCAUUGUCUUUUGACUUGCAAUGAACCACCAAAGUUGAAUUCAAAUCAUUCAAAAUGGUCACUUGCCAUUUGGAAAAUGGAAGUUGUACUUUCGAUUCUUCAUUUGAUGGAUUUAAACAUGAUGACCUAAUCAUCAUGUUUAAUUCCAAAGCUACCAAUAAGACAAAACACAAACUGUUUAGAGGUUUCAUCUUCUUUUUCUUUGGAAGUUUGAUCUUAAUUUUCGGAUGCGAACCCUAAUUUUGGUUUUGUUUAUAUAGUACUCAAGUUUAGUUCCUAUCCUAGACAAUUAAUUUCCCCCUAAUACAAUAUAUUUAGUUUUUGUCGUUUCAUAUAUAUAUAUAUAGCCCAAAUUGAAUUAUAUUCCUUAUAUGGAAGAUUAUUCAUUAAUUUCCUUACCUUAAAAAACAUAUAGAAUAUAUGAAGGAAAGCUAUUAAGAUGAAAUUUGAAUUGAUAUCAAAUUUAAUUCAAUAAGUACUCGAUGUUGUUAGUAAUGCAUAAUGCCAACUAAACCCUAAACAUACAAAUAAAAACUAUUGUAUCAUUUUUUCGAAUUGGUAAUAAAAUUUAAAAUUUGUUCACGAUGAAUAUAUUUUAUUCUAUUUAAUCAGGUUGAACAAUAAUAUAAAAGCGGGUGACUUUGAGUUCUACUAUUCAUCUUUAUGAUUUAAUGUAAUUAUUGUGUAAGAUAUUUUAAUAUUCUUUAAUUGAAAGAAAAAUGAGUUCGAAUAUAGGAUUUGAAUAAUACUAUAUAUGAAAAACUACAAAAAUAUAAACUCUAUAGAGUAGAUACCAUAUCAUAUUAUAAAAGUUUUUUUUUUUAAGAUAUAAGUUAAGAAAUACCAACGUACAUUUGUAUAUGAUAAUACUUUAUAUUGUGGAUUUUUUUUUCCUUGUUUAGAUAAUGCCGAUUGAUUUCUUUUGGCUUCAAAUUGGGUCAAUUUAUAUUUUUAUAUUGAAUAGGAAUCUUAGGGAAUAUUAGUUAAUAUAAGACAAUAUUAUUAAACAUAUUAUUAUUUAAUUUAAUAUUAAAGAGAAUACACAGAUGAUAGGACUUUUAGGUAAUAUUUUUCACCCUCUAAAAAAAUUAUUUUAAAAGAUGAAAAAUAAUGUAAGGAUUUAAGUUAGACAUGUACACAUAAUCAUUUGGAGAGUGUACACAUGUGAAGGUCGAUCGAAGGAGUCAUUACAUGCAUCAUUUCCAUCGAUAGGCUAUAAGAUAUUCAUUGAUAGAAGCAAAAUACAAGUAAACCCCAAAUCUUCGAGCAGACCAAAUGCAGUUAUGAUCUUUACAUUGAUCACUAAGUCGAUUUUUUCUUUCUGGCCAGAAAACAUCACCAGAAGUCUGCCCAUCAUUACUUCUAAAAUUGCACCAAAACAAUGUAGUUUGCCAAAUAUUUUCUUUAAAAUUCCAAAACCAUUUAUCUCCCGAGACGAUCACAUGCUCUCCUAAAUCAUUGUCUUUUGACUUACAAUGAACCACCAAAGUUGAAUUCAAAUCAUUCAAAAUGGUCACUUGCCAUUUGGAAAAUGGAAGUUGUACUUUCGAUUCUUCAUUUGAUGGAUUUAAACAUGAUGACCUAAUUAUCAUGUUUAAUUCCAAAGCUACGAAUAAGAGAAAACACAAAUUGUUUAGAGACUUCAUCUUUAUUUUCUUUUGGAGUUCGAUCUUAAUUUUUCGAUACCCAACCCUAUUUUGAUUUUGUUUAUGUAGUCAAGUUUAGUUUCUAUUAUAAACAAUUUCUCCCUAAUUUUCUUGUCUCUAUUAUUAAAAGAUUUGUUGUUGUUGUUAUAAUUACUAAAUCUUUGUUAGAUCAUUUCAAUUGUUAUUGUACAUAACUAUUGUAUUCAUGAACGUAUCUAUGAAUAGGAUUUGAUUUAAUUAUUUCAUUCAAUUUACUUUAAUGAGAAAGAUAUAAGAUUGUCAAGAAUUUCUUGUUACUUUUUUGUUUUCUAUUCAAGCAUAAUACAGUAUAUGGAUGGUAGGUAUGUGGUAAUUAUAUACUACUACAUCAAAAAAAGACCCGCUCUGACGUCAUUUUUUAGGGUAGGUUUUUAAAUGUCAUGAAUGUUUGUUACUUUUGAUGGUUUUUACCUGUCAUAAACAUUAGUAAUUAUAACAACCACAACAAAUUUUUUAAUAAUAGAGACAAGAAAAUUAGGGGAAAAUUGUUUAUUAUAGAAACUAAACUUGACUACAUAAACGAAAUCAAAGUAGGGUUGAGGAUCGAAAAAUUAAGAUCAAACUCCAAAAGAAAAUAAAGAUGAAGUCUCUAAACAAUUUGUGUUUUCUCUUAUUCGUAGCUUUGGAAUUAAACAUGAUAAUUAGGUCAUCAUGUUUAAAUCCAUCAAAUGAAGAAUCGAAAGUACAACUUCCAUUUUCCAAAUGGCAAGUGACCAUUUUGAAUGAUUUGAAUUCGACUUUGGUGGUUCAUUGUAAGUCAAAAGACAAUGAUUUAGGAGAGCAUGUGAUCGUCUCGGGAGAUAAAUGGUUUUGGAAUUUUAAAGAAAAUAUUUGGCAAACUACAUUGUUUUGGUGCAAUUUUAGAAGCAAUGAUGGGCAGACUUCUGGUGAUGUUUUCUGGCCAGAAAGAAAAAAUCGACUUAGUGAUCAAUGUAAAGAUCAUAAUUGCAUUUGGUCUGCUCGAAGAUUUGGAGUUUACUUGUAUUUUGCUUCUAUCAAUGAAUAUCUUAUAGCCUAUCGAUGGAAAUGAUGCAUGUAAUGACUCCUCCGAUGGACCUUCACAUGUGUACACUCUCCAAGUGAUUAUGUGUACAUGUCUAACUUAAAUCCUUACAUUAUUUUUCAUCCUCGAAAAUAAUUUCUUUUGAGGGUGAAAAAUAUUACCUAAAAGUCCUAUCAUCUCUGUGUAUUCUCUUUAAUAUUAAAUCAAAUAACAAUAUGUUUAAUAAUAUUGUCAUAUAUUAACUAAUAUUCCCUAAAACUUCUAUUCAAUAUAAAAAUAUAAAUUGACCCAAUUUCAAGCCAAAAGAAAUCAAUUGGCAUUAUCUAAGCAUCCAUAGUAUAAAGUAUUAUCAUGUACAACUUACAUCGGUAUUUCUUUAACUUUCACAGUUUUUCCUAUAUUUUUAGAUAUAGUAUUUAAAAAAUUACUAUAUUAUUCAAACCUCAUAUUUCUUCGAAUUAAAAAAUGUUGGAAUCUUCUACUACAUUAAUCUUAAAGAUGAAUAGCAGAAUUGAAAGUCACCAUUUUAUAUCAUUAAUUGUUCAUCAUGAUUAAAUAGAACAAAAUAUAUUUAUCGUGAACAAAUUUUAAAUUCUAUCAUCGAUUCAACGUAAUGGUACGAUAUCUUUUUUUUUGUGUAAGGCUUUAAUUGGCAUUAUGCAUUACUAACAAAUUUCAUCUUACCUAUCUAAGCAAUAACUUUCCUUCAUAUAUUUGUAUUUGUUUAAGGUAAGGAAAUUAAGGAUUAAUCUUCCUUAUAAGGAAUAUAAUUCAAUUUCGCUAUAUAUUACUACUACAAAUUUGAUCUUUCUUGAUGCACAUAAAUUAAAUUUGAUCUUUCUUGAUGCACAUAAAUUUUGGUCUUUUUUAUGGUCGUGGCAAAGGACCAUCAAGAAAAAUAUUUUCUUGAUACAAUGUUAAAAAGAAAUGUGGACUUUUUAUUUCAUUGUUGGACAAAGUUCCCUAGUUUUGUUGAUGGUUCAUAAACGUCAAGAAAACCAUUUCUCGAUGGACAAUAAACAUAAAAAAUAAUGCAUUAGUUGACUGACAAUGUCCAUCAAGUUAUAUAGGUUUUCUUGAUGGAUAAGAUCUAUAAAGGAAUGAAUUUUCUUGAUUUUCAAUUGCCGUCAUCGAAAAAAUUAAUAUAUUUGUUUUGAAUUUCUUGAUGGACUUAGAAUUUUUUUAAUAUGUCUAGGGGUUCUUGAUGGACAAUAAUAUAUAUAUAUAUCAUGGCCAAGGUCCAUCAACAAAAAUGAUAUCUUGAUGGGCAUUGUCCAUCAAGAAAAAAAAUUAUAAUUCUCGAUUUAAGAUAAGAUUAUGGACAAGAUCCAUAAAAAAUAAUAUCGUCUAUCAAAAAAAUUAUUUCCUCUAAAACAUGAAAUUCGGACCCUUGUUAACAGGCUUAGAAAACAUGAUAUUCAUCAAUAUUAUUCUUUAAGCUUAAAGGCUUUACUAUUUUUUUUCCACUGUCUAUACAUCAAUAAUACAAUAUUAAUUUUUUAAAAGUUAACUGUUGUAAUUAUAAUUAUAUUGAAAUAAGUGACUUUAUCAAAAUUAAAUUACUUAUUUUGUUCAACUUUAAUGAGUUGAAUUUAAAGUUUGUAAUAUAGGGAUUUAAAAAUUUGUGAUAGUUAUAGAACAUAAACUUAGCUCAACUGGCACUUGUAUAUAUCUAUCGACAAAAGGUCUCGCAUUAAAAAUUUAUAAAAAUUAUUUAUAAAUUUACGUUCGCUAGUACACAAAACCUAAGGUGGGUGUGAGAAUAUAAAAUACCUUGGAAAGGAGGCUUUGAUGUGUAGACAUUUUUUUAUGUGAUUUGGAUAUGAUGCUCACUUUCUUUUUGUUAUAACAACACAAAUUAUUUUAGUUUUUGUUUCAUAUAUAUAUAUAACCCAAAUUGAAUUAUAUUCUUUAUAUGGAAGAUUAUCUUUAAUUUCCUUGCCUUAAACAUAUACAAUAUAGGAAAUAUAGGAAGGAAAACUAUAGCUUAGAUAGGUGAGAUGAAAUUUGUAAGGAUAUUGAAUUUAAUUCAAUAACCACUCAUGGUGUUAUUGUUAGUAAUGCAUAAUGCUAAUUAAAGCAUAAAUAAAUAAAAAUUAUCCUACUAUUAUGUUGAAUCCGUGAUAAAAUUUAAAAUUUGUUUACGAUGAAUAUAUUUUGUUUUAUUUAAUCAUGAUGAACAAGGAUAUAAAAGCGGGUGACUUAAGUUCUACCAUUCUCAUUUAAUAUUAAUGUAAUUUUUGUGGAAGAUUCUAAUAUUCUUUACAAUUUUGAAAAAAAAUGAGUUGGAAUAUGGAGUUUUGAAUAAUAUAAACAUUCUUUUAUAUACCAUAUUUAGAAAUCGAAAAAUUAGGAAAAUAUAAAUAUAUCCAUACCAUAUUUUUUAAAAAUAUAUAAGUUAAUAAAUACGAUAUACAUCAAUUAAUUAUAUGAUAAUACUUUAUAUUAUGGAUUUUCUUUUCUUGUUUAGAUUAUGCCAAAUGAUUUUUUUUUUGGCUUCAAAUUGGGUCCAUUGUUAUUUUUAUAUUAAAUAGGAAUUUUAGGGAAUAUUAGUUAAUAAUUGAUAAUAAUAUUAAAUAUAUUAUUUUUGAUUUAAUAUUAAAGAGAAUACAUCGAGAAUAUAAGACUUUCAAGUAAUAUUUUUCUUCCUCAAAAGGAAUAAUUUUCGAGGAUGAAAAAUAAUGUGAGGAUUUAAGUUAGACAUGUACAUAUAUUCACUUGAACAGUGUACACAAAUGAGUUAAGGUCCAUCGUAGGAGUCAUUACAUGUAUUAUUUCCAUCGAUAGGCUAUAUGAUAUUCGUUGAUAGAAGCAAAAUACAAGUAAAUCCCAGCAUUUCGAGCAGACCAAAUGCAGUCAUGACCUUUGCAUUGAUCACUAAGCCGACUUCCUCUUUCUGGCCAGAAAACAUCACCAGAAGUUUGCCCAUAUUUGCUUCUAAAAUUGCACCAAAAUAAUGUAGUUUGCCAAAUAUUCUCUUUAAACAUCCAAUACCAUUUAUCUCCCGAGACAAUCACAUGUUCUCCUAAAUCAUUGUCUUUUGACUUACAAUGAACCAUCAAAGUUGAAUCCAUCAAAUCAUUCAAAAUGGUCACUUGCCAUGGAGAUAAUGGAAGUUGUACUUUCGAUUCUUCGUAUAAUGGGUUUAAACACGAUGACCUAAUAAUCAUGUUUAAUUCCAAAGCUACCAAAAAGAAAAAACACAAACUGUUUUGAAGUUUCAUGAUCAUUUUCUUUUGGAGUUGGAUCUUAAUUUUCUGAUCUCCAAACCUAUUUUGAUUUUGUUUAUGUAGUCAAGUUUAGUUCUUAUUAUAGUCAAUUUCUCCCUAGUUUUCUUAUCUAUUAAAAGGAUUUUGUUGUUGUUGUUAUAAUAUUACUAAUAUUGUUCUUUGUUAGAUCAUUUCAGUUGUUUUACAUUCCAUUUAAUUAUUGUAUUCAUCAACAUAUCUAUAAAUAGGGUUUGAUUUAAUUAUAUCAUUCAACUUUACUUUAACAAGAAAGAUAAGACCAUAUGUUCAGUUUCAAUUUUAUUUGUUAAUUUUUUUGUCAAGAAUCUCUUAUUACUUUUUUGUUUUCUAUAUUCCAACAGAAUACAAUAUAUGGAUGAUAGGUAUGUGGUAAUUAUAGGGUGAAAAGAACUAUUCUUGGAUCAAUCUUUGUAGUCAGUCUGAGACAAUUUUAGAAUUCGUUUUAUAACAUGUUUUGAUUUUCAUUCUAUUCCAUAGUGAUGAACUGAUCAUAUGGAUCAUUCAAGUGGUUCCAAAUUGUAGCUUGAGUUAUGUGAUCCAAAUUCUAAGAUCAAUUAGGUUCUCGCAGUACAUACAAUACUGAAUGGUAUAAUAAUUUUUUUUUUCUUUUUUGUAAAUAAGCCAAACUUCAAUUUUCAUACAAUAACCCAUAAAAACAAAAAAAAAUAUCUUUUCAAAAGUAAAAAAAGAUUGACACAAAUAUCUUUAUAAUAUUUUAGUUAGAUUGAGUAAUAUUUUGAGUGUUUGGCAUCAAUGAAAUGAGGGUUGUUGUUUUUAAAUUAAAUACAAGUUUGAACAUUACUAUACACGAAAAAAUGAAAUUAACAUAUUGAUAUUGUAGCAUCAAAUGUAAAAUUAGUAAUGAUAGUCAAGAUGCAUGUAAGUUUCAACAUUAUCAAAUACAACCACAAUUUUAAAAAUAAACAACUAAUAUUUUUCAAUUUUAAAUCUAAAAUAUUAUUGUUGUCAACUUUGAUAUAUAUUUUCUUAAUUCCAACAAAAUUGAACGAGAGAAUAAUAAUAUGAAUCUAGAGAAGUUGAACCACAAUUUUUAUUGUUCAAACCUAAUGGUUACUAUUGAUUAAAGAUUUGAGUUUUAUGGAAAAAAGUAGAAAAUGACGAGGACGAUGUAAUUUUAACCUCAAAGCUAAUAACUUUAUACGCUAAUAAAAAUUUACUAUUACAAAAAGAAAUUAACGUUUCUUUCUUUUCAAAGUUGUUUAAAAAAGUUUGUGAUAUUAAUCUUGUUCAAUAUAUAGUUUAGCAUAUUAUUUUUCAAUAACAAGGAGCGUAUGUAUUCAUCAAAUUAUAUGUUUGAAUUUUACAUUUGUGUACAAUAAUCAAGUUGAGUAGACAUAUAGAGGAAGGUGUUUAGGGGUUACACAAAUUACUUCCAAGUGUACUUUGUAUGAAAGACCUUGGAAGGAUGAUUAGAAUACAAGAAAACCCCACCAACUUGAACAAACCAAAUACAAUUAUUAUUUACACAUUGGUCAGUAAGUCGACUUCCAUUUUCUGGCCAGAAAACCUCACCAGAAACUUCCCCAAAGUUGCUCCUAAAAUUGCACCAAAACAAAGUGGUUGACCAAAUGUUUUCUUUAAACUUCCAGAAGUACUUCCCUCCUUGCUUUAUCACUUGUUUCCCCAGAUCGUUGUCUUUCGAUUUGCAGUGAACCACUACGUUUGAAUCUAUAUUAUUCGUAAUCGUCACUUUCCACGCAGAGAAUGGAAGUUGUACCCUUGUUGAUUGUGCUAAACAUGACUUGUUUGAUUCCAAACCAACCAAUAACACAAUGCAUAAAAGUAUGUUUACAGACUUCUUCAUCAUCUUCUUCUUUGGACACAAAUUAUCACAUGAACACAACCCUUUUUUAUUUUAUGUUUCAUAUAUAACCCAGCUUGAGAGUUCCUAACAGAGCUCAUUUACUUGCUUUUGUUAAAACAAUUUUGUUUUCCUUUUUAGUUCCUUUUCAGCUGAAACGUUCUACAUUCUGUUCGAUCUUCUUAUAUUCAUAGUAUACCUAUUAAUAGCUAUUUUUGUAUCACUUGUAAUAUUGAAGAAAAGAAACAAACCCUUUUGUUAAUGAUCAUAUCCAAUGUUUUUCUUUUUUCCUUGAAUUUAUGUUUAUCAUCUGGUUUAUUUUCACUAGUUAGAGAACGUGUGUAUGAUCCACGCUAGGACGUGAGUUUAAAACUCUUUGUAUUGAUUUUUGAAAACAUCUAAAACCCCAAGGAUUACUACACAAUGUUGUAUUUGUUAGAAAAAAAUUAAUGUUGAUAAGAUCUUAUCUAAUUUGUUUAUCUAUUAUUCUAUGUAUUUGUUUCAUCCAUCAUCAGUUGGUGUUAAAUAUCAAUAAUGUAAACCAAGAAUUUAUAGUUUUAUUUUAGUACAUAGAGUAAUAAAAUAAAUCUAAAUUAUAAAUUAUUAGUUUCAUUAUUAUUUCUUAUAAUUAUAAAUAUUAGAAUUAUGUUGACAAUUUUCCAAACCAACCCCUCCCAAAUGAAUGAAUAUAAUAUCAUUGAUAUUGAAAGUUCAACAUGAAUGCCAUUUUUAUCAUUUUAUUUAUACCCAAUAGCACAUAAAAUUUAUUGAAUUGAAAAAAGAAAAGAAAAAAGCUCAUAAAAUUUAGAGUUUUACGUUAAUUUCAUAACACGUUAUUUUAAUUUUGACCCAAUAAAUUUUUGUUUAACUUUGAGAAUUGACUCAUAAAUCUACAUAAAUUUAAAAUUUAAUCCACACAUCAUUUUAAGAAUAAACAUUAAUUCUUAUAAUUUGAUAAUACUCUCAUUUUUCAAAUAACUUUCUCUCUCAUUGGUAAGAAAAAAAGGUAUUAUAUGUUAUUAAAUUCUAAUAUAUUUGUAGAUAUUUUCCACCUAUUUUUAAAAAAUAUUUAUCAUUUAAAACAAAUUUCCUUUUAUUUAUAAAAUAUAUAAAAAAUCAAUUCUAGAUAUUUUAAUAAAAUAAGACACAAUUAAUUUAAUAUAACCUUUUACCUAACACUAACUUUAUAAUUUCAAACGUCUAGCCUUACACUCUCAAUGGUUGCUAAAAUAGAGAUUAAAUAAAAAUCUUCACCAAUUAAAUUCAUUUCAAGAAUGUGCUAAAGAUAAAUUUGAAAUUUCAACGGAGCCAUACAUUAUAUUAUCUUAACUUCUAAUGUGGACUAAACCAAAUUACUUCUUAUAAAUAUAAAUAUUAAAAUGAUCUUUCUUGUCAACUUUCCAAAGCAACCAAUAAUAAACACAUAAAAAAAUCUAUUUUUUGAAAAAGAAAAAGAAAAAACAUUGUUUUUCUUUUAAUUCUGCAUUUUCUAUUCUGAAAUUUGUGUGCUUUUUUUUUUUUUUGGAUUAAAAUUUACAACCUACAUGCAUGAAACGGCGUCGUUUCCCACGUAGCAACACGUGAAAAAAAACCAACCCUAAAAGAAAAAAAACCCAAAAACCACCAUCCCUAUUCCAUUCGAAAACCGUUUCUACAAAGCCGGUAAAGACUCCGGCCGAAACAGCACGUCGGAAUAAUCAAACAAACCACCCAAUGCAACAAACUCUCCACCGCCCAACCCAUUGUCCUCCGCCACCGCCGCACCGGAACCAAUCCCCAUUCCCAACUCGAACGAGUCGUAACACGGAAUGUCAUCAUCAAACCCCAACUUUCCUUCCAACUCGAACACAUCAGGAGAACAAGAAGAAGCAGGAGGCAUAAAAUCAAUGGCCUCCAUCUUCUUCCCUUCCGUAGUACUACUCAAACCUCCACUCGGCGGUAACCCUAACUCAUCAUCCGACGCCCCAAAUAAAUACCCGAGUUCCGCUUGAGGGGUUUCAUUAUUAUUAUUCUGAUCAUCCACCGACGAGGGGACGCCUUGAAUCUCUUCCUCAAAGCUUUUAAUAAACGAAUCAAGUUCAAGACCUUCAAUAGCACUCUCAUCUCGCUCCGCUACCACGUCUGAAUCUUCAAGAAUAUUGAGUAACAACUCAUCCUGAAUCUCCUCAGAUUCCACCAAAUCAUCAAUAUUCAAAUCACCAGCAAUAGCAGAUGAACCUUGGACAACAUUGAAAUCCUCCUUAGUGCAUGGCUUCCCAAUUCUCAAAUCCGAUGAGUUGAGUCUUCUAAGCUUGGACUCGGCAGAAUCGGCCAACGAGUCAUCGUCUAACUCGUCGUGAACUCGCUUUCUAUCCUCGGAGAAAUUAUCCAUGGAAGUAACUUAGAAAGAGAGAAUAAAGAAGAAGAAGAAGAAGAAGAAGAAAUAGGUUGGUUCGGUUCUAAGUUGAAGCCGCCAUUAGAGAGAAGAAAAAAGGAGAGGAAGAAAAAUGUGAAGUGGUGAGUGAGAAAUGGAAGGAGGGAGGUUUUAAAAAGAGGGGGAAUUGAAGGGAAGAAAGAGACAAAUACAGGUGGCGAAUAAAGAGAGGGUUUAGAAAAACAAUUUCUCGGUCGUUUUGUUCCACUUUUUCUUCCUUUUUUUUUCUUCUCCCAAUUUUAUCCAUUUUUGUUUCUUUUAAAUUUCUCUCCUCCGCUUUUUUUUCCUUUUUUCUUUUUCAAUAAUAUAAACAAAUACAUAUUUGGGUCUUCGUUUUUUUCCUUCUUUAUUUAACUAAAUUUGAAUCAAAACUUUGAAGUCCGUUGCGGGACCCACUGACUUGGCAUUGAAUUUCGCCUCUUUUUCUUUAAAAUAAAAAUUACAUUUUUGGGAUAUUAAUUUAUUUAUUUAUUUACAUUCGUUGGGGUCGGCGUUGAAUCGGUCUCUACGCAUUGGCUCUUGACCGCUCCACCUGAGUUUUGCAUCACUGUCCUUUUCCUUUCUUUUUCCCUUCACCAUUCUUCUAUUUUUCCUUCUCCCUAUAUUUUCAAUUAACUAAUCUCCACAUUUUUCCUUUUUUAUACAAAUGCCAUUUUUACCAUCCAUUUUCUUAAAUAAAAUUAUGCAAAUACUGAUUGAAAACAUUACUAUUCAACUCUUUCUGUUUUCUUUUCAAAAGUUAUUCCUAUAAUUAGAAUCUUCUACACUCUCUAUAUAAACAAAUCCCAGAGUUUACAGCAUAAAUAAACAAUUGAAACCCAAGUUCAUUACUAUUUUUUUGUGAUUUUCUAACCUCUCGAUUUAGUCCGAAUGACUAUGUUGUUACGUAACUUAAGAUUAUGAAUUUGUUGAGCUUUGAUUCUUUUCCCAGUUCCAACUAAACACUUCAAACUUUAAUAAUAAAUAACGUAUAAUCAUAUUUAUUCUAAGAUUAACUAUUAAUUAAACCAAACUAAAUUUUGUUGACUCAACGUUAUUCAAUGUGACUUAAGGAUAUAAAAGUUUAAAUUUUCGUAUAUUAAAAUUUAGGUUAAAUUACAAAUAGGUGUUUGAUUCUUUAGGGUUCUGUAUUUUUGUUUUUAGUGUUCAAACUUUCAAAAUGAUGAAAAUGGGGGCUUUAAACAGAAUACUAACAAAGGGAUGAAAAUGAGGUAUAAAAAAACAAAAGGAAGAGAAGGAAGGUUGUUUCGAAAGUAAUUUAAAGUAAAUAAUUAAUUGUAGUCUUGUUUAAAGAAGCUUCAUGAAUAAUGGGUUUCUUUCGUCACCCUUUGUUUUUUUAUUUUUUAGGGCUAAUUCUAAAUAACGAAAUAAAAAACGAAAUGAUUAUCAUGAGAGGUUUAGAUGAUUUUUAUAUUAAUAUUAGACUACGAAUAUAAAACUUUAAUAUAUAUAAAUUAAAAAUAAGUGCUAAUUUUUUAAAUUUUAAGCAAAAUUUUAGAAAUAAAUAACUAAAAACUAAAUUGUUAUCGGGUCUAAUUAGUUAAAUUGCAAGUUUAGACUAAUUGUAUUUAUUUGAUAGUUUGCUUUUCAAGAGUGUUUAAUAAAUUUAUUUUGAAUUUUUUAUAAUUUAGUUUCUAAAUUUAAGGUUCGUUUUAAAUUUUGUUUGUUUAAAUUUAUUUGUGUGAAAAUUGCAUUCAUACAAAUAAUUUUAUAUAGCAUCCAAACAUUUAAUUUUUUCUUCGAAACAAUCCAUCUUUUAAAUUAAAUACUUGAAAAUGCAAUUUAAAUAUGUAAUAGUUCACUAGUUUAAGAUUUAUAAUAAUUUUGAUUUUAUUGUACAAAUUAAUGUGAAAAUUUAAUAAUAUUUAUUACAUAAACAAAUUAAUAAAAUAAUUAAAAACUCAAUAAUUUUAUGAACUACAAAAGUCUCCAUCCUAAAAAAGAUAAAAUUUGACAUAAAAUUAUAUGAUAAUUUGUGACUAAAAACGGUUAGAAAGUAAAAAAGAUUAAUUGUUUCGUACUAAAAUAUAAAAACUAAAUUAGAAAAAUACACAAUUAAACAAAAUAAUUAGUUAGGUUAGAGUUGAUGUGUAAAUUAGUGUUAAAUGUGUUUAGGUUUGUGCGUAAUAAGUGUUGAAAAUACAAAAAGAGUUCAUAAUAAAAGGCAAUUUAGAGUAAUUAAUUAAAGUUAAAGGGAAUGGGGGUGGGGGUGGGGGUGGUGUUCACGUGAACCAUUUAACGCCGCCUGAAAAGAAUGAGCAAAAAUGGUAACUAACGAUGGCAAUGUUGCCGUUAUGACUGCCGUGUCGCCGCAGUUUCCCAGUCGUAAACGCCAACCUUCUCUCCAUCUAAUUGCUCAGUGGGUCCCCAUCCCAAAUUAUAACAAUUAAUUACAAUCCAACGCCUCAUAUUUACUCUUUUUCAAGUCAACUUCAUUUCUAUCAAUUUCCAUUGUUUUACACUUUCCUUUCUCUCAAAAAACAUUCAUAUUACAUAAAUAAAUACCAUCGUGUAACUCUUAAUAUAUAUCUCUCCCUCCAUACAGUCUAAGAUAGAAUAUUGGUUCCUACAUCCAAUUUGAUUUUGUUUUAAUCCACCUAAUCAUAAAUAUCUAAAUUCUAUCUCCCCUCUUUUCUUUUUCUUGAAUAGGUGCAAUGAAUAAUAAAAUAUAUAUAUAUAUAUAUAUAUAUAUUGAUAAUUAACUCAACCGAAAUGUUGAUGUUUUCAGUUGUUGUAUUAAAAAUGGUUAAAUAUUGUAUCAAAAAGUGAAAAGAUAAGUUUGAAAUACAAAAUGCUAAAUACUAUUCAUGCACUAAUUUGUGCAUGAUAAGACUUUUUGAAACGUCCGUUUUAUGAAAUGAAUAACCACAACAAAUGCAUGUUAGAUUUUCAAUACAUUUGUUUUUUUCUCUAAAAAUGUUUUUAAAUCACCGAUUAAACCAAAAAUAAUAAGUAGAAACAGAUUUUAAUUGAAGUAAAAUAUAUUUUGAACCCACAUACUCUGAUACAAUUUAAAUCAUCACUCGAUUAAAAAGUUUACAUUAAGGUAUGUGUAACGAUAAUGUGAUAAAAGAAAAAUGAUAAGAAGACGAAAAAAAAAGAAAGAAAAAUGGGAAAAGAGCAGUGAAUUUAAAAUUGGUAGAAAGAGGAAGGGGAGUUGUUUUGGUGGAUCCCAAAGAGGUCUGACGUGGAGAUGGAGGUGGAACAAUUGAGGUGCAGCUACAGUGCAUGCAGGAUGCCACAUCAUAGAGAAGGGGCCACGUGGGUGAGAGACGGGCGUGACAGGCUUCCACACGGCACCGCUAGUGGAGGGUUAUUAGCAAGAAACCGCCUUACAAACUCCCAUGCCGGAUCUUCCGGCGGGUGAUUUUAAAACCGUGGGCCCUGAAAAGAAUAAAAAAAAAAGAAAGAAAGUUUUGAAGUAGAGAGAGAGUCACGUGGAAGAGGUUGGGGCGAGGGCGCCGUCACGUGACGCGUGUGGAUGUUGCGUUGUGCGUAACCCCACGCUCAGAUAUUUUCGAUUCAUUCUAUGCGUCCUUUCCUUUCCUUUCCUUUUUCCAUUCCCCAUUUUCGUAUCCUCCAAUUUGUCGCUUUGGUAAUUAAACGUUGCAUCUACUCUUUUUCUUUUCUUUACCUUAUAAAUUUUAUGUAAAAGGGGUAUUAGGAGUGGAUUUGAAACGGAGACGGAUUUAUUAAGGAAUCAGAAACACGUGUUUCCACCUUCUCAACUUUUAUAUUUUAAUAUUAAUUUUGAAGUAAUCAAAUUACCUAAAUUAUGAUUUUAGUGUAGUACAUUCUUCCAAAAAACACAAGCUUUUAGAUUUGAUUAUGUCUUAUAACAAUUAUUUUUAUAAAAUAGUUUUUUCUUUGUAAAGUGAUUUUUUAAAAUAAAAUUUAUUUGAUUUCUGAAAAGAAAUAUAAUCUUUUAAAAAGAAGAAAAAAAAUCUGAGUAAUAUAAAAACCCCACCUUAUUUCCUCAUUUGUUACCUAACAAUUAUGUAUAAAAAAGGUGUAACAAAGUUGAUAGUUCGAUGGUAUAACCUUUUACUUUAAAUAAUAUUUUAUAAAAUAUAUAUUUUUAAAUCUACAUAUUUAUAUUACAAAAAAAAUCAUGUGAAAAUUAUCGCUGUUUUUUAUUGUGAACGAAGUAUUGAUGAAAAGUAAAGAUAUUUUUUUAAUAUUGUAUUUAUUAUAUAGUAUAUAGUGUUUUUUUGUCUCACUGUAUAAAAUCUAUUUAUGAAUCCACAGCUAAUUUGAAAUUGAAUUGAAUUUAAUUACUUUUAUGAUUUUUCUUUUCUUACUCAGAACGACAUUUCCAUCCUGUGGUAAAUUUAAGUUUAUAUUAUUAUGGUUUAGUAAUUAAAAUUGGGUUUUGUUUGGUGUGUGUCAAAUCAAUAUUUUGAUUAAAUAAAACGUGAAAAAGAAGAAAAUAACUUAUGUUAAAUUUUGUAGUCCUAAUUAAUUUUUAAAUUGUUAUGUACAAAAGAACUCAUGCAUGUAAUUAUUCUUUUAAUAAUACAACUUCAAUUAUUUAUAUUGUUUUUUCUUUUUCUUUUACUCUUUGCAUGUAACCUGCUCUUUACAUUUUGCACUUAUUUUUUUGAUUUAUUAAGUAAACUAAAAAUUGAAAAAAAAAAACACUUUUAGUGUCCAUCAUGCAGACACUUACAUUACAAAAGUCACGAGCAUACCAAAAAAGGCAAUAUGAGAAUUUAUGAAAAAAGACAAAAUGGACAUGCAAAGGUUCUCUUUACAUAGCCUAUCUUCAUAUAUAGUAGAGGUUAUUAAAAAAGUAUUUUGUGUACGUAAGAAUAUAUAUUUAUUUAUCACAACAAAUAAAUAAAAAAUUGUGUGUCAACAAAAAGCUCAACCCAACUAGAACCAUUGUAUAUAUUGAGAAUAAAGAGGGUAUAGAUUCAAUUUUUCUGUUUCAUACAUUUGUACUAAAAGAUAAGAAAGGAAGAAAAUAACGGUGAGGCUAAAUGAUAAUGGGUUUUGUGUGCAACGUAUCUAGAGAAAACUAUAUACAAAAUAUAAAAUUAGUUAGACUAUGGUUCGUCUUUUGUUUUUCAUUUUUGAAAAUGAAGAAGAAUAAAAAAUGAAAACAAAAUGGUUAUCUAUUGAGAAUUUAAAUUGUAACAUUUCAAAUUAAUAUUUAUUUUAUGUAUAUGUUUCAAACAAAUAUUUAAUAAUGAUAUAGUAAAAUAUCAUGUUCUAAACAGUAAAAAAAGUGUAUCAAUAUCUAUUAUUGAUUGUUCAAAAUUUUAUUAAUAUUAUUUUACUAUUUUUAAAAAUAUCCAUACAUUAGUAUAUUAGAUCCAUUUUACUUAUUAUGCAUGUUGCCCAAUCAUUUAAUAUAUAUGAGAAUUCCAAACAAAGCCUUCGUAAAUUUAAAUGGAGUUUUUACAAAAGUAACAAAAAAAGUUUAUGAUAAUAAAGUUCAUAUGAUCAUAAUAUUUUUCAAAUUUGCAAAAGUAUCAAAUUUAAAAGUGAUGACCUUGUGAUGACCUUAUAAUUACCAUUUGAUAGUCUUCGUUUGAAAAAAAUUGGUGUCAUAUACUGUUUUUUUGAUUUGAUGUAAUUUUUAAAUUUAAAUUCUAUCCCAAAACAUUAUUUGUUUUGUUCUCUCCAACUAAUGACAUUUGGUGCAAUAAAAUAUAUUAUAACGAAUUAAUUACUAAUAAUAAUUGUAAUUAAUUAUUAAAUAUGAAUAUAUUGUUUAGACCUAAUAAAGUAUGACAAAUUCAUUUACCAAACCUUUUAAUAUAAAUCAAAUUUAUUUUCAAUAUCUCCCCCUCUAUCAUAUCAUAUCAUAUGUCAAUUAUGUAAGAAGUUGAUUUAUUCCAUUAACCUAUGAAGUUGAUGUGUAAAUUGACCUUAUUUUUUCUCUUUGGGUCUAUUGAAGUAUGGUGGAAAACGAGAGGCCCAAAGUGAGAUUUGUCACAAAGUAAAUAAUAGUAAUGACCCACCACCCAAAUAGAUAUAAUUGUACACAUUAUUCACAACAGAAUUAAAGAUAAGUGAUCUUCUUCUUCUUCUUCUCUCUCUCUCUUCCUUUUCCUUUUCCUUUUUCCAUUAAAAAGAAAUGUCGUAUUCAAUCUAAUAUAUAUACACAUGUAUGCUUUCUCCAUCAUUCAUUGAAUGAUGAAAAAAAAAAAUGACAUUCUUUCUUUGCUAUCCAACUUUUUCUUUUUGUUUAUUGUUCUUUUUUCAUUAAUAAAUAAGUGUUUUAUAAGUCUACUCUUAAAGAAAAAUAGUUAGUAACUAGAGAUUAAGUUUAAUUCAUGAACUUUUAAGAUAAAUAUAUAGGGAGAUAGUUAGAAAUGUAAAAUAAAUAGAGAAAUGAAUAUAAUAGUUGGAUGAGGACAACUAUGAUUUUUAUCUAUUAAUCUAUCUACCCUUCCAUUAGUCAAAUUACGUAAAACAUGGUUGAUAUAAAUGAAAUACAAUGUUAUAUCAUUUUAACGUAAAGUCUAAUGAGUUCAGACUUUUAGUUUUAAUAAAUUAAUUAUUAAAAUUUCAACGUUAAAAUUAUAAUUUCAAUGUUAAAAUUACAAUUAAAGUCUCGUUCGAUAACUAUUUAGGUUUGGUAUUUUAGUUUUUUUUUUCUUUUUUAAAUUAAAGUCAUUAAUACUCAUUCUAAUGAUAAAUCAAUUUGGAGAAUAAAACUACCACUUUUCGUUUCUUAUUUUUCUUCUUUUUAAACGUAGAAUAAAGGCAAUAAUUGAGUAUAUGUAUUCCCAAUGAAUUAUCAAGAUCACAAAAUCAUCUUUCUCAAUGGGUGCAUUCACAACUCGCUAUCACCCUAUUUUUGAUUGCGUUCGACUUUAUUGCUUAUUCUUGACUUCAAUUUUAUGUUGUCUCGAUUGAUAUACGUAAAAGAUUAUUGUAAAUAGUUUUAAAACAAACGCUUUUGAAAAGUUACCCUAUUAACUUUUUUUUUUCUUCCAAAUACUUUGAAAAUUAAAAUAAAUGUUAGGAAGAAAAGUUUAAUUGAGGUUAUGUGUAUAGCUCAAUUAAUAUAAAGAAUUCAUUCUUCUUCCCUCCUAUUGUCAUUAAAUAGAUAAAUAAUGAUAAAGGAAAUUUACCAAUAAUUUAACAAUAUAUAUAUAUAUAUAAACAGCUCCCAAAUUAAUACAUGAAUUUGACCAAUUUUUUGCUCUUGCAUAGAAACAAAGGUGAUUCAAACAAUUUUGGCCAAAUUCAUAUUUUCUUCUUCAAUGAGUAAUUGGGUGAGGUCAAUUUAUUAAUUUUCAGACUUUAUAAUUCAUAAAAUAGUGACAUAAUAAUAAUAAUAAUUAUGGUUGGUUUUGUUAAUUGACAUGUUAUAUUAGACGUGAGACUUUUUCUUUCAUUGAAUAAGAAUAUUUUUAUCUUAGUUUUGUUAGGGAAUUUAAUUAUUUCCUCCCACUUCUAUAUUUGAAAUGAAAACUUGAAAGACUUACUUAACCCUCUACCAACCAUUUAUAUAACAAAUCAAAUUCAUUACUUUUAUGUUAUUUCUUUCUUAUUUUAGAAAAAUAUUGAUAAAAUAAAUAUUCCUUUUUUCACAAUUAAAAUAUGAUAAUGCUUAAUUUAAAUAUAUCUCAUAAUUUAAGAUACUCAUAAGAAAAUUUAUUUUGGAAUAAUUUUUCUUUUUCAAAAUGUACAAAAAUGUUGGGUAGAGAAGCAAAGAUUGAAUUCCAUUUCUUUGCGAUUUAUUCCUCAACCACUACUUUUGAUUUUUUUUUUCUUCUUCUUGUUAUCUAUACUUUUCUUAGUAUGAAUUAAACACGUUGCAUUGUCACCAAAAAUAUAAUAAAUAAAUAAGUAAAAGUGAUUAUAAGUAUGUCUCUUUAGUUUUGUUAAUAUUUUUUUAGAAGUUGAAUUAUAAAAUUGUUACAUUUAAUCAUGGAUUAGUUCCUUUUUAAACUAGUGGGAGGUAGGGGAUUUGUACCUUAGCUUUAAUCAUUUUGAAAUUAAGUUCUUCCCAACUUUGAAAUUGGUAGAUAAUAAUAAAUAACAUGACAUAGAAAAUAAGUAUUGAUGUAAAAGUUGUAUGAAUUAAUUUCUCACAAAUUUGGAGGAAUGAUUGGAAAGAUUUUGUGUUUUGAAAGUUAGAAGACUAAACUUUUGGCUUCUCUCAAAUUUUCUACUAAUUCACUAAUAAUAUAAUUUCAUAAUUUAAUCAAAACGUUAACAAAAGAAAAAGAUUUUUUUUUCUUUCUAGGAAGAGAUUAAUUAUUUAGUUAUGGUCAAUAAAACCAAACCAUUUGAAAAUAAAGGAAAAGAGACAAACAAUAAUCCAACACUUAAUAAAUUCAAUAAAAUUGGGAAAACAUGAGACAAAGAAAUUCCCAAAAACUCCAAGUUUCAAAUAUUCCAAUCUUUGAAUUUUGAUAUCAUAUACCACUUGUGAAUUAAUAAGCUUUCAAACAAAACAAUACAAAAUUUUGGACCAUUUUUAAUAAAAAAAUUCUUUUGCAUAGAAUGUUAUGAGCCGACUGAGAAUUUUUUCAAAUCGACCAAUAUGAAUUUGAAAAAUUUUCAAAUGCACAAACUUAAAAAAGUUAAAAGAAAUUAAAUCGAUCAAACAACUAAAUUACUAAUUAACCAACUUUUACUCAUGUUUACUAAACAAACAAACUCCACUCGACUAAUGUUCAUCCUAAGUUAAAACUGAUUAGUGAUCAAUUAGUUCAUCCCAAGUUAAAACUCAUUAGUGAUCAAUUAUUAAUUUGGGUGUACCCAAAUAUUUUCCAAGAGGCUGACCCUUCCAAUAAUCCAAGGUUUUGUUUCAAAGUCUUCAUUAUUAAAUGCUUUAAAGUCUUCCUCUUUCUCUAUAUUGUAUUAUGAACAUGAAAAAUGAAAGUGUGAGAAAUAAAUAUUUUAUUUUGACCCAAUUGUUUCUUUUCUUAGGGACAUGUGUGUGUGUGUGUAUAUAUAUAUAUAAACAUUUUCAAGUAAUUAAAACAAAAGGUUGGUGUAGGUAAUUAAAAUAAGUUUUUGUUUGCUAAGUUAAAAUCAAGAAUAGAAUAGAAGAUUUAAAAAUUAAGAAACUAAAAUGAAAAAAGAAAAAAAAAAAAAGAAUAAACUUAAUAGCCUAAUUAAAGAUCGAAAAUAUUCUUGAUGACUAUGACAUACAUAUAUACAUCUAAAGAUAUGGUUAAAAUAAAUGUUAGGUAGAAGAUUGGAAUAAUAUGGAAAUAAAUAAAGUGACAUAAUUUCAUCCAUCUAUUAUUUUAGUACUAAACUAUACUCGUAAACUAAUUUUUUUUAACCUAACACCUCAAGACUUUAGCUCUCUCUGUUUCAAUUUUUUAAUGAGUGCACAAGACUUUAGGUUAUCAAAUUAAAAUACAACAUUUGCUAAUAUAGUUAGAAGGCAAACUUUGGUAAAUAAACUAAUCAAAUUGAAUGAUAGGCAACAAAGAUAAUUUAAAAUAUAGACCAAUUAACAAAAUAUAAACACUUUACUUAUUAGAAAAAACACACUAAUAAACCAUCUCAACCAUAGCUUAAUUAACAAAGAAUAUUAUUUUAAAUUCUAAUCAUUUUAAGUUUUAUAUGACUAAGUUGCUCAUUUUAUUUAAAUUUAAAUUGUGGAAAUUUUCUUGACUGCAACCGUCCGAUUUGAAGUCUUUUUUUAAUAUAUGAUCACAAUAGAAGUCUUUUUUUUAAUACAUUGAUUUGGAUUUUACAAUAGAAAAAUAAUUAGUACUAAUGCCUAAGUUUCAAUUAAAAAUAAUUUGACUUGUAGAUAAAGUGCUAGUUUUUUUUUUUUUUUUUUUUAAGCUAGGGGAGAAGGAAUAAUGUUCUAGCAUUCUCAAUCUCUCUAAUUUUGGUCUCCAACAUCAUUUAACAAAAUAAAACACUAAUAAAACACUAGUAAAACACAUAUACGUAAAACACAUAUACGGCCUGAGAUUCGCUUAUGAGUAUAAGUGAACGAAGUGUUCUAGUAAAUGUAUGAACGUUAAGCUUAUGAAUAUGAGUGAAGAAAGUGUUCUAGUAAAUGUAUGAAUGUUAAGCUUAUGAGUAUAAGUGAAGGAAGUGUUAAUAUGGAACGUAGCUUUUUGGUUCAUACCGACUUACAUCGUUUUCUUUUUUUCAAUUUGUGCAGUCAAAUGCCCUUUUUGUUUGCCUUUGGUGAAGAUUUUCGUGGAUAUCAUAAAACAAUAGGUCCUAUCUGAGUUCUCAGUUUGGGACGUUCAUAUUAUCCCAUUGCCCUAAUUGUCGUUUUCUUUGCUUUAUUUUAUGCACGUUGUUGUGAGCAUAUGUUUCUCGUCUCUUCUCUUUGAGUUUUCCUUUUCUUUCUUUCUUUUAACAUGACUUUGCCUCUCUAAGUCUCCCCCUUUUGUUGUAGUAUACACUUUCAAGAAAGAAAAUAAAAACCCUACAAAAUGUGAGUCUAAAUUGAUAAUAGCAUACAGUUUGACAGUUCAAACAACAUCUUAUCUACUUCAAAUCUUUGUCCCAUAUUCAUAAUUGUUCUAAAACAAAGUUCUAACAUUUCUAAAAAUUCAAACAGUGAGAAAAUUCAAACCUUCUGUACAAUAAAAAAUUGUACCAAUCUCCAUUGAACUAUAUAACAGCAUGCAUUAAUUACAAUUAAAUAAAUGAAUGAAUGAGUGAAUGAAGUGUGUGUGUGUAUACAUAUGUGUGUGUGUUCUUUUGAGUUUUAACAAUAAGAAAAUCAUGAAGGAGAAUAUGGUAAUUAAGAAGUAUGGAAACAAAUUAAGGCAAUUAAUUAAAAUGAUUAUUUUACGAUUAAUAUUUACAAAGGAUUAGGAAGUUAAUUAAGCGUAAAUCACGAUGAACAAACAAAACAACUCCGAGAGUACAGCUUCUUCGUCUUCCUCUCGUCUCAUUGUUCAAAUUAGUUACUAGAAUCUGAAGGCACUUCAUUCAAAUUCAGUUCCUUAUUUUCCACAGCCACCGCCGUCUCACCCAUCGUCGUUCUUCUCUCCGGCACUCUCUUCCCUUUCAAGUACCGCAAAGCCUCGUCCAUUCUCCUCAAAAUGGCAUAAAAUUCCUCCACCUCCUCUGUCGAUGGCUCCUCCACCUCCGCCGCUGCUACCGCCUCUUUCUUCUCCUCCUCCUUCUUUAUCUUCUUCUUCUUCCUCCUCUUCAUCUCUUCAACCACUCCCCCUUUCUCCCCCUCUGACAUUUCCUUCCUCUUUUCCCUCUCCAUUCCCAGAUCCCAGACACAAACCCUUCCUCUCCUCCAAUCAAUCUUGAAAUCGGAGCGUCAAUCCAAAAGAUCAGAGCAUUUCUUGAUGAAAAUCGUCGAAAUCAGAGAUUUGUAAGAGCUAGCGGCCCCAUCUUCUUUGUUUUUCUUUAUUGUGCGGUGAAUCAUAAGGAUGAUCACCGCUUCUUAAAUGAGUUAUUUUUAUUGUGUGGCCGAUAGUUUUCCACCGUUGGAUUCACCGGACGUCAUUGUGCUUCAUCCAUCAUACGUCAUGAUAUUGAAAACUUUUGUGAGCUUUAUUAUUUGAAUACCACGCGCGUGAUGGUAAAGGAGGAUGCACGUGGGGUGAUGGGUGUGUUUUGUAGGGUUGGAUUUGGGUGGUGGAGAGGACGUAGAGAGGAUGGAGAGUGUGUGAUGUGAUUCUUUGAUUAUUCUUUUGUGGACUUAAAGCAGGGCAUCUCCCCUAGGUCGCUUUUUUUAAAUGACUAAAAUUUCGGUGUCUUUUAUGCAAUUUCGUGGGAAAGUUCCAUUACACAUUGCAUUUGUGAAUUUUCAUUUUAGCCCUUCUAAUUUCUACUUAUUUUCCUCCACACUAUUAUUCUUAUUUGCCCUCCUUUCUAUUUACAAUUAUGCUCUUACACUUUUAAAUUUUAAAAUAUAUAUAUAAAUUCUUAAAUUUAUCUAAACUUUAAAAUUUCAGGGGUAUAAAGCGAUAAAUCAAUAAUUCUAUGAAUAUGGUUGUUUGAUAAUACUAAUUUUGCCUUUUUUUUUUUUUUGUAAAUGUAUUAAAACCAUAUCAUUUUUUUUUUUUUAUGGUUGAAGUAAUUUCAAGAAAUCAAAUUUGUAUUAACUUGAUCCAUGAAAUCUAAUCUAAUGAUGAAAGAAAAAGUAAAUAAACUUUCAAGAAAAGAACUUUAUAGGUUUAAUUCAUACUACUCAUCUAUGAUUUUUUAAAAGAUGUUUUUUCUUAAUUAUAAAAAUUAAAUUUGAAUAUCUAAAUUUAAAAUUUAUUUAAAAUAUAGAGAAUAUGAAAUAGAUUUUUUUAAAAAAUUUAGGUGUUGUUUGUUUAUAGUUGAGGAUGCAAUAUUUGGUUUGGUAAUUAAAAUAAAUUGAGCAUUAAUAUCAUCUAUUUAUGUGAUCCCACACCAACAAUAUACAUGGCCCCAUAGCAUAAAAUUAUGUGGUAGGUGCAAAAGCUUAAUCAAUUCUUUUGCUUUUUCAUUUUAAAAUCACCAGUUUUUGUCGUUCAUUUAAAAUUUAAUAUCUCAAAGUUUUCUUUUAACACCUGAAUAUCGUUAAUAUUGAGAAAAAACUUUUACUAUUAUCACAUAACAAAGCAAUUAAACGAAACCAUACAAGGAAUUAUAAAUACAAAAUAAUUUACGGUUUAGACCCACGAGAAAAUGCAUUGCAAUUACAUAACAUAAUAACUCUUUCUUUUAAUUAAAAAAAAAAAAUUCAAGCACGAUAAAAAAAGAUAUUGGUAUUUCUAUUGACUUUCAGUCAUGAUCUGAUCAAAAUAGACAAGAUCUAAGAUGUCUUUAUCUUGGAAAUGCUAUGACAGUUUUUUAUCUGCUUACACGUACAUCAAACAAGAAGGGUGUGGAAUGCUUCAAGAGCCUGAGAGUCUGAUUCAUGCCUCAACUUUCAUACAAGAAGCUAAGUUUCUGUUUUGCAAGUUUUGUUGAUCGUUACUAUUUCAGAGAUGAUGUAGUAGUUGUUGUGGGUACUUUUUCUUUUUCUGUUUAAGCAUAAAUUUCUAUAUAUUAUGAAAGAUAGGAUAUGGGUAUGGGUAUAACCACUUCACUAACAAGUUGGUGGAGAGGAAACAUUUAUUUUUUGUACAAUAAAGUCAAGUAGAUAGGUAGUGUGUAGAAAAUGUAAUCCACUCAAAUGGAGCUGUCCCAUCCUUAUUAACACCUUUCUGCUUUUUACAAAUAGUGCUUCUUCUUCUUCCUCUUUUCUAAACAAUAAAUAUUCUCAUAGUUUCUAACGAAAUAUUCCAAUUAUUCUCAAAUUUCUCUAUAUAAAAAAACAACAUUCUUGGGGCAUACAUGAACUCAAAGUUAAACGUACACCCAAAAACUUUGUGUUUGAAAAAAUGACAAUUUCAAUCCAACCCACCAGAUUCGACGCUUUUAAGUAUUUAAUAGCUACACUAACAAGAAGCGAGUUAUUAUAGUAAAUCAUGAACGAGACAAGAUUAGCAAAAAUGGGCCUUUACAUUGCAUUGAUAGUCCUUCAAAGGCUUGGUAAAAGUAGCAAUAGAAGUGGGUCCAACCCAAUCAUUAUUAAAUCCAAAAUCAAUACCCUUAUUGAAAACAAUUUUGUGUCUCCAUACAACCAAAAAACCUGAUUACUAUACUUAAGGCUGCUUUAAACCAAAUGAUAACCCAUGGAUAUGCAUGUAAUUUCCUAUUUGAUAAUUUGAGUGUAAAUAAAAUGAACGUUGGAUUGAUUUUCAAUACAUACUAAAUCACCAAUGAAAUAAAAAACAAAAAUUAAGUUUCUAUUGUUGAUAUAUUGAUACGAUUUAUUUGAUAUAUCAAUAAAACCAUCUAUCUUCUUGAUGGUUAUUACGACAUACUAUUUAAUAUUCGUGAAAUUUAUCAUGGUAUGUGCAAUAUACUUAAAACGAGACUAAAAUAUGAUAAAUUUAUUGUUUGAUAUAUUUAUUUUAACCAUUAAAUUUAGGUUGAAAGUAAGGUAUUAUUUUGAAAAGAAAAAAAAAAACUAUUCUAUUGUUUCUUAUUUGGGCCCAUCUAUCAUUCAAAGGGCUUGGGCAUAUAUUGGGCCAAUAUUUAAUUCAAAUUUGGGCCAGAGGCCCACACCCCACUUGUGAGCCCAUUUUUUUUUCUUUUUUUGGAACUUAUGUGAUUAAGAUAAUGAAAGUCCCAUUCUUUCUAUAUAAAAUGUGAACUUAUACCCCAAACCAUUUACAAAUUGAUAUCUUUCUUAACAUUAUUUGGAUAAUGGAUUGAGAUCUUACAUGAAGAAGAAAAUACAUUUUUUAGCUUUAGAAAAGUGAAAGAGGAAAGAAAAGAAUGAAAUCAUUGUGGGGGGCAAUUAAGAUAAAUAGAAGACUAUUUUUUCAAAUAAUAAUAACAAUAAAGAAAAGAAAAAAAAGAAAAAAAGAAGAUUUUUUUUUUUUUUUAAUUUUUAAAAAAGUAGAAUCUUUUAUUGGGAGACUUGAAAGCCCUUACCAAACUUAAUACAAAAACACCUCACCUUGCCCAUAGCUUUUGACCACUAUAGUGUUUUCCCUAAUGUUUUUAGGACCCAAUUUUGGUCUUUACAAAUUUAAAAACCAAAAAAUAAAAAAUAAAAUAAAAUAAAAAUCAAGGACUUUUAUCUUAUAUUAUCAUAUCAUCCUAAUUCAAAUUAAUUGAUCGUCACACGUUAUUGAGUCCUUUUCAUGACUUGGAAUUGACGUCACAUAUUAGUUGGUACAAAAACUCUAUGCAAAAUUUAAAUUCUUGAUUGUCGUUUAUCGAAAAUGGUAAUUAAACUACGUACAUAACUCCCUUGUCGUUUAUAUGUCGUUUCAAUCAUACGUUCUUAGAUACGUUAUACUUUAACCGUACAACAACAACGAAUCUAACCUUUUAUAGCAUGACGUAACGUAACGUAACACAACGUAGAUCUCGUGUAUCUAAUGGGGUUAUGAGAAAACUACGUCAUUUAAACCGUUAUUAACGAAUAACGAAUAAGGACAGUGAAAUCAAUCGUGACGAUAUACAAAUGAUCGAUCGAGUUCGUUAUUGUUACUAAUACGAGACACUUUAACUAAAACGAGUCAUGAGAAUUUACAUUACGAAUAAAGAAUAUCAUAGAAUUAUAAAGACAUGUAUAGAGUUGAAUUUGCUGUACUCCUUGACAGGGUGGUACUCGUAACCUGAAUUUGAGCAAUAAUAAUGGAAGGUAGUACGAAAUAAUUUUAUUUUUAUAUCAUAUGUAUGAAAAAGAAGGAAAAAAAAAGGAUUUAUGAGAAGGGCUAACUAAUUUGAAAAUUGCAUUAAAUGUGAAGUAAAUUGGUUACCUUACUUGACAUAACAAAAAAGAGAGCCAUAUAUGAGAACUAUUCCACCUUUUCAUGCCAUUGUAGGGAAGCAUUUGUUCUUAUAUGGUGCAAUGUAAGGCAAUUUCGCUGUAAAUUUUGUGCCUAUUCUACACCUUCUUCUGGAUGCCUAUCAUCAAUAUUCUUUUUUAUAUAUACUUCCAUGCAUUCACAUUUUAACGUUCAAUUCUAUUCGGUUCUAUCUUAAACUAAACGUUACUUAAUAUUUUCAAAUUUGAAUUAGUUUCCUAAAUAUUCUCAUAUUUAUCGAGAUAAAAAUCUCAAAUUUAUGUUUAAUAUUAUAUUUUUUUUGGUAUAAAUUUUUUAAUAAUACAUAUAAUAUAGCUUUGCUUUACUCUCUCUCUCUUCUUUUUUUUUUUUUUUUUUGCUUUUCAAUUUGAACAUUUUUUUAAAAAUAAAAUAGUGUAAAAGUUUAAUAUUAAAAGGAAAAUAGUUUAAUAGAGGACAUAAUUAUAAAACAAAUCUUUUGUUCUUUUGUUUUACAAAUUAACAAAUAGCUUUAAAUUUUAAACAAUAUACCUUAAGAAAUUUCCUUUCUAAAACAAAAGGAAGAAGUGCUUUACAGCUAAGCAUUUUCAUGUACUUUCUUUUCUACAUUAUUUUUUAAAAAUCAAUACUCACAUUUUUAAUAAUAAAAAUGAUAAUAAUUUAAAAAAAUCCUCCUAGUAAUGAAUUUAUUUUCAAAAAGAAAAGAAGAAGAAGAAGAAGAAGAUAAUAGAUGAAAUUAUUCAACCAAUAUAAGCAUUUUAUUGUAUAAUCUGUCACAAUUAUUACUGUUUUGUAUUGAAUUUUAUAGCUUCCUUUCUUCCUUUAUUUAUUUAUUUUCUUUUCAAUUUGGUCAUCAACAUUAAACUUUGAAGCUAAAGAUUGAAUCUUUACUUCUUGAGAUUUUGUAAUAAUGUCAGCAUUUCAUUUAUUUCCCAUAAAUUUAUCAUAAGUGAAUGCAUUUGACUGAGAGGAAAUGUGUUGUUUUUCCUUAACAAAACAAUACAAAUUUACAUUAAAUUAUUGAGUUUUAAAUUUCUUUUCUAAUUUUAUUUGCAUUAUACAACAACAAAUUAAACUUUUCCUUUUCUUUUCUAAUUUUUGAAAAAUAACUUGGAAACAAAAAUUAAGAUGUAUAGAAUUUGAUAUUUGACACUUUAAAACCAUUAAAGUCUUGAGAACUUUGACUUGAAGAUUCUAAAUAAUAAAAGAAUGAAAAAAAAAAAAAGGAACAAUAAACCAAAAAAUGUGACAAAUUGGGCUUCCAAAUAUGCUUAGUGCCAAAAAUCAAGACAAAGACAAAGGAAACAUCAUCCUAUUGAACCUAUUUCCAUUUUAUUCAUUCAUUAAUUUAACUUAUUUUUCUAUUCUUUUUCUAUUACAUUUUUAAUGUAGAAUAUUCUAUAUUUUUAUGAAGAUGUGGAUAUUAUAAGAAAAACAGAAAGAAAUAAUAAUAAUAGUCAUUUAUUAAAAAAAAAAAAAACAAACAAAAGUAUAUCCCAUGUGUCAUAUUUGAAACUAUUAGUUAUAAAUUACCAUGACAAUGAUACUUUUAAUUAUUAUUAUUAUUUUUACCUCAAUUGGAUUUCUUUUCCUUUUCUUUAAUUUAAUUUAAUUUAUCCCAUUUACGCGUAAAAAGAAAUUAUUUUCUCUUAUUUUUUAAAAAAUAUAAGUAAAACCAAUAAAAAAAUUUCAAAAUUCAAAAAAUGAACUUUUAUAUGUGAUUAUUAUUAUUAUUAUUUUAUAAUAAUACAACGAUUAGAGUUAGGAGUUUUCAAUCAAGUAUUUUAAUACAUAACGUAAUAGAAUCAGAUAAGAUUAGAAGUAAUUAUCUUAUACAUUAUUUAAGACAACGAAAGGCUUAAAUAACGUAAAACUUUGAUAAUGUAUUAUUCAACAACCGUGUGACACAAACACCGACAUUAAAACAUACCUAUUGUCUUCUUCGGUAUCAUUCAACGUGCAUGUUGUUUCUCUAACAUCAUGUCUUAAUACUAAACUCAACCACCAAUGUAUUGAAAAAGGCAUGUAUAAAAAAUAUGGUUUGUAGCAUUUUUAAAUUUUAUGAUGGGCAAGUGAGAUUUUUAGUAUUUGAUAUAUAUGAAGUUGGAAAAGUUAGAGUGGGAAGAUAAAUAAAAAUCCAUGGAAAUGAGAAUAAUCAAUAUUUGGAAAGGGCCCACAAUUAAAAGAAAAAUAAUUUCGUAACGUAGGUAUUUGGUGAGAGGUGAGUUUGGUAUAUUUUGUAAAUGGUAUAAUUUGGAUGAAUUAUGGGUUAAUAAAAUUUGAAAUGGUUAUGUAUAAAUACUAUAGAUUUUGAUUGGAAUAAAGAUAAGUGAUAAUAGAAAAAGAGCUUGACUGGAGCCGGAGCUAAGGAUUGGGAUUGGGUGGACAGAUGGCCCAUGAAGGCAGCACGCGGGAGGGAAGAGGAGGCUCUUUUAGCUCACCUUAAAAUGCCUCAUUUCACACUCUCUUUUCGUCUCUCUGUUCACAGAUUUGGGAGAAAAUCAACACACAGAGAAAAGACGGGGGGGAGAGUUUGAGGGUAAGGCUCUGUGUUGUUGGAGAGCCAAGAAUUCACAACUGAAUCCAACUUCACACACCCCUCAAAGAAAAUUACUCUCUCAAGUCUUCAGUGAGUCCUCUAAAACCCCUUCCGCUUUUGCUUACUUUCUUCUAUUAAUUUGUAUGGUUUUAUUUCUUCGUUCCAUCUGUUCUGUUUUUUAAGUGUUUUUCGCCAUUCAUGGUGAAUUUCUUCUGUAUUUCGUGGGAUUUUUUACGUUUCUCUGGUUUUUUUAGUCUAUGCUUCUGACCCAUUUCGGUUUUUUCUUUAUUGUAGAAGAAUUUGUUUUCUCUCUUCCUCUGUCGACGUUGGUAAGAAAACUCACAAAAGGGGGUUUAGCGGAGGGAUUUAUGUCUUCUGAGCCUCAUCUGUUUUCUAGAGCUUUGAAGCAGCUCUGGUUUUCUUCUUCGUCUCUGUUUUUUGUACUUCACAUGCAAUUUGGUUCCUGGCAACAACAAAGUAUUCGACCCUUUUUCAUGCAAUUAAGAUCAAAUCGGUAAGUGGGUUUUGUUUAUUUUGAGAGUUUAAUUCCUGAGGCUCCAUAAUUUUGGACUGAUUAAUGGGUUUAUGAGUGUUUUUUUUUUUUUUUUUUUAAACCCCUUGUUCUGGUCUUUGUUUCAUUUCCUUUUCUUCUUCCUCCUGCAGGUCUUGUUCUGGAGUGAAGGGGUUUCAAGAUUCUAUCAGAUAUCAUAUUCUCUUUUCAAUUUUGGUUCAUUUUUGUUUCAUUGUUUUUGGUUUUCGUUGACAUUAAAGAUCACCUAAAGCUUCCUCUGCCUUCCAUUUCUCUCCCUUUCACCUUCUCAAUUUUUCAUCCUUUUUCGUAAAACAAGUUUUGCCCUCGUUUCUUUAUUCAUUAUAGUUUGAGGAUUUGACCACAAAACGUCCGGAUUCUGAAGUUAGUUUUCAAUUCGAGAUAUGUAUGGUAAAGAAGAGAAGAAAAUGAAGCAACUAAAAGAAGGAAAGUCCAUUUCUAUGAGGAAAGUUCGUGUACUGUUUCAUGAUCCUGAUGCCACUGACUACUCAAGCGAUGAAGAUGAACAUGUCAGUCAAGGGGCUAAGAAGAUUGUUUGGGAGAUAUCGUUUCCAGGCAUUCACCGGAAGCCAACGGAGGUGAGCUCACAGAAAGAAAGGGCUGAUGGAGUCAAAUUCAGAGCCAAGACUGAAGUAAAAGAAAGCAGUAGAAGAACGCAGAGAUCCUCGUCGAUGUAUAAAGGCGUUCGACGAAGGAAAUGGGGGAAAUAUGCAGCAGAGAUUCGCGAUCCCUUUCGCGGUAGAAGAUUAUGGCUCGGUACUUAUAACACCGCAGAAGAAGCUGCUGUUGCUUAUCAGAGAAAGAAGCAUGAGUUUGAAAGUAUGCAAUCCAUGGAGAAUUACAGCAGUGAACUAAGUGGAGGGAAAUUUGAAGAGAAGAAGAUCAAAUCACUUGUUGAUGACACUGCUGAAUCUGAAGAAAUUAUAGCUAUGUUUUCUCAUCCUUCACCAUCUUCUGUACUUGAUCUCUGUACUGGAAGUUUAAGCAGCAAUGGACUCAAGAAUGUAAUUGAAGAAUUCAAAGUGGAUCAAACUAGGGAACAUACAAUCACCAAAAAGAGUAAGCCUGUGCAAGAUGGAGCUGAAAACAUGCUGGAAUACAUCUGUAAAGAUGAGCAGCACAUUUCCAACAUUCUGGAAGAGGCACCGAUGUCGUCGAUGCGGAUGCCAAUACCGCCAUUAGGUGGUCGGGAAAUGGACUUUCAAGUACUUGAAGACAAUGCAAUGAUCUGCAAUGAUUUCGAUCAGUUAUCCAACGAUAUGAACUACAUAGACAAUUGUACUCUAUACAACAUUGAUAACAGUCUCGGGGCAAUCGAUCUUCCUCCAAUGGACAUAGAAUUUGACAAAGAGUUUUCUUGGUUUGACGAGACGUUGAGUAUAUCAUGCAUGUAAGUUUUGCAGUUAGGAGACAGUUAAUAGCAAGUAUUAAGAGCAGUAAAAAUGAAAAAGAGAAAAGAGAUUGUUUUUGGGUGAGUUUGAUCUUCAAAAUAAAACCAUUGUGAGGAUGCAAUCUGUGAUAAUGUUUGGUAGAGAGGGGAGAGUGUUCUUGGGUUUUUCUCUGUGCUUUUAGAGCCGUCCAAGAUAUUUUUUUUGUUCAACUCUCAUUUGUACUGCUAAGUGCUAAGUUAUAUAAUUUUUAUUAUUAUGAAUGCAAGUCUGAUAAGUUUUCCAUGUUGCUCUGCACCAAUUGCAUAUACAGAAACUGUCAUUUUUAUUUUGCUUUCCUCUUCUGUACUGUCAUAGAGAGACAAACUCUGAGUUUUGGUCUUGUCUGUCCUACUUGUUACUUUUUCUUUUGAUUCCCUUUCUAAGAUGACUCCCUGAUUUUGUCUCUUGUUUGAUUUUCUGCUUUUUUUUUUUUUUUAUGGCAAGUGUUUGGCGAAACCUUAUGAGGAUUGAUAGAGCCAAGGAGGCAAGUGUUAGGCAAUGUAGAGUGAGAAACAUAUACAAACACAUAAAACCUGACCAUGAAAGCGCUGGACAACACCGUGACAAACAUGCUCGCCUUGAAGUUAUCAAACAUGUCUUACAAACCUCAUAUUUCGGUUUCUUUUUUUUUACUUUCUUGACUCGGUUUGGUCACUAAACAAACGACUUCGUAGAGGUUUCUCUAGGCAAAGUCUCAAGGUUCAGGAAUAAGGUAAAGUUCGAGGAAGAACAUAGGUUGCAUUGAAGUUUUGCAUGUUGCAAAAGAGAGUGAGACCUUUGGGUUUCGGGUGUUGGGUUGACUAGUCGAGUUUGUUUUUCUCAAUAGAAAAAUAACUUGAGAAUUGCGUGUUUCAAAAGAAAAAGUGAGACCCUUUGGUUUUGGGUUGAAUAGUCGAGUUGGUAGAUUUUCCUCAAAGGGAAAAUAAUUUAAGAAUUUGCAUGUUCCAAAAGGAAAAAUGAGAUCCUCGAGUUAAGGUCAACUAAUCAAGUUGUAGAGUUGUUUAGAAGGAAAAAUAACAUAACCAAGCUUCCUUUCCACUAACACUUCAUAACUUCAAGUCUUAACUCCACUAACGUUACAAGUAACUCCAACCCGUUAUUAUACUUACCUAUUCCCUACUCGGUUCAACACCACACCAACAUGAGCACUUCUCUCAAAUAAAGCCCACAUGCAUGCAAGUUCAACACAAACAGGACCUCAAGCAAAAAAGGUAACUUUUGUAAUCUAAAGUGUUUGAUGUAUUGAUAAAAGAGUAAAUGUUAGAAAUGAGAAAGAGUGAUAUUAGGUUUUGAUAAAGUUAGAGAGAUUAAUUAAGGUUAUCAUAUGAAAAGGGAAGUUGAAAGGGAAGGGUAAGAAAAAUGACACACACUCACACACACACACACACACAUAUAUACAAUUGAGAAUUUAGGGAUUAUUAUUAUUGGUAUUUUUGUUAUUUUGUGGGAUUGGUGGGGAAGUUUUUAAUAUGAUAAUGUGGCGGUGGCACAAAGGCAGAGGAUGGCUUGAUAAGGAAGCAAUAUUUGCAUAAUUUGAGGGUAGUGGUUAUAUGUACUUUUCUUUUAUCAUUAAAAAGAAUAUUUCCUUUUUCAUUCAUUUCAUUUCUUCUUCUUCUUCUUCUUCUUCUUCUUCUUCUUCUUCUUCUUCUUUUUUAAAUUCAUUUUCAUAGCCUAAACCCUCUAACACUACAAUCAAUCAAAGUGGAGCCAUCUUUAUUUAUAUAUAUAUAUAUAUAUAUAUAUAAAACCAAUUAAUUUCUUUGAUGGGUUUAGAGUGAAAUUUACGUUUGACUUGAGUCAUUCAAUAUUCGAAAAAAGUCAAAGAUUUCUUGUCAUUGUCACAUGGCUUUAAAAGUUGAGUUUGAAUUUUCCAAACUCUUCUCUCCCAUUUUCAUUCAAUUAUUAUCAACACAUUAGGAAUUUUUCUGUUUUUUUUUUUAGUACAGCAGACUCCUUUUUAAUAAAAAAUUUCCAUGUAAUAUAUGUUUUUAGAGAAAAGUAAUUUAAUUCAAUAUGUUUUCAGAAAAUCAUUAAUGUAAUUGUGGAAUUUAAAAUAGUAAUUCAUUCUUUUUAUGAAUUCUUAUUUACGGUAAACAUUAAUAUGCAUAAUUGAUGUUUUGACCUAUUCAUUAUGGUAACAAUUGAUUGUCACAUCUUUCUGUCUUCCUCUCUUCUUUUUCUUUUUCUUUUUUUCUGUCAAAUUUUCAUUUGAGAAACUUAUAAUAACUUUGUUAAUUAAUAAGGAUUUAAUUCUUCUUCCAUCAACUUAGUUGAGAGAUGAAUGGAAGAAAAAGGAAAUAGAGAUGUAUAUCUCACAAUAAUAUAAUUCGUUCUGUGAAUUAUUGAGCUAUAAAGUUUAUUUUAUUGACGAAGAUGUUGUUUUUAGAAAUGUAUUAACUUUAUAUUGAUCUUUGGAAUGAUAAUUGAUGAUUGACCUAAGCAUUGAUAUAUAAUAAAGUAUUGUAAGAUAUUCAAUCUAAAAAGACUAAUUAGUGUCAGAAUCUAUUAUAUUUUCGAUUUUUUUUCCACUUUUAGUUAGUUGUAGAUGAAAUCUAAGUAAAGUUAUCAAAAUUAAAGGUUCCUUUAGUGUUUUUUUUCUUUUUGUAGUAUUUUCUUAUUCAAUUUUUGGUAUUAUUAACAGAAGAGGUAAAGUCUCGAAUCAAUAUAUUUAGAUGGAUAACAAUAUAUGGGGCGGAGGAUUCAAAUCUCAAACCACUUAACCAAUGAUACAUAUACUUUACUCCAGUUGAACUGUAUGUUUACGUUCGUCACUCCCAUAUAUUAUGAUUUAUGCAAUAUAAUGUAUUUUUUAUGCUAAAUGUCCAUAUUACCCCUAACAAAUCACAAAAAGUCAAUUCAUGCAUUCUACUCAUUUUAGUAUUGAGACAAUCAUUGAGACAAAUCCUAAACCCUAAACCAAUAUUGUCCUAAUCUAUCGUGUUUGAAUUUACUUUCCAUUGUUAUAAAUAUAUAUGGUAUCAAAUGAUUAAUAUUGUAGAUAGAAUAUGUACGUCUUAACGAGUAAACUAUGUUAUAUGUAUGUAUUAGUAGAUACGAUGAUAUAUUCCUAUACAUAACAUAAAGAAAAUUGGAAGUAUGCCCCAACUUUUAAUUAUCUUCCUCAAAAGAAAAGAAAAGGGGAAAAUGAUUUGAAGUGUUCAUUGGAUGAAUGAUGAGAAUAUGACUCUUAGUUUAUGUGUUGAAGAAAGUUAAUAAAGAAAUGAGGAAGAAAAGGGAAAGCCGCCAUGUCAAUUCAAAGAUCACUUCACAUGAAAACACACAUUUUUAGUUUAUUUUUCCAAAUAACAUUACUUUGUGGGUCCAUUCCUCCAAAUUCUCAGCCGCCUUCUUUUCUCUUUUCUUCAUUUUUUUUUUAAAAUUUUAAAAACGUCCAUCUUUUUUCCUAAAUUGAUAAUCAACACACUUAAUUACUAUCUAAUUUAAUUCUUAUUUUAUGUUCUACUAAAUACACCUAGCCUAUUUCUUUUAAAUUUGAAUUAUAAAGAUUAAAUUGUUAAAAAUUCAAAAGUCAAUUUCAAAAACUAAAAAUAAAAUAUUACUUUUCAAGAAUUUUCAUUUUUGAUUGAAAAAACAAGAGCUUACAUUAAAAAUUAAUAUAAGACUUUCAAAGCUAAGGUUGAUAUCAUCAAAAUUUAUUUGCAUGUGUGUAUAAGAAAUAUAAUUGUAUAUAUCUUCUCAUUGGUUUGUUAUUAUUUUAAUUUGUUCUUGGAAAUUGGAAUGCAAACAAAAGAUAAGGUAUGAAUUUUUCAAAUCCUACUCUCUUCUCUAUCUAUCCCCAACGUAUAAGUUAGGAAUUAUAUCUAACUUUUCUUUACACCAAAAAUAGGGUUGUUGGAAACUUUUGUCUCAUUUUCUCCCACACUUUUUAAUCAAAUCACCUAAUAACAUAUAUCAAAACUUGGUUUUGGGGUUUUAUGAAUCGUACGAUUAUUCACUCAAGAAAGUGUCACAUUUUGAAAUUUUGUGAAUAUUAAUCGUAAAGGUUCGACUAGAUGAGAAUGGUGAUCGAGAAAAGUUCAUUUGAGUGAAGAAAGUGUCAAAGAUCCACCUUAGAAAAAUUAAUAGACCUCAUGUUACUCUUCUUUUAAUCAAUUAGUUUUGAGAUGAAAUUAAUUGUACGUUAUUUAAUAUGAUAGCAAAACCGAUUAAAUCUAAGUGGACAGUUUGUUAAAUGAAAAACAUGAUAAGAUUAAUAAUCGAAAAGAUAUCAUUUUGAGAAAUAGAAUAUGAUAUUAUGGAGAAAUUAUGUGUAUGAUUUUGUAGAUGAAUGAAAAGAGAAGAACAACUUUAAUUCAUGCAUGUUUUAAAUCUUUUUUAAUUGUUGAUAAACACACACACAUAUUAUAUAUAGAUUUUCCUUUUAGGGGACACUGUUACUAAAAGUGAUAUGACACUCUAACAACAAGAUUCUAUUAUUCUUCAUUAAAGCUUACCCAAUCUUAUAUAUAAUUUAAUUAAUACAUGAUAUAAUAAUUAUAAUAAUAAUAAUAAAUAAAUAAAUAAAUAAACAAAGAUUCCAACUACCAAGAUAAUUUUAAAUUUAAUACAUGCUUUGUGUUGUUCAUUCCUUUUUAUCAUAUAGGAAGCUAGAGAUUGACCUUACUACAAUAAUAUGAUACAAAUGUUAUGAUAUUUUGUAUGUGUUAGGCACAAUAAAUUAAGUCAUCAAAUCGAAAUGGAAUAAAUUGAUCAUAUUGCAUCAUAACUUACCAAUAAUGUUGGCAAAAAGGACUUUAUGGGGGAAGUUGGGAGGAAAGAGGAGGGAAAUUAAAGAAGAAUCCUAAGAAGAGAUAUACGCACAACACACACUUGUGUGUAUAUAAUGAGAGGUCUAUUCAUUACUAAUUUCUAAGAAGAUUUCAGGAAUGAUUCAUGAAUUUUAUGAAAGAUUUUAAGCAUAGCUAUAUUUGAAUUGUCUAAAUAAAUUACUAUCCAAAAUUUGCUUUUUGAAGUAUAUAUAUUUGGAAGUUUGUAAAUUGGUUCAAAGUAGUGAUAGAGAUUUUUGAAAGGUUGUUUCAUAUCAAAGUUGGAUAUGGAUUCUAAAUUUGCAUACUCUCUUCAAGUAACAAUUCUAUACAAAUUUGAGAUAUUUAAGACAAUGUACGUCGUUCCAUUUUAAUUACCAACUUAGAAAUGACGAAAAAUCCCAAGUUAAAAAGAACUUCAAUGUUUAAGUGCGUACAAGUAUAAGAUUUUUUCAAAUGAGAUGCAUAUUCUCUCACACAACUUCAUCAAUUUGUUCAAUUUCAGAUUCCAAAAUUUUCUUCCUUUUUUGUUCUUCCCUUUUUGCCUUUAGUUGAAAUAGAAUGAGAAUCAGAAAAAGGCCGUGAUAUUAUAUUCGAAGGGGGAGGGGAAAAAAAAGAGAAGAAAAAAGAGAAGAAACUUACCUACAUUAUUCUAUUUUAUCUACAGGAAUUUAACCCCAUAAAAAAGCAUUGAACAGGAUCAAAUAAAUCACUCCAUCUGUUCCAAUUAUAAAUCACCAAUGAACUCAUAAACCCAAUAGGUUAGGUAGUUUAAUCAAUCAAUUUGAUUAUAAUAAACUGCAAAUUACCCUAUUGAUAUAAAACCUUAUCAGGUUUAUGGAUAACUUUAUGGAAAAAUAUGAUAGAUAAAUUUCAUUGACGAAUUGUUUGAACUUUGAACAAAAUCUAAAAGGAAGAUUCUUUGUUUUUUAUUUUUAUUUUUACUAAGAAGAAAAAUCUGGGUCUGAGGUCUUUGGAUUUAUUAACAAUAUACUAUACAAGAUUUUACUAAUGUACAAAAAGGCACUUAGUGUAGUCUUUUAAGUGAUAUUAAAUGAUAAAAAUAUGCUAUCUUAUCUUAAUCUUAAAAAGCAUUUAAAAGUUGAAUUAAACUUGAGUCCAAAUUUUGAAAAACGUCAAACAUAUGCAGUGAGAAAUUGAACAAAACAUAUUGAUACUUAAUAGAAUCACUUUUGAUUGUAAAAGGAACAAUUUACCUUUUUUAAAUGAAAGAUAUUAAAACAAUUCUAUGAAAAAAUAAGUUCAUGUUUAGAAAGAAAAAAAAUAAUGGAUUUGAUAAAUGACUUAAAUGACCUAGAGAGAAUGAGUUCAAUCCACCCAUUGAUCUAGAAUUUAACGUUUCACGUUAUAGAGUUGUUCCAUGUGAGGUUAGUGAGAUAUGGACAAACUGAUCUUGACGAAAAUCCAAAUACAAAUUAAACUUGCACAGGACACAGCUUAAGCAGAAUCCAAUUACAAAAUUCAUAAUCGAGUUGUUGACUAUGAAGUCUUGUGAUGGGUCUCAGUAUGGCUUGCAAUUUUCUAAAAUAGGCAAUCAGAUGAAGCCAUACUUUAAACGAAAAGUAACACAGAGGUUGAACAGAAGGAUGCAGUGAUAGAGGUUUGAUUAUUUGGGUGUGUUUUCUGACGGCUAUAAGUUAUUGACAAUAACAAAAAACCAAAAGUAAAACAAUUGCCAAUAGCAUUGUUUGUGGUGAUCCAUGCACAUUCCUUUUUUUCUUUUAUAAAGAAAUAAUAAUAAUAAUAAUAAUAAAAACUACAGCUGAUGAGGGUCGUCAAACCAUCCAAACAUUUCCCUGCAAGCCAUUUUGUUUACCUGCAAAAGAUGCGAAAAACCUUCAUCCUUCCAACUCGGAAUAAGAAAUAGUGACCGAAGGCAAAAUAAUUUCUAGUACUCCAAUAGUAUCAUAAAGUAUUUUCAUGUAAGUGAGCUCUACUCUAUUUUUUUAAAGUACGCUGGCGUAAGAUACAGAUACAAUAAAUGGACGAAGCUAAUAGUAGUAUAUGAAAGUUUCCUCCAAACGCAUCACCAACUUGACUUUAAAGUACAGAACUUUGUAAUCCAUAAGUUUCUUCCCUCAUUUCAUCUCUCCAACCUUUCUUCUCCAAGCUUUGGCCAUUGAAGAUCUUGAAGAAAUUUGGCUGUUUUCUUGGAUGAUUUAGGAGGAAUAAUAUCUAACUUUAUCAAAAGAAUUUCUUCUUCUUUUUCUUUGGUCCUAUAGUGUAUUAGGUAAACUUUGGAAGAUUCAAACCAUCUUUUGCGGCUUUGCCAUUGUUGAGAACUAAGGCGUGCAUCACAUUGUAGUUGGAAGACUUUUGGAUUCCUCAGUUAUAAAUUCAGGUCGUGCAAUGAUGAAAUUAUCUUAGGCCCUUCUUUUUAGGAUACAAGCCAUUCGUUAUGGCAGGCUGGCUACUUUAUUAUUAUAUGAACAAUUUGGUACGAAAGAAACAAAAAAAAUGUUUCAAGCCUUCCGAGGCUGGGGCACAUUUGGGCCAAAUUUUCUAUCGCAGUCCCUUUGUUGGCUGGGUUGUGGCCAUUUGAGUUAUAAUAUACACUCAGUACAGAUUAUUAAUGGAAUGGUAGCUGUAUUGCUCUUUCCAGCAAAACCAAACUCCAGCCUAGCUCAAGUUCAUAGUUUUUUUCCCCUUUAUUAUCCAAUUUCUUUUCUUUUUUCUCUCUAAAUGAAGAGUGCUUCUCACUCAGGACAGAGAAAGAACGAGCUACAAAAGACAAGAUGGGCCGACAGGAAAAAUGGGCCCAACAAACAAGAAAAGUUAUAAGAGGCUCCAAUUGUUAGAGAAAUAAAUAUUUAGAGUAUUUUCAGUGUGUUGAGCUUAAUUUUCUCUGCCAAAACGGAAAUACCUUUCCUCACGAAUAAUUUAAAAAAAAAAAAAAAAAAAAACAGAAGCAACCUACCAAAGAGAUAAGCUUCCUUCACGACAACUGGAUAGAUGACAACCUCCUCCAUCAUGAUUCAUAAAGCCCGCUUGAUAUUCAAAUUGACACUAAAGAUCUUCGAGAAUCUAUUCCAAAUCUUUGCACAAAUUGACAUCUCAAUAGGAAAUAUCCAAAUCUUCUAACAAAGAACACAGGAUGAAAACUACAUAGGAUCCUUUGUAGUAGUGAUAAAUCCUCUAAAGCAACCAACCAAAAAAAGAAUGAUCAAGGACUCAGCCAAGGAAAUCAGAAAGAUUAACAAAAGCAUCCACGGGGACACAUCACAUAACAAAAAGCCAAAUACAACUAUCAUUGGAACUUAGGGAAAGAGGGGAAGAAGGAAACGUAAGAACAAUAGAUCAUUGACUUUCCUAUUAGACAGGCUCUCUAGGAGUGAUGUUUUGUUUUUUUUCCCUUCCUUUUCCUUCCCUAUUUUAACAUCUGUGAGUGUCCAAGUCAGUUUGUAUGCACCUCGAGUAAUCACCCACCUACCCUACCUAUGGCCCUUAUUGACUAAUAGGCCCAAUCAAUGAAUGGUUGAAAUGAGUUACCUAAGAACACUUGAUUAGAAAUGGCCAGAGUCUUAUUAAACUCGACACACUAAACCAUAACAGGGCUUAAGCAAAGUGCACGAAUGAUAAUUAAAAGAAACAUUUUUUCAAAAUCGAUAACAAUUUACUUCUUUUUCUAUGUGAAGAAAAGUAGCAUGAUGAAUAAUUAGAUGGUGAAAAAGUUGAAGAUAGUUAAGGUUUUAUUUGAAAUUGUAGAGAAAAAAAAUCUUCUAAAAUUAUUCACACUUUUCUCCUUAAAAGUUGGGUUAAAAAGAGGUAGAAAGUCAAGCCUAGGCAUUGAGACCUGCUUCAUUAAGGGAGCCUUUCUUUGAAGUGACGUACAGAUCCUAAUAAAGAACUUGUUGAAAGCUUGAAUUUUUGGGCUGCGGAUUACAAGCCCAUAAUUUAAGAACUUGUUGAAAUGUAGGAUAAGAGAGUCAAAACAAAUUUAUGCACAUUCUUCAAUUUAGUCCCAGAGGCAUGUAACUCACCUAGCACUUGCAGAGUGAUGCCCAUAAGUGUACUGAACUCUAAAGGGAAUCUUCAAAAAAAAGAAAAAAACGCUAAAGAGAACCGCUGUAAUAACUUUGUGAUAGAACCCAGUUAUAUUGAAUUGUAAAAGAUGGCAAAAAUACAAAAUAAACCAAGUGUUCGAGGUACUUUGACCUUCCCAAUCUUGAGAUCACUCUCUAGCCCUAUUUCACCCACCAAAAUAUGCUUACCCCCCUUUUUCCCUGCUGACUUUAUUUAUAACCAGACUUUCCUAACAGACAACUUAGCUAUUUACUAAUACACCCUUAAUAUCCCUCUAAUACCAUUCCAAUCACUUUGGAAAGCGAAAAAAGUCUUUAUUUGGUAUAUCGUCAUUUACCAAUGCCAAAACAGUCAAAUCACACAGCCUGGUCUCAGGCUCUGAAUAAUAAAAUGAAUCCCACCCUUCCCUCCCUCCCUCCCUCAUCAAGUGUGCAAUGCUCUCACCAUUUUUUCCAACAUAGACCAAAUAGAUGAAGUCCUAAAGAAAGAUACAGAGAAGAGCAAGAUCCCGCCAAUAACUAAUUGAACUAAGUUCACCUCACUUCAAAACUAAUCCUCUCAGUCCUCAAAGUCACUAAACUCACAUCCUGGUUUGUUAGAGCAAAGAUUAAAAAUUACAUAGAGUUCCAUCCCCUCAACGUGCGUCUGGGAGAGGCAAGUCUUUUGAUAAAAUUAUACUCUUCCCACUUACCAAUCACCUGAAAACCCAUAAUAUAUAGAGGAAAAGACUUUUUUUUGGUUAAAAGAAACUAACUGCUUUUAUUGAAAAGGAACGAAAGAAUAAAAAGGCAUUCAUGAAGCCCAGCCUAAAACAUCCAGCUAAAGAAGAGGGCAUCGUAAUAAAAUGUUCUCAAAACUACAUGGCCAAAAGCCCCACUCGGCAACCCUAAUGUUGAAAAGAACAGACCAAUGGUCUACAAAUAGAAAUAUUGUUUGAUGUCCUUGAAACAUAUCCAGCCACCCUAUAGACACAAAAUGCAUCUGCCAAGUGUACAAUGUACCAUUGAAGGACAAAGAUUGGACCAAGAGAAGUUACCACUCACAAGAGCACACCCCAACUCAUCAUGAACUUGAAUAAACCCAUAAAAAUUCUCUAUGGUAGUAGUAAUCCCAUUUACAUCCAACUUCUUCAGGAUGAAUCUAGUAACACUAAAGACUGCAAAAAUACACCAACAUUGCCUGCAAAACCUAAGAUGGCCGGCUCCUUCAAAGAGCACGUCUCUCCCUAUAGUGUUACAGCACAAGCACCAGUGAUCGAUUCCAAUGGAAUAGUAUUUAGAGGUGUGCAUAAGGACCCUAGUGACAUUUCAUGUUUCACUUUGGGCUUUGGUAUUGAAGUUUUUUUUUUGUAAUUAUGUCCAAGAUAACAUCUUAAUUAGUUGGAAACCCUUUCUUUGGAAGGGUUGCUUUUGUGGGUUUGUUUUUUGUAGGCCCUUGUAUUCUUUUUUUUUUUUUCUCAAUGAAAGUUGUUGAUUCUAUCAACAACAACAAAAUGGACAACCAAUUAUGAGAAUGCCACAGUAUGGAACAUUCCCACAAUACCUACAGCUUCGAUGGCCCUCCACUUAAUGUUAACUUCAUGUCUCCUGCAUACACUUGAAAAAACUAUGAUUGUGUAGCCUUUCAGAAAUUUCAGUCAUUCUAAGAAACAAGCUACCAUUCAGAAAAAUGUUAGGAAAGCUUGCAGGCAUUGCCACAAAGUUAUCACACUUACAGAGAGUUAAAAACUAAACGGAAUUAUUAACCACUGAUCUGAGUUAAUAAUUCUUUUCACACCUCGUAGCAGUACAAGAAUAAAGCAAAGAGCUGAUAUACACUGUUAUUUAUUCAAGCUUUGACAAAAAGAAAAGGUUUGAUUUUCAGUACGACGAGGAACUGAAAUUAACCAAAAACUUGCAAACAUUUGAACUCACCGUUGUUCCACCCAGCGGAUCACUCAGAUUCGGCUGGCUCCACUUUAGGACCUAACCAAAGCAAGAAGCAAACAACAUCAGAUGAUUGUAGAGAACGUAUAGUUAAUUCAUUCACUCGGUCAUUGAAAUUACAUAGGAAACCCAAACAAAAAAGGAAAAAAUGGAGAAAAAUCCAGCCAGCGAGUAACAACUUCAAAAAUAAUCAGAUUGAUUUCAAAAAGUAUACGUCCACGGGGAUUCAUAAACCAAAGAUAUUUCAGAAAACAACAACUUCAAUACGGAACAAAUUUCCACUGGUGAGCAUCACUUCCAAUCACAAACUAAUUCCAGUACCUCGGACUAUCUCCAUUUUCUCCCAAAAAGGCAACAAAAAUGCAAAUUUGCUAAAAUUUCUCGAAAGAUUAAACAUAACGAGUACCGUGAAGGGAUGGGUGGCGCCCGUCCUUGCCCCAGCCGAUGCCACGAGUGGAAUCAAGGUAUUGUUGAACGAGGUGACGGCAUUUCUGCAGAUGGUUGACUCCUUCGAUACGGUAGCACCAUCUGAGCUUUUCCCUCAGUAUCUUGGCCUUUUCAAUAUCGAUCCACUUCUCUCUUACAAUGUAUUCCCUCAUCUCUAACAUCGCCACUGGAUCCUUAUACGGAUUCUCCGGAUCGAAAUCGUCCGGCGGAGAUUCAUCGAACUCCACUGUCUUCUUCCUCCCCAUAGCUUUUCCCCUUUCUCUUCUCUUCCUUGUGCUGUUCUUGCUCUCAGUCUAAGAAUCGCUUUCGCGCAACUACACACGAGCACAACGCGCCCAUAUUCAUGUUCUUUGCUAACUAAUGGGCUUCCUGCUGUUGUUGGGCCCAUUCUUGUUCCUCACAGAGCCCAACUGAAUUGGCCCAAUUAUAGCUAAAUUUGUAAAAUUCUAAAUUUUAUUAUAUUUUUUUAAAAAAAUUAUUGUUAUAUACUUAAAUAUUAUUUGUAAGAUUAAUAAUAACCUCCAAAGAACAAUUACAAGGUCGUGAAUGUUAAAAAUAAUAAGAUUAUGAAUCAACCUAAUUCUUAUUUAAAACCUCCUAAACACAAAUACAUAUAAGAUUAUUUACAUCCUAAAUUACGAAAUUACGAGUUUUGUAAAAGGAUAGAAGAAAGUGUUAAAUUUUUGUGUUUGAAGGCUAAUUAUGAUUUAUGAGUUACAUUUGUGUUAACUUUUGGGCAAAGGCUUACAAUUUUGCAAAUGUGUGCUUUGUUGAAAAUCUUACCAUUUCUAAACUGCUCCCAUUAGCAUUAGCAACAUACGAACCAAAUCUCGCGGCGUUGUUGUUGUUGGCGACAAAUUGAGAGGGAACCAAAUCCUCACACCCCAGUUGACGUGGGAACGUGGAACAUGGCCGGAAAGCAAGUUUCCGGCGCUGGUCUACCGGAGAGCAUUGCAGGAAUGUCGAAGAACCAACUAUAUGAUAUCAUGUCUCAAAUGAAGGUACUUCCCUUUUUUCUUUCCUUCUCGCUGUCAGAAUGAAUGUUGGUUCGCCCCCUUUUCGUCAGCUUUCUGAAUUCGGUUUUCGUCUUCGAGUAAUGUCUGGAUGUCGGAGGAAUGAUUAGUGUUGUGUUUAUUACUAUGCAGACACUGAUCGAACAGAAUCAGCAGCAGGCGAAACAAAUCCUCAUCCAAAACCCCUUAUUAACCAAAGCUCUUUUCCAGGUUUCAAUUUUUAGGUUUUUCGUGUUUUGAGAAUUGUUUCUUUUUCAUCUAAGCUUGCGUAGUAAAUCUUGUCUUGGCAGAGUAUAAGUAGGGUUGUAUGUGAAAACGGAUUUUGAAUCAUGGCUGGUAUCUCGAGGAAAUUGAAUGUGUUUUAGUAAUGUAUGAUUAUUGUGUGCACAUUUGUACAAUCUUUUACUAGGUUUAAUUUUGAUCUUUAUGAACGUAGAACUGUUGGAUCAUUUUCUUGAGUAAGUGGAUUUGCCUAUACCGGGUGAAAUCAAGUUAAUUUCGAAGCACCUUUUAGCAUUCAAGAAUGUGUAGUGUUCUUGAAGUCGAGGAAAGUAGUCCGUAACCUGAGUUUUCUUCUUAUUACUUCCUCGGAGACUCCAUUGACUGUCAAAUGUUUGUACGCCCUACUGCAAGGGCUAAGUUUGAACACUAGAUUCUAUUAGGCAUUUGAUUGUUCUGUUCAGAAUAAUUUGUAGCAAUUAGGUGUGAUUGCAAGUGUUAUUCAUAACAAGAUUUUAUGUUAUGGGAUACACUGAGUUAUGCGGUUAAUAGUGAGGAGCCUUUUUACUAGUUUAUAUACACAUUUAGAAAAUAUUAUUCAUUCUGCUGUUUUAUCUACCAGGCACAAAUCAUGCUUGGGAUGGUACGGCCGCCUCAGGUAGCAUGUCAUUGUUAUUCUGCUUUCCUUUUAACUUUUUUUUUUUCUGCAUUUUCUGGUAGACAUCUAAGUUAUUCUUCUGUUUAGGUUCCAAGCAUUCAGCCUUCAGCUUCACAGCAUUCUCAACCAUCAACACAGGCAACUCAACAAUCAAAUCUUCAGCCUACUCAAACAUCCGCUCCUCAAAUAAGUUUGCAAGAACAGACAAGUGCACCACCUUUGGCCCCUUCUAGAAAACAAUAUCAGAACCAACCAUCAAUGCCUAUCUCAUCGACUACUCUUCCUACUGCAAACAUUCAGCCUCGGCCAACACCUCUGAUUCCUCUACAGACACCGCAGCAUCCCAAGGGGUUUGAUAUCCCCCAAGCAAAUCCCAUUUCUGUCCCACAACCCUCUCAAAUUCCAAGUGUAUCUCCAAUUCUUCCAUCUGCUGCUCAGCCACCUUUACUUCAUCAACCUCAGAUUUCAACUGCCUCCAUGCAGCUGCAGCAGCCAUUACAAACAGCCGAAAUUCACCACCUGCCUCCACAGGCACAAUUGCCCCCACAUUCCAGGCCACCUACGGGUCCAAAUUUCCACCAGCACUACCCCCCUCAAAUGGGCCACAAUAUGAAUUACCAACCUCCUGGCAUCCCACAGCAUGUUUCACAACCCAUGUUUCAUGUAAGUUGGAGUUUUAGUUUUCAUGCCACUGUUUUCCUUCUCCUUAGGAUUUACAUUACACAAAUCUCCAAGUGAAAAUGAUCUCUCAACCUCUGUAGUCUAUUUUUGAAUGUUUUAGUCAGGUACCAAACUCCCUCCUGGCCUAGGAAAUUCAUUUCCCCAGGGACAGUCUGGACUACCUAGUCAGCCACCACCCCCUCAAUCAAUGUAUCAGGUAUUUCUUUUCUCCUUUUCGUUUUACUUGAUUACAAAGUGUUUGUCCUGCACAUACUAGAUCGACUGAGUUCCUAGAAAGCUGAUGAGUCCUGACUUGAGCAUGGACUAAUGUCUUCUGUUUGAAGAAAAUAUAAUAAAUAAUUUGUUUGACUGGAUUGCUGUGCUUGGCAAUCUUUCUUUUUUUUCAAUUAUUAUUUGACAAUAGUAGCAUGGAAGACACAAUGAACUUGUAUAUCUUUAUAAUCUCAUUUUGCAACAGUAUUAUUCUUAGGAUGUGCUCAUUGCUAUUGACUUAUAGUAAAUAUAUGUGUAUAUGGAAUAUUUGUCAUUUUAAACAUUUAUGAUAUUAUUCAUUUAACAUAAGGCAUACAUUGAAAAUGCCUGAAUAUCCUUAUGUUAAGGCAGUAUAAUCUUCGGCUGUAUUGGUGUAAAGCUAAGCCUCCUUUUAAUCAUUUUAGUCUUUCUUAUUUAGUUUCCAAUUGGAAAUAUUUAUUGCAAUCACCUCUAGGUGCUUUGGGGAUCCCCCUAUUUUAUUUUUUCAAUGAAAUGUUUCUCUAAAAAAAAUCCUAAUGGCUGGUGUAGAUAUUGUAAAAUUGCAAUCACACCAUAGAAGCGGAAUAGAAUUGUAGGUUCUAGAGGAUUCAAGUGGAAUAUCAUAAUGGUUCAUGUUUGAUUUGUCUUGUAUAGUCGUAGAUAUUCCUAUUAGCCCUGCCUCUCUCUAAGGGGAAACGGGUUUGAUAUCCUUCAAUCUUGCACAGUUCUCUAUUGAGUUUUCAUUUGUGUUCUUGGUGUUUUAGGUGUACGGAGGACUAAAUUUUAUCAUCUCAAAAAGUUUAAUAUGAGUGGCUUUUAUUGUUUAAUUAUUUCUGUUAUUGACAUUGUACAUGCUUCUGCCAAUUAUAUAUAGUUCUUAGUCAUCAUAAAAGGUAGGGCUUGUAUAUGCAAGCAGGUAUUGAAUGAACAUGCCAUCUUCUUUUAGACCAAAUUAUUAAUGCCGUUAAAAAUAAUUUAUCAAAUAACCACAAUAUUAGCUGUUUCAAUUUCGGUUGGUGCAUUUCUCUCUCAGGCUGGAGGUUCUAAAUUAGGUACAGAAUUCAUGAAUCAAGUUGGAACAUCAAAGCCUGCGGACAGAGGGCCUUGGAUGCCUGGCCCUCCAGAAAACCCUACACUUCCACAGCAACUAUCCGGACCACCACCUAUCCCAUCGGUCCCUGGUGGUCAGAUGGGCCCUAACAAUCAACCUCGUCCUGCACCACCGGUACUUACCUAAUGACCUUUUUUUUUCUGUUUGGAAUGACAAGUUCUCAUCUUUUUUCCAUCUUUUGUGAUUGAUUUUGUGUUCCCCUCUUCUUCUCCCGGUGCGUGGUUCAGUUGAGUCAGGAGAUGGAAAAGAUGUUACUUCAACAAGUCAUGAGUCUCACACCCGAACAAAUUAAUCUCCUUCCUCCCGAGCAAAGGAAUCAAGUGCUUCAACUACAGAAGAUAUUGCGCCAAUGAAUAAUGUUUUAAGAGGCAGGAUUCUCUUGGUUUUCUUCCCCCCAACCCAUUGUCGAUUCUUACAUCAUUGAUCAUGCUCUAAAUGGUUUUAGGCUACUAGGGGAAGCCAUCUUACUGCUGUCUUUAAAACUUCUAAGCAUUGCCAUGGAGAUUGAUAUGUUACAGUUAUUAUCUUUUUUCCUUCUCUAUCCUUUAGAGUUUUCGUUUUGCUCUCCAAUGGGUUUUUUUUUUUUUCUUUUUUUCUUUUUUUGCAUUCUUACAUAUUUGUGUGAACGACUACUUUCAUAAAGCAGCUUUGCAGAUGAUGUAAGAAAAAAUUUUAAUGCUUAGAACAAUAUUGUUAAAUUGUCAAAAUACAAAGAGCGACAUCUUGGGGAACCAUUUUCGAUUGUACUCAGAUAUCUGAGGGUCCACAUCUACAGCUUCUUUGUUUUUUGUUUGUUUUUUUUUUUUUCUUUUCCUUUGGGGUCUGUUAGCUUAAAGUUUAAUGCUAUAUAAUAACAAAUGAGGCUAAUUCUUCCCAAUUGUUCAGAAGAAACAAGAAUUCCUAUAUGAAAAUGAACUUGACGGGUCCAUAUGUAUUUAUGGACUCGUUCUAAAUAACAUGUACACUUGCAUCAGAAUCUCAAAAUGCUGGCAGAAUCGUGAUUUGUACUGCAAAGUGCAAACUGAUGAGGUCAAGAAUUCUGAUGGAUCUGAUUAAUAUCCAGAUGAUCUUCUGCUUAAGGAAGGUGAUGAGUUGAGAAACUCCUGACCAAGUUCCUUGAUCUUGUUUAUUAGAAGCAUUUGUUCAUUUUCAAGCUGUACCAUGUACUCUUCUUGGAGAUCCUCUAGACUUUCCAGCUCACUCAUUGCUGUUGCAAGUCCUUCAAGAUUGCUAUCUUCAAUGAAUGUUUGUAACUUAUUCAUCAUUUGUUUCAUCUGCAAGAUGAAGGAAUUCGAUGUUAUCAUGUCAAGAAGUUGGGUUAUAAAUUUGCUAAAAAAUAUACUUUUACCAACGUAAAAAAACACUAUUCUUGCCCCCAUUACUUUUGGUUUAGGUUCGUUUUGGUUUUUUCAAAAUGUUCGUUUGGUUUAUUUUGGUUCAAUAAUUUGAUCUCUUAAAAAUGAAAAUGGAAUGACUAAAAUGGUUACUUUUUAAAACUACAAAACAAACAUUUCGAAAGUAUAUAAACCAAAACGAACCAAAGUUCGAAAUAAAUAGGUAAAAGUAUAGAUCUCAAAAUAAAGCAAAACCUAAAUUACAGCAACUAAAGUAGUAUUAGAAAGGUUUUUUUUAGUACACAAGAUAGGUUUGAAGUAUAGGGAUUAAAAUGAACCAAAACCUAAAUUACAAGAACCAAAAUAGUAUUAAAAGAGGUUCUUUUAGUACACUGACCUGACUGGAAACUUGAUGUGCUUUGUUCAUGGGAAAUUCGGAAUCCAGACUGGUUUUUGAAUCCAAACUAGAUCUUUUAUCUAAUUCUGGAACUCUCUUGGUGAUUUGAAUAUGUAUCUCACCCCUUUUGACCCCCUGAAGUGGUAUCCAUUUAUCAAACAUUUGGUUUGGAGGCAGCCCUUGAUAUUCCACAACACAAUCUCCUAUGCUUGAUGUGGGAAGUAGAGCAUUGUGGUCUUUCACAUGCAAUAGCAGAGGGCUCCCAUUGUCAGGAAACUCCAAAACUUGAUUCCAUUGGGGACUCAGAGUUUUGUACAUGAUCUACAUGAAAAUUGAUCAUUUACUUCUCAACAAGCUGAUCUAAAAAAGAAACUAAAUUUGACAUAAUGAUGUGGAACUUGAAAGAUACCUUGGUCCUUUUCUUCAACUUUCCAUAUUGGACCCUCACGUAAGGAUCACUUGUCCCUCUAAUAUCAGCAGCAACAAGAUCUCUUGCUUCAAUUAGAACAAGUUCAAUCCAGCCAUUUGUUGGAGCCAAGCUUGAGCCCUUGUGAAAUGGAGAAAUGUUGAAUCAAAUCAUAUCAACAAGUAAGCAAGAGAUAGAUCUAUUUCUAAGUUUAUGGAUAAAAUAUGGUCUUUUUCCUAUCUGUUUCACAAAAGAUUGACAGGCUCAUACCUUCGAUCCUUCAUUGUCAUCCACUCUGAUGGCUUCAAUUUGAAGCCUUAAUUCACCAGAAUUGACCUUUUCAAGAGGAAUCCAUACAUCUCUAACUGACCCUUCUACUAAUCCUUCCAGAUUUACCCUUGCACUGCCAGUGUUAUCGUUGCCGAAAAUGUCUUCAGUAAGGCAUUUUAACUUGAGAUAUUCACCACCGGCAAUCUCAUCAAAUUCAAACUUCUGAUUCCAUGUUGGAUUGAAGGAGUGAGCUGUUCUUGUGCGCUGGAGAGCCUGAAAUUAUACAAGACAGAAUCGUUAAAAGGUAGCAUAAUCGAUACUAUCAAUAUUAAGCAUUGCUAUUGAAGAAAUAUUCGAGAAAUCUUAAGGCAAUAAAACUACCUUUCCAUACUGCAAUUUGACAUAUGGAUCACACUUCCCAUUUUUGUCUUUCGUGGGUAAGUCUUUCCCUUCCACGACUGUGAUGUUAAUUUUUCUUCCAGUGCUAGAAAGAAAACUCGACGCCCCAUAGAGAGAUUGUUGUGAACUAACAUGAUACCUGUUAGAACUAUGUGAACCAUCCGAGAACAUCCAUUCCUUUAAAACCAGCCUCACCCGCAGCUGCAAACAGAGGUAAAAAAUCAUUAAAUCAUAUAAAUGGGUAUAAAGCAAAUAGGAUAUGGAGUAACCCGGGUGUCUUUCAUUUCAUCUCUCUUAGAGUGAGUUUAGGAUGACUUUUGAAGACUUUUGAAUGUACGAUGUUUAAGUGAAUACUUCUUUCAUAAGCUUUCUUUGAAAAUAUCACUAAUUAAUACUUCCUCUAGAAUGUUUUUACAAUUAGUUAAAAAAAAUUCCAUCGUUCCAAAAUUCAUCCCAACUUCUCCAAGACUUGCAAGACACAUAAUGAAUGUGGGCACUAAAGCUCAACCAUUUAAAUUGAGGGUUUCACUCUCCACCAUCAACAUUAUAUAUACUUUUGUUCUUCAAUAUUUUAACACACAAGCGUGUGUGUGUAGAUAUAUACGUAUAUAGAGAUAGAGUUGUUAGGAUUUUACCUCUCCACAAUGGGCCCCUUCAAAUGGAAUAUCCAUUUCAACUUCUUUUCCACAAAAGUCAGCAUACUUGGCUACCACACUAGAAUCUGGUCCUAUUGCCCAAAAUGUUGUGGAAUCAUCUGCAGCAUAUUUCAUCUGGUCAUAGAGGACAAAGUUUGAAUUAGCUAAUACUAGAGCUUGGUUGAAAACUCACAGUAUUCAUUUUGCAUUCUUUGCAACUAUUUCUCUUUAAAGGAAGAUAUGCCACAUUUUGAAGACCCCCUUGUAAAAGAAGCCUAAUGAUUCAUCUCUUAUAAGAGUUCUAAUAAUAUCUUUAUAACAGAUAGAUUUAAUCUAUAAAGAUAUAAUAUUAAUCAUGGUAUUGGAAAACACGAUAGUGAACGUAUAUAUUUCCUUUUUUCAUUUUCCUCUAAAAAAAAAAAUUACCAGCUUAAUUUUCAUAAAUUCACACAUCAACUUGAAAUGAGUUUAUAUGCUUAGUGAUCAAUAAAUUUAUACCUUAACCUCACAACUUGCAAGAUAAUCAUGUUUCACAUGGCUUGGAUUAUACUCAUAAAGAUGAAACCGUAGGGUUCCUGUAUCUUCAUGUAAAAUCAUAUUGAAUGUCGUAUUCCACUGAGGGUCUGAACCUGAUCUUGCAUCUGUUUUUCUACUAAGCUUUUCAAGUUCAACCUCAACAAAUGUCUGCAUAUCUUUAUCGGUAAGAUGCUCUCCAAAUGAACCAUUAUUAGCAGAGUAGCUUUGUUGUCUUCUGGUUGGGCUUCCUUUUAAACUACUUCUAUAGAGUUUUCUGGCAGAAAUGACAGUCACAUAUACAAUACCACCAACAGCUUUUUUCCUCAGAUCAACAGCUGGCAAAGAGAAACAACGCCUGCGAGGUUCGACCAUUGUUCUAACCAAGGUAUCUGUAAAAAUUUUGACCUGCAUUGGAGAGGGAAGGUUGUUAAAGCGACUCAAAGGGACUUUGCAACCAUUGUUUUGAUUGCAUUUAUUCUAUCUACUUAUACCUUUCGAAAGAAUUUUGCUAUUAAUAGAAAAAAAAAAGAUAAAAACAAUUUUGUAGAUUUAUUAAGUCAAUGUCUGGCAUAUGAUAUUUACUUACGGACUACCAGAGAUGGAUGUAGAAAUAUACCAGCCAGGAGGAUACGCCAGGGAGCUCAGUUGCAGGUAAUGAUUGGCUUCCUCCACUUCCAAAAGCAACUCCUAUUCUUACAUCAGGAGUCGUGACAAAUGAAAAUAAAACUGCCCUCCCAUCCAAAAUAGGCAUCAAGACAAGCUGUAAAGGUAAUCCAAACAACAGAUGAAAUUUUACGAUGCUGCUAACUUUUCAGUGAGUGUGGAUUUUAUAUGGUUGAGUGGCAACCGAAACUCCAAAGACACCCUAAAAACAUAGGAAAAACUCUUGAACUAUGAACCAAGGUGAAUGCAUUUGUCAAUAUAUUACCAAAACAACUUUGGCAGUAGCACAGGUAGGACUGGUUAAAGCAACUACCAUUUGUAUAAAAGAUAGGAAACUGCUAUUUGAUUCAAAUCAAAAGGAAGAGACUCCGGUAUUCCUGAGAUUUUAAUUAUUGAAUGACUUUGAAACCAAGUGAACGUGAUCACUCUCUUUAGUGAACCAAUGAUACUUCAUGGAUUAACCUCGCUACAUAUGCUGAAAAAUGACAAGAAUGGACAACUGAGGAAAGAGGGAAAGAAAUUAAACGUACAUCGCCCUUUAUAUGGAGGCUGUUUAUGACAAUCCGUGCAGUUCCCAUAAAAGGCUUGCCCAAUUUUGCUUGCAACAAAAUGCUCAUUUCAUUUGUGUCCCAAUCGAAACUCAAAUGCAUGAUUCUCUGUCAAAACUCAAUGAGAAAACUUCGUUCAGAUUUCUAGUCUGAAUUUUCGGCUUGAAGUUACAAUGUAGUAUUUUUAAUCACCGAAAACUACAACCAAGUCUAGCAAUAUAGUUGUAUGUGAAUGUGUUCCUCAAAAAUGUAGAAAAUAUGAUUGUUAUUAUCAACAUAUGUAGUAGCUAGUAGCAAUGGGAUAAUCAACGGUCAACAAGACUCUUUUUUAAACAGUGCAGCAGUCCCGAAAAAUCAUUAGCAUCACAUUUGUAGUUAAUUGGGAUACUGCACCCCAUUUAUACCCAUGAACUAUUACAGGAGCUCGCCACAACGGCUUCGCCACUUUUGUUGCUUGCAGCUUGAACUGUCCAUAAAUCUUAACAAAAGCAAGACAACUACGGAAAAACAAGAACUUGAGAGGGAGGUAAAAAUGGAAGCUCCUUGAAAGAAUUUCCAGAAGAGUACAUGUUAUCUACAAAGAAGGAGACGAAGGACAAGAAGAAGAGCCCCACCUCAUCACCACAAGUUGACCAUCGAGUCCCACUAAGACCCAAGCUAGGAGGGCAUGAGCCUAGAGAAAAAUCCAGCAGUUCAAUUUUUUCCUACAAAAUAUUGAGUUAUGAGCAUGUUUAUGUUUUUGCAUACAAGAUUUAUAAGAUGGAAUGGCCAAAGUUAGUAUACUCACAAUAAGCCUGGACUUUCGGUCCUUCAACCGUUUCUGCACAGAGAAAUUUUUUAACUAAGUUAAAUGAUGCCAAAUUUGUGAAUAUAACCAAUAGCAAUAAAGUAUAUUCUCUGAAUAGAUUAUAGACAGUUUUAGUAAUAAAAUGGGAAAAAAAUGAAGCGUGAAGCGAAGAAGGAAUAACAAUACAAUUGCCCGUAGUUUGUCUUAGAUUCAAGUUUUCACAUUACUUUACUCCCGAAAUUUUUAGAAUUGAAAAUCUAUUUAUUUAUAUAAUGAAAAAAAUUAGAACAUAUAUUUUCCUCUUAAUAAGGAUCAAUUCAAUUCUGAUGAUGGCACACAAGGGUAACUAAAGAAAGAACAGUCAGAAAAUUCGAUAUCCAUUGUUCACCAAACAGACAUUAACAAAUUCAAUCAUGAUAUAGGUGCAACCGAAAGAAGAACUACAACUAAGUUGGAACCUACAAACAACUGAACAAUGUGAAUCAUGUUAUCAUCAUGAGGAAGUGAGAAAGAGUAUGGUACUCACAUUUACUGUGGAAGUAAACUUUGUGGAAAGUUUUGGAUUAAAAUAAUUUGGCCAUACUUCCAUCAACAGCUUAUUCAACCAUGCACAGGGUUCUAAAGGUGUUUCAGGCUGUAUAAAUUAUCAAUGAAAGAAAAGGAGAACUAUUAGCCCAGCACAUUCAACAUUUCAAAAAGUGUUCAAGUCAAGGAAAAAGAAAAGACAUGCCGAAGUGUUUGUUAUGAUUCGCCUCCAUUUUGUGUUCAACUCAUCAACAAUUAAUUGGCGUUGAUAACUUCCAUACUGCAGGAGAAAGAUGAUAUUGUGGUCAGUACUGCAUGCAAUCCCUGCUAAAUCUUAUCAGUUAACUUGCAGCACAUGAGAAUCACGAAAACAAUAAAUUUCAAACCAAGGUUUUAUGACAUUUUUUCAACUGAAACAUUAUAAUGAGGAUUAUAGCCAUUGAAAACCGCCAAAGCUGUAGCGACUAGAUGUAACAGUAACACAGAAAACUUCAAGAAGGUCAAGACAACCAAGUGGUUCAAAACAGAACCACCACUCAUAAAAUUGUAUUUUUCUGUAAACAUGUGUUCAAUAUUUAGGUCCCCAAAGACAAUGAUGUAAUAAUAACACAAAUUUCCAGCCAUCAUCUCUCCUUAUUAGAAUGCUUAAGCCAAGUGGUCAGGGAUGUCGACCAAGGUUUUCAAUACCAAAAUAACAAUAUUCAGUUGAUAGUUUUCAAUAAUCAACGAAUCUACUCAAUACCAUGUUUUUAAUCUUUAUUGAAUGUACUAUAAAUAAAUAAAAACCACUAGCAUGUUACAUUGGACAAAGAAUUUGAAUGUUCAGUAACUUAAUUAAUCAGAUUGCUGCUAUAUUUGUAAUCCUAGAAUUAACGUCUUCUAGUACAUUGUAGCUUCUGAUUAUCAAUUGCCACACAUUUUGGUCAGUGGUGGCUGCAGAAGCCCGUCGGUGGGGGUUAUCAUCCAGUUUCUAUAUCAUCAAAGAUGGAUCUAAACGAUCAACAGUUUUUGAGUUGGACCUCAAGGUCUCAAUGAAGCAUACAGACUAUAUAACAAUAAACUCCAUAGUCCAAAUCCACAAACUUUAUAAGAAAAUAGUUGAAGAACAAAGCAUUGACUCAACUCAAGGUUUCAAACAGAUUUCGAACGAAAUGACAAAUAUCAAACACCAUAUGCCCAAAGACAGAAAAUUCAAGAUUCCAGUCAAACACAUUCCAAUUGAGCUAAGAAUAGCGUUCAAAUAAGAUAGAAACAGAUCAGAAACAAACCAAGGAAACAAAGAACAAGAAGAAAAAGAAAAACGAGGACUAAAAAAAAUGGAGGGAAAUUGGAAUAGGAAACAAACCUGUAAAGUGGCCCACACAGCAACAGCCAAAGGAACCCAAUUGGAGAGAGAGAAAACCCAUCUCUCAAUAGACCAAGCAAUCAAAACCAAAGGUAUUAGAAAUGGAAGAAGAGGCUUCUCCGCCAUUAAAUGAUGGAAAAACUCCAUAACCCCUUCGCCGUUGAAGAAACCCCUCUUUCGGCCUCUUGGGCCGCCGUCCCUAGCCAUUUCAAACGAAACCCAAAAAAAAUCAAACCAAGUCUUGAGCUACGUGACUCUGCCUCUUAAGUCCGUCGUUGCAGAGGAAUAAGAAAUAGUGGAAAGAUCAUUUGAGAGCUUGAAAAGUCAAAAUUAGAGAAUUUGAGGAAAACAAAAAUCGAAAUUGGUAAAAAAAAAAAAAAGUAAAAGAUCAAGUGGGUAUCACAAUAAAGUCAUAGUAAAUUCAAAAUGUCAACUGAAAGAAGAUGAAUCGGAGGAGGAAGCUAAAAGGGAAAUUUAGAAUUGGGAAAACGAAGAAGACGAAGAAGAAAAGACACGUCAAUUUACUUCAUAACUAUAAUAGUGAUAACGACAGAUUUCUGUCUGUAUCUCUAUAAUAGUUUGAAUAUCACACACAUAUAUAUAUAAUUAAAUCCUUGAAGCUCUCAAUCGUCACUGCUUUUGCUCGUAAUCUUUAAACUCUUCAACCCCAUUACUGUUCAUGAAAAAUUCAAACUUCGAGGUCAGCUCGCAGAAUCAGCUACAUAGAAUGUUCUAUAUUUUGAAUCUAUUAUCCGUUAAAAGCUUAUUACUAAAUUCUUAAAAACUUUUAUCCAAAAAAAAAGUUCUAAUUAACAAUUAUACAUUGUUUCAAUUGAACAUCUAAAUUAUUAAAUCAGUUUAGAUUAUUGGAAUAAUAAGAUUUAAUGAGGAACAAAUUAAGGUGAAAGAAAAGAAAAGAGGUAAGUGGUUUGUUUUUUUUCUUACUAAAAACAUGAUUGACCCGUAAUCAAUAUCAUGUCCUUACAGGGAAAACGGUGAUAAAUUGGGUAUUUUAAUUUUCAAAAAAAAAAAUAAUAAUAAAAUAGAAGUUGUUUAUUUAUUUAUAGAAAAAUAUAGAAUAUUUAUUUGAGAUGAGAUUAUUAUUAUUAUUAUUAUUAUUAUUAUUAUUAUUAUUAUGUAGAAAGAAAAAAAAAAGAAAAAAGAAAGGGUUGGUAGGUUGACCCAUUAGUUUGUCAAUAUCGUUGGGCCCACGCGUUUUCCCGCGCGUAACGGUGACCGAGUUGGUGACUCACCUCGAAUUUGCCGAUUUGGAAACCACGACCCGGACAAGAUCCCCCCAACUUCAACUCUAAACAUGGUAACCAUUAACCAACACAUUGGGUUAUUUUUCUAAUUUUUCACUUUCAAUUCCAUUCUUCCUUUUAUAUAUAUAUAUUAACAUUUUCAACUAUACAUUUAUAUCAUACCGUGUGAAUCUCUUAGUAACAUUCCAAAAUGAACUAUAUCGAAACAAUGAAUCAUAGACCAUGGAUUAGAGUUUCGUGUUAUAAUUGUUAAGUAAUUUUUAUGGAUUUAUAUGACUUCUUUCAAUUGAGAAGGUAUGGAAAAUUAGAACACACGCAACAAAAAGAAUAAAAGAAAGGGAAAGAGACUCAGUACAACUCUCAAGCCAAUUAGAAUAAUAAUAGAAAAACUUUAGAUCAAACAAGUUGAUUUAACCACGUGAAAAAUACAUAAAGAAGCUGUAUAGACAUAUGACUAUUUUCGUUAAAGCGACUCUUCAAAGCUUAUGCGUAAGUGGAUUAGUUUGCACUUACAAUGAUCUCAUCAUUAAUUUUUUUUUUUAAUUAACUACAAUAACACUCGAAAGAACAAAUGAAACACAACCUACUAAUAUAAUCACCCAAACGGGAGAAGACUAGCAAAAUGGUUAGAUUGUAAGGAUUACUAGACAUCCACUAACCAUUGUUUAUUAGGGAAAAUUUGAAAUAAUAUCAACAUAUCCUUAAUUGGUAUGUGAGGGAGAUGAUCUUCUUUACCUUUUAUAUAUAUUAGCAAAAGGACCUUCUUGAAAUUGAUGCCAUGGAAAUCUUUGAUAAUAAUAUAACAAAUAUAUGCAUAAAUUCACAAACCCCAUCAAUGGCAGAUGGUCCCAAGCCUUGGAGAAACCAUAUAUAUAUAUUCAAUUUGGUCUGCCAAUUCCAUUUCUCACAAAAUAAGUCUUCAAAUUUCCAAACACAUUGAAGCUUGUAAUGCAUCAUCAUGCACCCUUUCUCAAAGCACAACAAAAUUACUCUCUUUUUUAAUCCUUUUUCAAAAAUCCACUCGUGAACAAUACGAUUUAAUUAAAUAACAUACAAUCAAUCAAAACUUUAUCGGUUGAACUGUAAAUCAGUAAUCAAUUAUGUAAUUAAAUUAUUUAUGACAUGUUAUUGUAUUUUCUUUGACCGAAGUGAAAUUGCUUUCUUUAAUUGGUUUAAUCAAUUAAUUAUGGAGCUCACGAAGAGUUGAACUCUUAUUUUAAUUUAUUAUAUUGAAUUGUGAUCUAGUUCUAUUUGUUUGGAUAAAUUAUUGUAAAUUAUUGUUUAUCCUGUUUUAGUUUAGGUUUUUUAUUUUUAAUUGUUAUAUUAAAAAAAACACAAUUACUAACAAAGUUAUUAUAUUUAUAUGAAAAAUAGAACCACAUUACAAGGUCUCAUAUUAAGUAAUUUGCAUGUAAGUAGACAUAGGACUAAAAUAAUGUGGACAUAUAAUAGGUCAACAUUGAAUGUAACAUUAUUUAUUUUUUGCACAUGUAUUAAAAAAUAAUAAUAAUAAUAAAUAAAUAAAUAAAGUUGUUCAUCAAGUCAAUAUUCAAUGCUUGAGGAUUUGUGUCAUCUAUUAAAGUAUAUAUAUACAUAGCCAAAUUACAUUAUAAUCCUUGAUAAAUCUUUUUGUCAUCCUCCCAAAACAACACUUAACAAAAAGGGCUAAAAUGUAAUUCUUUUUGCCACUUUCAAUUAAAAGAUACAAAGUGAAAGUCAUUUAUCUUCACAUUUAUAUAUAAUAGAUAAACAAAUUGAUUUAAAAAUAGUUUUUAAAUCCCACAACAAAAAAGGCUAAGGCUCGUUGGGCUCAUAAAUCGGCCCAAUACAUCAAAGGCUUCGCCCCAAUGAUAUUAAGCCACUUGAGCUUCAAAUUUAGCCCGUUUGACCCAUUAACCCAAUUGCUCGCCCGUACUCCAUUUUAUUUUUUAAUGUAAUAUUUAGCUUCAGAAGAAAUUAAAUAAUUACAAUAUAGUUUUCUUAACCUUCAAAUCUUACAUUGAUUGAUAAAAAUAUUUAAAUGAACUGUAAAGGAUUAGAUGAAUUUUAGUAAAUAGUUUUAUAAUCGGUAGCAAUUUUAAGUAUGUAGCAAUAUUUUUUAAAAAUUAUAAAUAUAGUAAACACUAUCAACAAUAGAAGUAGACUAUAUGAUUUAUCAGUGAUAAAUCAAUAUUUACAACAUAGUAUAUCAAUGAUAGACUUCUAUUAUUAAUAGACUUUGACAGAUAUUCACUAAAUAAAAAGUGUGAUCGAAAAAAUCUUCAAAAUUGUAAAAUUUUAAUGUAAAUAACCUAUAAUUUUUUAAAAAAAGUUUUUAGUAUACCUCCCCCAAACAACCAAUAAAAAGUAUAUAUAUAAAAAAAAAAACAUAUCUAAAUACAUUAUCACCACAUGUUCGAGACAACGUGUAACGGUUAACGUCUUCAAAAUAGAUUAAUUUUAAAAUAUAUAGUUUAGUAUUAGCCAUUUCCAAUAAGAAUGGGUAUAUAUAUAUUAUUGUUAAAAUAAAAGAGAGCGAUAUAAAAUUGAAUUAUACUGUUGUUUGGUUAUUUUUAUAUGAGAAAAAGAGAUGAUGAGAAAAUAUAUACAUAUAUGUGUCCACUCAAUGUGAUGUUUAGUUAAUAUCAUCACAUACAAUAGUUGAAGACUUGGAUGAGGAUGACAACCCAUUGUUCCAAUGAUAAUAUCUUAUUUGGUUUUAUGGAUAUAAUACACACAUUAUUAAUCAUUGCCCUUAAUUAUUUAAAGAAAUUAUAGUCAAGUGCUAUCUUUUUAGUUUCAGUGGUUGAGACAAUAAGAAGAAUAAUUAUGUCAUGACAUUUAAUUUUGUUUUAAUUUCUUCAUUUUAAUGCUAAUUUUAAUGAUCUAUAAUUAAUUAAUCAACGCUCUCAUAUCUUCUAAGGAAAUCAUUUAUUAAUCUUGUUCAAUUGUAGCAUGUGCAACCAAUCUCAAUCAUUAUAUGGUUUCUAUAACUUUAAGUUGUUUAAAAUGUGCAAAAGAGUAACAAAAUAAUAUCAUAUAUCUAUUAUAUAUAAUUAAUAAAUUUUGUAAUGGGUAAGAGUUUAGUGUUUAGGGUUUGAAAAUAAAUAAUCUAAGAAAGUUGUCUCGUCUCAAACAUUCACGAGACAAAUAGGAAAUAGACGCAAGAGAGACACAAAUAAUGAAAGAGUGGGUGAGAUAAUUUGGUCAUAUGGUCCAACAUGUCCGAAGCCAAUCAAAUCGUCCAUGUUCGCAUGCGAUCGUUUGACCCAAAAGACCCACCUUAACUAACAAUUUUUACUAAGUGAAUUGAUUAUAUAGAGCGUGAUAAAUUCACGUGGAAUAAGUUCAUCUUCUUCAUUGAAUACUAUAACCUAAUAAUCAAAAUGUCCCUAACAAACACUAUAUAUCAAAGGUACCUCUACGUUUAUAUUGGGAAGCAAAAUAAUAAAGUAAAAUUGAAUGGGAUGAUGACAACCCACCAACCAGAAUGAAGAUGGAAAGAAAGAAAUGAUGUGUAAUAUGUGAUUUUAGCGUGGGAUCCUUGAACUUGACCAUUUUAAGCAUAUUGGAAUUAUAAUCCUCAAUAUUUCUAUAACAAUAACUUUAUCUGUUUGUUCAUGCAUAUACUCCACAAACACCAAAGCUAAAAUGAAAAAUCAGUCAAAAAGAUCUCUCUCUCUAUAUAUAUAUAUUGAGAGACAGUAGAAGAAAGAUGAUCUAGUGGGGGAAACAUACACAUUCUUCAUUAACCCUUUUUUCUUGCAUUUUUAGACACCAUUAUUAUUAUUAUUAUUAUCAUUCUCUUAUUUAACUUUUAGUGCUUUUUUGUUUUGGCUUGAUCAUCACAUCCAAAACUUUUCCCUAAUAUCUCUUUUCAAAUCAAUAUAUAUGAACUUAUUUAAACUCAUGAAUUUUGGUUAUAUUCAAUUUUAAAUUACCAUUUAUAAAGUUGAACUAGAGAGUUUUAUGGUAUAUUUAACAUAGUUUAAGGUAGUCAAGAUCAUGAGUAUAUAUAUUUAAUAAUGUAGUAUCAAACAAAAUAGUUAGAGAUUUAUUUGUUUUGAAUAGUAUUAAUCAAGAUGUUGAAGGUGGAAAAGUAAACAUAUAAAAUAUUAUGAAUGUCCAAAUUGUUCCUUCUAAGGUUAAUUGAUGGUAUUACAUUUACAUCUUUUCAAUCAAAAGGAAGGAAAGAAAAAACAUAGAGACCAAUAAUAAGAUAUGAUGAAAACCCAAAUAUAAUGGUUUUGGUAUUAUAUAUAUAUAUAUAUAUAUAUAUAUAUAUAUAUAUAUAAUUUUUUGGUUUCACCACAUGGAGGUUCUCUCUUCAAUUAUUUUUGAUACAAUGGAUCCAUCCAUCUCUUUACACAAACAAUUAAAUUAAAAUCAUAGAGAAAAAGAAAUAAAAAAGAAAUAAAAUGUAAAAUCAUUAAAAUUGAUGGAAUUUAAUUGGAGGGAUGAAUGAAAAGAUUUUGUAUUGGGUGUCGACAUGUGGGAUCUCAAAGAAAGGGGGGUUUAGCUUUUUGUCCAAACAGGAUUUCCACAACCGACUUGUCGUUCGCAAUAAAAUUUUGGUUCCCUUGUUUUUGGCUUUUAAGUCCCUAAUUUUUCUAAUGUCUUAUUCUUCAUUUUCUCACUCCCCAAAAGGAAUUUUGUCAUUUUCAUAUUUCCCCCCACACUUUUGGUUUCUUUUGCUAUUUCGUCCUUUAAUCCUUUGUAUUUUUCCCUUUACUUUAUUCAACUCUUCCCUUUUUCUUUACUAAAUAUUAUUCCACAACAUAUAUAAUCCAACUUCCAACUUGAAAGUUCUUGUUUAGGGUAUGCAAAAAAAAUUAGAAGUUUAUAUCUUCUUUUUUUUACCCUAAUUCCAAACAACUAAAAGUUGAUUAAUGUGAUGUAGAAAUUUUGUCAAAUGGUUAAUAAGCAAAUUUAAUGUUUAAUUGACGAGAAAAGGUCUUUAUAGGAGGUUGAACUCGAGAUAUCUUGUUUUAAUGUCAUGUUAAACCACUUUAGUCAACUUAAAAGCUAGGUCGAAUAGAUUAUGACAAUUUAAUAUUAUAUCACGCGAUUACAUAGUUAAUAUCUAAUUUUUUGUUUUGAAAAUCUAUCGAGAAAUCUUGUACUAGCCUAAAAAAUAUAUCGAGACUACACGGAAAUUUUCAAGUUUUAGAUGUUAUUCUAUGGAGGUAAAUUUUAAUUUAAUUUAAUUUAUUUUUAUUUUUAUUUUUUGUAAUUAUGGAGUUUCCAAAAUGAAAAGGGGGACAUAAAGUUAAUAAUGUUAGAUAAAAAAUAGUUUUCACAUAAUAAAAUAGCAUCUUCCAAAAAUAGAUAUAUUCAUCAACAACCAUGUUGUUAUAUGAACACUCAAGAUCUUGUUGAGGUCCAAUCAAGUUAGAUUAUGUUUAAUAAUGCUUUUUCAAAGAUAUGGGAAUUGAAAAUUUAAUUAAAGCUCUGUCAAUGGCUAAUAAAACCCAAUAAUAUUGGAUUGAAUAAUAUUAAUUAAUUAUGAUAUCCAUGAAAUAAUAAUUAAUUAAUUUCUCAUUACAUGUACGAGAGGGGUUGAUUACAAGGAUAGAUAAAUUUAUAAGUAUGGCUUAAAAAUUAAAGUGGGGAACAAAUUUUUGGUGAUGGAAAAAUGAAGAAGAAUAAUUAAUAUAGGAACUAUUAGCUAAUUAAUGUUGUUGUUGAUCAUAUUAUAGUGAUCAUAUGGUGUUGAAUGGCAAUGUUGAAUAUGAACCAAAGCACAAGUCAAAGGGACCAAGUUGAGUUGAUGAUCCAAUCAUUGAUAUUCCUCCAUUUCCUUCUCUUAUUUCCUUUCCCUGUGAUCCAUUUAAUAAUUUCCAUUCAAAUUCUAAGUAUUAACCACAAAUCUUAUAAACAUUCAUCAUGUUUACUCACAUUAUUACACAUCCAAAUCUUAUUAUAAAUGUGUGAUAAUGAUCUAAAUUAAUGUUUGUCAAAAGUUCGAACAAGGGUAUUAUCGAAACAAAGAGGGAAAGUUAAGGUUGGUUUUGUAAUUUAACAUUUGAAAGAAAUUUAGUGUAUAAUAAUGUACCUUCAGUUUGUCUUCAGCAUCUGAGUCAGAGUUGAAGUCAUGAUAGGAGCUUGCAGCUGUGAGUUUCAUAGAAAGAAACUGUACAAAAACAAGAACAAAAAAUCAUUAUUUGUGUUGUUGUUUUUCAAAUUCCCAAAUAAUGCUUAAAACUUUAUUACCUCAACUUGAUUCUGCAAAGAUUGCACAUAAUUGAUUAUCUCAUCCAACAUCACUGCCAUUCCCAUUGUCUACACAAACACAAUGUAAAUUAUGUAAUUAUAUGUUUGUUGUCAUUUAAGGGUUUUUUUAGAAAAAUUUUGCUAAACAACUUCAAUUUUCAUUUACCUUGUAACAUCCAGGAACAAUGUCUUGUAAACAUCUCAAUCUUUCAUUGAUUUUGCCUCUUCUUAUCUGUUUGAGAAUAACAGUAAUGUUUGUAUCUCCAUAAAUACAUUUGUAAAAGAAAAGAAAAGGUCUAAAUUUAUGUUCUUCAAAUCAAAGUUACGUACCCUUUCUGCUACACUAUGACUGUCUGUUGCUUGACCUCUUCUAGCUCUAACAUGAACAACUUCCCUCGGUUUUUCGCCGUCGUUUGUGUCGCCUUUUUUCGACCGCUUCUCUUUUCCAUUGUUCUGCAGACAUGAAAAUAAUACAUGGAAGUAAGAACAUUUCCAUAAGUUUUGUAAUUUGAGAAUAGAAAAACGAAAAAGGAUGAGAGUUUUUUUUGUUUACAUUUUUGGUGUUGAUCCCAUUUUCAGAAACUUGAGGGGUAGAGUUGCCAGAGCUGCUUUCAUAUGCAUCAUUAUUUUCAAGCUUUCUUUUCUUGCUUCCAUGGAGGUCAUUUCCAAAUAGAUUUUUAGGCUCAAAAACAGGAGAAGAAGUGGGAGUUAUGAUCUGAUUGGCUUGAUGAUGAGAGAAAAUCCCUUGGAAAUUUUCUCCCCAAUUUUCUAGGAAUCUAGGAGAAGGAACAGCAGUUUGAUUGUUAAAGAAACUUUCACUGAACAAAAUUGGAAUGUUGUCAAGAAAAUUAAGAUUUGGGUUUUGGUUGGGAUCUAUAUCCAUUAGAGGGAAAGAUGAUGGUUUUAAGCUUUGAAAGUUCGGAGUGAAGUCAGCCAUGGAAUGUUUUGAACUAAAACUUUUUUUUUCAAAACCCCAAGUUUGUGUUAUUGUGGAUAAUGAAUUUUUUCUCUAAAACUUGUAUUUAUAGUGUGGAAUUUAGUCUAUGAUUGAUCAGUUUCUUAAUUAUAUUCAAAUUUUAAGCUUUUAUUUAUAUAAAAAAAGAACAUUGAAAAUUAAGGGUUUGGUGUUGUUGGCCCUCUAAAUUAAUGGACCCCUUAUAAUUUCAGGAGUGCAUAUCCAAUAAUGAUAAGCUUUUGGCUCUAUACACUCUGUGAACAUUCCUUUAACUUAUCCACAAAAGUCCUGAUUUGAGAAUAGGAAGUUCUCGACCUCUGAUACCAAAAUGGUUUCUUUAACACAAUCAAAGUGAAAUUGAAAAAGGAAUCAAAGUGACAAGGUCAAGAAAAAACGACAAGAGAUUCAGCCAAAGAUAACAGAAUAGGCUUAGUGCAUGUGUGUCCUCUCACCAAAAGUAAUAGCCUACGACGACCAAAGAGGGGUCUAGAGGAAGGAACAUAUGCCUUACCACGCUCGCCUAGUAAGUUGAAUAAUUAUUUUGAAUAAUCGACUUUCAAACAAGAAAGUAAGCUCAUUCUCACUCUCAAACUCUUAAACUUUUACAUACUAAUUCACCUUCUAAUUUAAAUAUCAAAGUGUGUAAUAAUCAAAUUAUGUGACAAAUGUUUAAACCUUUACUUUGUCUAUAAAACCUCACUCAAUUAAGUUUGAGAUGAUCAAGUUGUGUGAUAAUAAACAACUGUACACAUAUUAAAGAAAGAAAUAUAAUUGACAGGAAAGUGUGUACUAUUUUUAUAAGGUGAACAAUCAUUUUCCAAAGUGUAUAAAUCACUAUUUUGCAGUGCACUUUCCUUCACAAAAUACUUUGUUUUUGUGCAUAUAUGAAAUGAAUCUGGCCGACAUUGAUGAUUACUACAUUGAACCCAUUUUGCAUAUGUUAAUGCAUCUUAUCUCCUUGUUUUACAACAAUAUGUUUUCUUGUUACAUUAUCAUCAUCAUUUGCUUCCCAUAGAGUUUGAAACUUUACUUUAAGGUUAUAUAAAACUAAUGUGAUUUCAUUUAAUAAAGUGGGAGAAGUAUCAACAUCGUCUUCAUUCAAAAGUUAUAGCUUCCAUUCAUUGUCAUAACAAAGUGUUAAUAGCAACUAAAGUACACCAUUCUAAACUUAUCUAUAAGAUACAUAGUUCUAAAAAAACAAAAAACAAAACUAAACCCUAGACGACCCACCUUAUUUAAAUUCAAUAAUGAGACAAAGAUAAGAAUUGAAAAAUCCCAUAUGGUUGGAUGUCAAGUGUGCAUCCUCAAGUCCACUCUUUUACCAUUCAAAACGAAACAAAUAUUCUACUUAGUUAACAUAUUGGAAAAGUAGAAAAAAAAAGAGAGUGAAAAAGUAAAUAGAUGAUUACAAAUUUCUUGCUGAUUUAACUCUGACUCACAAGUCAACAAUCACAAAAAUCAGUCUGAUCUCUACCCAAAAAAUAAAGUAAUUAUUGGAAUUGUACAAUAUCUUUUAAAUUACAAUGCAAUAAUAUAUUUCUCAAUUAUGCAGUAAUAACUAUCUACUAUUAUUCAUUGCCCAAUUAUCUCUUCCAUUUUUAUUUUUCUUUUGAAGGAUUUUUCAUAGCAAGUGGCAAGUUGGGUUGAUUUUCUCUCAGGUUUCAAAGGACCAUUAGGGUUUGAAUUUGACUUCAAAUUGUCUUGAUUUGAUUAUCCCUUUAGGGUUAGUGCAAUUCAUUCUUGGGCCCUAAUUUUCUUAUGGCCCAUUGUUGUUUGUUCUCAGGGAAAAUGGCCUUUUUAGCUCACUUGUAAUUUGACCUCUAAUUUGGUUGAGGAAGGUACAAAAUUAGUCUAUAUUAUUAUACCAUUUCAUGUUCAAAAAUCCUUUUUCACUCAACUUUUAUAAAACAAUCGACACUUGUUUUAUAAGUGCAAAAGUAGAUGGAUGUAACCCUCUCAUUGUCAAUUAAUUUUAGAAUAAAAUCUUAUACUAUGAAAUAUAGUAUCAUAGUCCAUAAAAUUCAAAUGAAUACUCAGUUCAAUAAAACAAAAUUAAGAUCCAAUCAAGAUUAGUGAAAACCCAGAAAGACAUCAUCUUGACCACAUUUAUAAGAUAGAUGAAUUAGAACUAGUUAUUUGAAUCUCUUACUUCUAAGAUGAAAUGUCAUGUCAAUUAUCGUCGAGCUAAGCUAACGUAUCUAUAGAUAGUUGGGAUUGAGUAAAAGUUUGAAAUAUUAUACAUUUGGUAGGAGGAGUAGGUUAGUUAUAGCUAUCAUUGCCCACCAGAAAUGCCUACCCUUCAAGGCUUAACAGUAAAAGAUAUAUCCCCCAAUCAAUUAAAGAAACUAUAUACUUAAACAAGCUGCUAAAGUAAAUGGUCAAACAUAACAUAUAUACAUAUAUUUAUAUAAGAGUUGGAAGUCUAAGGCUACAAGGCAAAUGGCUAGCUGCUUCUCUAGGGGGGAAAAGUCUACAAUUACUACUGUAUCUACAAACAAAUUGGGAAGAAUACUUACAUUUUAUCCAUGUAAGAGGCAUUUGAUGCUACAUUUUUCCAUCACUAACAAAACGAAGGAGUAAUAAAGUAAUAUAUGAUGUAAAACCAUAGGUACAUUUGGUCAAACACAUUAAUUUAUGAACUGCCAACCAAAAGCCAAAAUGCUCCAAUGGGAUUUUGACCUCAUUUAUCAGCAACCAUUAAUUUUCUUUUCGAUCUGUUUUUUCUUUCAAAGACUAAACCAUAUAUGAUGUUGAAGUUAAAUAGUUAUCUGUCUUGUUUAUUUUAUAAUUCAUGUUGGCCGCCGUUGAUCAAGCUCCUAAUUUUUUCUUUCUAACUUAUGAUAAUUAAUUUCCUCUCUUUAAUGUCUUUUUUCUCCUCCAUCCUCUUGUCAUAUAAUCCUCAAUAUUUGAUUUAAAGUUUUAACCCUUUUUUUUUUUCACUUAUUGUUUCGUAUAGUAAUGAGUUUCAUCUAUGAAGCGAGUUCAUCCUGGAACAUUCUUUUGCUAAUGAGAAGAGUUAAAAAUUAAAUUUGGUAUCCAUUAUGUGUUAACAAAAAUUUGGUGCCACUAUGUCUUAUUUCUCUUCCACUUUUAUUAGAGUGAUUUGGGUGUUGAAGGUAAGUUUCCCUAAAUCUAAAGGGCUAGCUCGAGUCUCUAUCAAUCCGGAUGAAUUUUUAAUUUAUAUUAGUAUAAAGCAAAGUCGUACUAGGCCUCCAUGCAAUAAGUUAUCCUCUUGAAUCUUUCUACAUGCAAUUUUUUUAACGUUGUUUUUCAAUUUUUCUUCUUUUUCUCGUAUACUAUUAACUCAAGACAACAUGUUUAGAUGUAAACUAGAAGAUAAUAAAAUAGUAAUUUUGAUGUAAUUGAUUUUAAUAUACUGAAUAAAAUUUUGGUUUUAAUUAGUUAUAUGCUUCGUUUUAAAAAUUUGAAGUUAUAUAUUUAUUGACUAUGAGAGCUUUAAAAGAAGUGUAAGCUUUAACCUUUUAAUUAUUACUGUCUUACAGAUUUUAAUUUUCUGUAUAAUUAAUUUUCAAGUUUCAAGUAAAUUUUAAUUAUUAAAUUAAACAUAAAUUCAAUUUCUUAUAAUCACUGUAUAAAUCAAAUAAAUUUUAAUUUAAAAAUUGUUGUAAGUAAAUAAAGUAUUUGACUUGAAAUUAACUAAAAGUUUGGAGAUCUUUUAGAUAGUGUUAAAGUUCAAUGUUCUAUAAGACAUAAAAUUAAAAGUUGAUCGUUCAUGAUAAAUAAUUGCACACGAUAAAGCACUAUGUCAAAACUAAACAACAAAAUAAAUCUUAUGUCUAUGGACCACUAAGAAAUUCAGAAGAGUCACUCACAUGGCCACGUCAAAGUAUUUCGAACAUAUAAUAUGAUGAUAUGAUGGUCACAAGACUCGUCUUUCUAUUGAGAGAAAACACAAACAUAUUAGAAAUUUCAACAUAUCAAUGUCGUGUCUUUUCAAAUUAGCUUCAAACUAACAAUGAAAAGUAAUAUAAAUAAAUAUUUACAGAAAAAUACAUAGACUUCAUUUAUUUUUAAAGUUCUAACAACUACAAAAUGGGGAGGAUUAUUAUUGUACGCCAUUAACAUUUGGAAUGGUAACUAAUGGUAGAUUGAUUAACAUCUUGAAACGUACAUAAACAAUAGAGUCAUCGAAAUGCAAGAUAACAUAUUCAAAAUAUUUCAAUAAAUGCAUGUCUCUUAAUUGUUAAGCUAUUCUCUUAGCUAUUAAGAUUUAAAUACAUUUGAAAAUACAUGGUCCCAAGAUGACGAAGAAGUUUAUCAAAUCAAUAGCGUAUGAUAGUUUAGACUUUUCAAUUUAACAAAGACGUAACAGUAGCAUAUGUCAAUUUCAAGAAAUCUAAUUGAAUAGCCCAAAUCUCAAAUUGAUGGGAUUCAAGAACAAAACAUACACAAGGGGAAAGGAAUUUGAGUUUGCCAUUUGAAAAGAGAUGUUUACACACAAAGUUGAUGAAAGGGAAUAAUAAUAAUAGUAAUAUAUAUAUAUAUAGAAUGAAUGUAUAUGAAAAUAUGGGAUAAUGUAAAGGACUAAAGGGAGAGUGCCAACUUUUUCCCAUUUACUAACUUUUUUACAACUGGGAAAAUGUUGGAAGUCAAACUUAGCUGCAAUAUGACUUUUCCAAUAAGCACUUCUUUUUUCUUGCUUAGGGAUCGAUCAAAAGAGAAGUUGCAGCCCACAAAAUUAAAAAGGAAAGAUUUGAAAAAUGUGUUUUAUAAUGAUGUGUUGUGAGAUUCCAUGGAAGCUGCAAAUGCCGCCACCCCACAAGCAAACAUGAACUUAAACAGUUUGAUUUAAUCAAAGUGAAAUUAUCUUUUUCUCGAUUGGAUUUAUAUUUGGUUUUAGUUCUCAAGUUGUUUAUAUAUAUAUAUAUUUAAGUUUAUGAGUUUUUUAUUUGGUUAAUGUAAUUGUGUUAAAUUUAUCAUUAAAUAUUUGUUUUCACUUUUAAUUCUAUUAAUUAUUUUUAAAUAAUUAGAAAGUGAAGAUUUAAAUUUGAAUUUAAUAAUGAUGAAAAGGAGUGAAACUUAAUUAUUAUCAUUUUUAAUUCGUUUAAAUCAAUUAUCAGAUAUUUCACACUAAAAACGAAAAAUGAGUGUUUAUAAAAAGCAAAAUAAAAGUAAAUUGAAUUUAUCUAUUAUAAUUAAUUGCAUUAUGUAAUUAAGGACUAAAACUAAAUUGGUUUUAUUAGAAACAUUCUUACAAAUAGUAAAAUAAAUUAAAAUAUUUAGAAACGGUAGACAAAUUUUAGAUUCUAUCCGAUAGUCUUCUAUUACUCUUUUUAAAAGAAUUUCUUUCUAUUAUGAUACAUUGAAUUAAGUGAAAUGUAAAUUGAAUUAGUUGACUACAAUUAUAAUUAGGUAGAGAAAAUAUAUCAAAAUCAUAAAUAUGAUGUGAAAGGUAAAAAACAAUGAAUUCAAACAAAGUAUUGCCCAAAUUUUAAAAGAAAAUUGUUGAAAAUAUAAGAAAACUUAUACUAACAACUCGGAACAUUUUUCUUAAACAUUAAUUAUAGAUUUAGUUUUUUUUUUUAAAAAAAUAAAUUUGGUUGAAAAUAUAAAUAAUAAAAAACAUAUUAAAAUGUAAAAUGUGUUUGAAAAUAAGUAAAUAGAAAAAUUCAAAAAUAACAAAUUUGAUAAAAUAUUUACAAGCUAUAACAAAUUUUAUGAUUGUGAUUGAUAUGUUGUUGUGAUAAAAACUGUCAUUGAUAGAAUCUAAAAUUUUACUAUAGUUUUAUAAAUAUUUUUAUUUAUUUUACUAUUUUUAAAAAUGGUUUAAAACAUAAAUACAAAAUUCAUUUUAGACUUAAAAAAAAGUACAUUUUCUUCUAAAAAUAACAACAAAAAAUAGGGAUAGCGUCACCGACAUGAACUCUACCAUUGUAUUACUUUUUUUUCAAAAUAAUUUUUCCUUUUUUUUUUUCUUUCAAAACUAUGUUAUUUUUCCAAUUACUAAAAAAUGUAAGAUGAAGCUAAAAGGGGUAUUUUUCUCCUUAAUUUAAACAAGCAUAUCUUGGUCAGUCAAGCACGUUUCAUAGGCAUGAGAAAAUGGAGUGUGUGGAAAAUUUUGAAGAAACUUAAAGCAAAUGACAACCCAUCAUUUUUAUUUUUUUAAAGAAAUCAUAGUUUUGAUUUCAUUUUCAAAUUGGACUGUGACAUGACAUUCUUCUUCUUCUUCUUCUUCUUCUUCUUUCUUGUUUUGGUCUUUUUUUGGGAAUCAGUCCAAUAUGUCAUACUUUUUAGUACUUUAAUGCAAUUUCUCAACUAUCAAACUCUCUCUUUCUUUUUCUCUUUAUCUCUUUCUCUCUUUCUCACAUGUUUGCUUUUUCUUACUUACAACUUCCUAUAAUGAUUAAUCAAAUGUCAUUUCUCUUUCACUUUCUUGAUGGAUUGCAUGUUUUACCUUUCUUUAAAAUUAAUAAAUUAACUUAGGGAUUGGUAGUUUUUAAAUCUCUUCCUUACUUGAAUUUUUAUUUUCAUUUCAAAACUUAUAUAAAAACUAUAAUAUCUCUUCCACUUUCGUGUCUAAUGGUUUAGUUCUUGUACUUAAUCUCAUUGGAAUUAGUAGUAAGAUUUAAUGAGUUCUUUUUUUCAUAAAUAAAUCGGUAAACUAGUUGAGACUUUUUCUUACAAAAUAUUAUAAAGUCUACGUCUCACAUCUAAUUUUGAUAGUUUUCUUUUUUUCUUACGUCAAAGACUAAAUUGUUACCAAAUAAAAAAAAAAUGUAAUUAUUAGGAGAAAUUGACAAAAGUAGCACACCUUUGAUUUUAGUUUUCAGAGAUAGCAUAUUUUUAAAAACUCCUAAAACUGUUUUCAUCAGUGUUAAAAAAAAAAUUAAAUAAGAUUUGAAAAUAUUUAUAAAAAAAUGUAGAACUUCGGCCUAAUUGUAUAGUGAGAUGCACUGAAAAAACUCGAAACAAUCGAUAAGUUGAAAUUUUUUAAUAUUUUAGAAAAUCUCGAUGGUGACAGAGAAAAACAGUUUUACGAGUAUUAAAAAGUUUGCUACUUUUAAAAUUAAAAUUUAAAAGUGUGCUAUUUUUAUUAAUUUUCUGAUUAGUAGUUAUAUUAAGGAAGAAUGGACUAAGUAAAUUUAGACCUUAAUAACCGUUGCUAAAUAUAUAAGACAUUUUCUCCGUGAAAAUUCAUUGUGGAGUUUCCUUCCCAAAUCCCAAAGCCCAAAGCCAUUUCUUUUGAAAAGUAAAAUAUGGAUUAAUGUUGUAGUUUUCAUUUUUCUUUUAUUAUUUUUAUCUUCACCUUUGAAAAAAAAGAUGUUGAAUGGAUUCCUAAUGGCAUUGGAAUAUCCAACUUCUAGAAAAAGGAAUAUAAUAAACAAAGAAUUGUAAAUAAAUAAAUAAAAUAUGUUGGAUAUUAUGAUCAUUAUGAACAUGGCAUCAAUGUUGAUGUCACAUAUAACAUCACUCAUACAAUACUCAUCAUCAUAGUAUAAUAGGGAAUAAGUCCCUUAACCUUAAAACAUACAUGGAACUUUGAUGUAAAUAUAUAUAAAAUAAGAAUCAAAUUAAUAUAACAAAAUCAAAACAUUGAAAACAAAUCUAGUUUAAAAAUUAAUAUGUAAUACUAUUUAAAAUAAUAGUGUAACGUUUUAAAAUAUAAAUAUAAUAUUAGAAUUGAAAUAUAGUCUCAAAUGAGUUAAUAUAAAAAAAAAAUAAUGAAAAGUAAUGAAUUUGAUAAAAUUUUGACAUAGACUUCAAAUAUUUUAAUUUAUUUUACUAUUUUUGAAAAUAUAUUAAAAAGAAGAUUAUGAGCAUGUAUAGAUUAAGAAUAUCGUCUUCUUCAUUGAUAUAUUUUAUUUUUUUUCUUUGAGAACAUCUUCGUAAAUAUUUAAUACAUUAUUUUCAUAAAACCAAAAGUUGAUUCAUGCAUUAUGAAUGCAUACACCAUUUUUUAAGUAUAGUAAAACGAAUCAAAAUAUAACGAAUUAUGGUAGGUCCGGGCUAUUUGUUACACUUCCUUUGUUUAACUAAUCAGAUUUGGAUGGGUUGGUAAGAAGCACGCCUAAGUGUGAACUAUGAACAGUCCCCAUCACGUAGUUAGCUUGAAGAAUACGUACAUAUAUAUAUAUAUAUGAUUAUUGGCACGUUUGUUUGCAUCGUUUAUUCAUUUCAUAACCGGCCGAUUGGGUAUUGAUUUAUCAAUGAUUGUAAAUGUCUAGUUCAUCUCCAAAAAGCUUCAGCAGCUGCAGUGAAAUUGAAGAUGACAAUAGCAGCAAUGGCAAUGAACUCCGCAGAGGCCCAUGGACUCUUGAAGAAGACAAUCUUCUUAUCCAUUCCAUUUCUACUCACGGCGAAGGCCGUUGGAAUCUCCUCGCCAAACGCUCUGGUACUAAAUUUUGUCUUUUCGUUUACACACAAAUUCAACAACAACAACAAAAAAAAAACUUCAAGAUUAUUAUUCUUACGAUCAAUACACCAUUAUUUCAGGAUUACGAAGAACAGGGAAGAGCUGCAGAUUGAGAUGGCUUAAUUACCUUAAACCAGAUGUCAAGAGAGGAAAUUUGUCUGCUCAAGAACAACUCUUGAUUCUUGAUCUCCAUUCUAAAUGGGGCAACAGGUAAUUUGAUUUUCUUUUAUCAUGAUAUUUGAUGUGAGUUUUGCUCUGUUAUUGCUCUGUUUUGAUUUAAUUUGUGGGGGUUUUUUCUGGGUGGGAUUAAGGUGGUCAAAGAUUGCGCAGCAUUUACCGGGAAGAACAGACAACGAAAUUAAGAAUUAUUGGAGAACGAGAGUUCAAAAACAAGCGAGACAUCUUAAUAUCGAUACGAACAGUGAGGCAUUUCAGCAGAUCAUUCGAUCCUAUUGGAUGCCAAGAUUACUUCAAAAAAUCAACCAAUCCCCGCCGUCGGAAUUGCCGAUUACUUCUCCACCGGAGAUGGCAUCCCAGACUUCGUUUGGUUUUGAGGCUCCGACGACAGCGGUGACGCAACCACCGGCGAUGACGCCUCUGCAAAUCGGUGGAGAUUUGAUGGGAAGUUCGUGUACUUCUUCACAAAUAACCCAAAUUUCUUCCUACCAGAAUUACGAGAAUUACGCCCCGUUUGUGAAAGAUUAUUGUCACGACGGUGGCCAUGGCGGAGGAGAGAUGCUGAACUGGACGACGACUGCGGUGGCUGGAGACUCCGGUUAUCCGGUUUCUCAUUGCCACGUGGCAGAAAAUAAUUGGAUGGACGGCGAUUUUACCGGUUAUAUGUCCAACGUGGAUGAAUUAUGGCAAUUUUAAUUAGGAAGAAAUUAAAUUUAAACAAAAUAACAAAAAAUCUGGGUUCUUAAUUUUUUUUGUCUUUAGAUAACCCAGAAAAAAAGUUCUUAAUUGAUUCAUAAUUUUCAAUUCGUUUGGUACUUCUCUCCAAAUUAGAAAGAAAGAAAGAAAAAAAUCACUCCCCAAAUUGUAGAAUAUUUAAAUAUUUAAUAUAGUUGUAUUUAACAAUAGUAAUGUUUGAUAAAACAUUUUGUAAAUUACGAUCGAGUUUAGUUUUUUAAUUAAUGCAUUAAGCUAAGUGUGGUUAUUCGUUCCAUUUACUUUUGUACCUUUUACUUUUGAUAAAUCACAUUUACUAAUCUUCAAAUCAUACACUAAUUUUUAACAUAAGUAUGUUUAAUUCUUGUCUUUUUGUUACAACAUGGAGUGUGACUGUGAGUAAGAGUGAGGCCAAAUUAUCUAAUUAUAUUAUGUUAAUCUGCCCUAUAUCAUAUUUUCAUAUUAAUAUUCAUAUGUGACAAUAGUAAAGUGGUUUAUUUAUUUAUUUAUUUGUUUUAAAGAUAUUCUUAAUUAACUUUAAAAAUAUCUUAGGAUAUUUUACUCUUUGUUGGGUUUAAUUUAGGGAAUAUAGAAGAGGUGCAAUUGGUUGGUGGAUGUAGUGGAAGACUUUAGAGGAUGAGUCUUGGAAUUAGAAUUGUUAACUUUGAAAAGUAGCUUUCAACAUGGAAUUAGAAACUUAGAGGAUUCAAAUUUCAAGCACACACAUAAAACAAAUUAAACAACGUUAAGUGAAUGAUUUUUUUUCUCUAAAAGAAAACUUAUUGGUAUUAUGUUUAUUUCGUGGAUAGGAAAGAAAGAUGAUUGGACUGUCUCUCUCUCUUUUGAAUUUUCAAACCAUCUAGAUUCGUACAUCCCUUUGGAUUGGUGGCCAAGUUAAUUUCCUCUUUUAUAACGGUUUGAAAAACGUAUAUGUUUUGUUGUUAGGUUGUAUUUGUUAUCUUCGUUUUAAAAUAAUAAACUAUUAGUAUUUUACGAUAUCGUUUAGUAUAAUAUAAUAGGAGCAUGAACAAACUUAAGAAACGAGUAAACGUUAUUGAAGUUCGUGUUUAUUAAGUACUCUCGUGUUUCUCUCAUAAUCUACUUUUUCAUAUUUAUUGAGUAGCUUAAUCUUACAACUCUCUAUGCGUGGAUAAAAUUAUCAACUCCAGUUUAUUUACUUUAUAACCAUUAAUUCCACCUAGUAAACCAAAUUAUGAUUUAAAAAUAUUACAAGUUUACAACUUAGAUUUCAGUUUUGUUUUAAUUUGAGCCUUAGAUUUCGAGGUUUACAUUUUUUUGUCUUUAUUAAAAAAAUUAACGUGAAUUGAGUUUCACUCCUUUUUAUUACUAUUCAAAUUAUUUUUAAAUUUUAUUUCGUGGUAGUUUCUGAUUGUUUAAUAGACACUCACGUCAAAGACAAAGAAAUAGCAUGUAGUAAAAAUGACCGAGGUUAAAAGUAUAAAAUAACGUUUGAUUAUAAUAUAUAGAUAUAGUUCAUUUGUCGAUCUAAAAUAAAGUCAAUUAGCUAAUUAUUAUAAUUGAUUAAAGAGUUAAAUCAAUCAAAUUUACCUAAUGCAUCAUUAAUGUAGUUAUAUAACUAUUUGUUUUAAUUUAAUUUAAUUUAAUUUGACUUUAAAGAAGCAUUCAAUUUAGAAAAUGAAUUUAAAAAAUGAGAAGAUGUGAAUCAUAUGAUAUAAUUAAUUAGCAUAUAGUGAUCACUUUUCUUCUCAUCUUUUUCCUUUUUGUAAUGUUUGAUUUAAUAGACAUAGAUGUGAUUAGGCAGCAAUGAAGUUUCUUUGACAUUUAUAAUAUAUUGUUUUCUUAUAUCUCAUCAACUUAGCCUAGCAGUCCAAAAUUAUAUUAAUCACAUAGAAAAAUAAAAGAAAAUAAGUUUGAUGUUUGGUUGGUGGUAUGUUAUGACUAAUUCCAAUCCUAUGGAGAAAAAUAAAAACAUUUCCAAUUUGAUAUGAUAUUUCUUUGUACUAUGCAUUUUUUUUAUUUAUAUGUUAUUUAUUUGUCAUUUUUUAUACCUUUCAAAAUUUUAAAAAUUAAGUUUAUUUUCUUUCUACGUGAAUUUUCAUUUUUAUUAAAUACAAUUAUUUAAUUGUUAACUGGUCUACUUUUUGAAAUGAGAUAGUUGCAAAUUUAGCAAUUAUAUUCAAAAUAAUUAAAUAUAUAACAAUAUUUUUAAAAAAUUAUAAAUAUAGCAAAAAUUGUCAAAUUCCAUCCAUAAUAGAAGUCUCUCAUCGAUAGACCAUGCUGUAAAUAUUAAUUUAUCACGAGUCUAUCAGUGAUAGUUUUGCUAUAUUUACAAUUUUUAAAAUAUUGGUAUAUUCUUAAAAUGACACUUUAUUAUAAUUACACAAUUUUAAAAAUAUAUAGAUAAAAAAAUUAAAAGGGCUAUCAAAAUGGACGUUGGUUUUUAAAAUUUAACCUAAAUUUGUAAACUAUUGACAAAAUGCAGGUAACGAACAAAUAAAGUGAGAAAUGAAAGGAAUCUUUAUAAGUUUAAUUUCAAAAAAUAAAAUAGUUAUCGAAUAGAGCCUAAAUAAAUAAAUUGUUUUCGUUUCUAUUACAAGCAAAAUCUUGAGAGAAAGCAAUAAUAAAUUUAAUCAUUAACAUUAUUUUUUUAAAAAAAAUCAAUGGUUAUUAAAUGGGUUAGAAAAUAAAAAAAAUACAUAUCUAAGAGGAUAGAGUUAUGAAAAAUGUGACUAUUAUUGUCACUUUUAAUAAUUAGUGUGUAGCUAUGUUAAAAGAUAAUGUAAUAAAGUGAUGAGUGAUUUGGGUUUCUAGUCCAAGUAUGAACAAACUUAUAAUAACUAAUGAUUAAAUGUCUCAUACAAUUGGGUUUUUAACUUUAUGUGUUUAAUUUAAAAAUAAAAGUAUGUGACCCUUUUUGUUAUUUUUAAUAAUUUAUCACGUGGAUGCGUGGAGUGACCAAACUCCCCAUCUCUCUCUCAAAUUUAGUCCAUUAAGUCUAAUGUACAAAUUAGAGAGCAACGUGUCCUUAUUAGCCCGUACAAACCCACAAUUUAAAUUACUAUUACUUACGAAAAUCGUAAUUCACCGCCACCAUUUUAUCAAUAAUAAUUAAGGUUGCAUCAAUAUUUUAAAAUAAUUGUAAACAAAUUAAAACGGUAGCUGAUAGACUUGUAUUGUUGAUAUAUUUGUAUAAUCUACCAAUGAUAGAUCGAUAUUUGUAAUAUGGUCUAUCAGUGAUAGAUUUCUAUCAUGAAUAUAAUUUGACAAAUUUUAUAAAAUUGUUGCUAUAUACUUAAUUAUUUUGAAUCUAAUUGUUAAAUUUGCAAUUAUUUCGAAUAAUCAGUCAUAAUUUUAAAAAUAAUAAUUAAGUAUACAACAACAAUUUAAAAAAAUUAUAAAUAUAACACGUUUUUUUAAUGAAAAUUUGUAAUAAAUUUUAUCUUUUAGGAAUUUUUUUAUCAUAAUUUUUAAAGAGUCUCUAACUUUAUCUUCUUAUUUUUUAAUAUGUUAUUGAUAUUUAUCGAUAAACUAUACUUUACUAUCACCAACAUUAUAACUUCUAUGUAUAUUAACUCCAAGAUUGUUAAUUACACUUUGUGGGCCAAAAAGCCCCGUUUUCCCCUUGUUUCAACGGAAUGGAUUAAAAGAAGGAGAAAAUAUAUAGGGUAAUUAUAAUCGAUAAUAAUUUUAUAAAUAAUAAUUAAGUAUAUAAUAACAUUUUUUAAAAGAAAUUACAAAUAUAGCAAAAGUCUAUUAGUGAUAGACUAUGAUAGUUUAUCAAUGAUAGACUUCUAUUGCCGAUAGACUCUUAUGGUUUAUCAAUAAUAGAUCGAUAUUUGUAUUAUGCAUAGUCUAUGAAUGACAGACUCUCAUCAUUGAUAGAUUUUGCUAUAUUUAUAGUUUUAAAAAAAUAUUGUCAUAUAUUUAGUUAUUUUGAAUCUAAUUAUUAUAUUUGCAACUAUUUUAAAAAUAUAAUAUAACAGAUAGCAAAUUUAUGGAUAAUAUUUAAGUGUAUAAAUUUUUUUAAAAAUAAGUUGCAAGAAAAGCCUAUAAGUAAAUAGGCUUCUGUCUUGUAGACUAAUAUUUACAAUGGAUAAAAUGAUACACAUUUGUUACUAAUAGAUUCCAACUAAUUUUAUUAUCAUGGCAAGACCGCUUGAAUUUAGGGCAAGUCGGGCCUUUUAUGGGCUUUCCAUAAUGAUACCCAUGGCAAAGACCAACUAAGUCCGUCUGGAACAACUUUCAAUGUAAAGCCCAAUGUGCACUUUAACUGGGCUUAUUUGGGUAAAUUAAGCCCAAUAUUUCUCAUUAGAGCCCAAUCCAUAGACAUUUAUUUUCAUCCGUCCAAUAGUUAAAAGUAAUCACAGCCGUUGCUUUCGUAGUUUUAUAAACACCCCUCCUCCGCGAAACCCUAGUCUCCAUCGGCUUAAAAUCGGAUUAUCAUCCACUGAGUGGCCGAUCGUUGCCUUCCAGCGCCGUCGAGUAUGGUCCUUUAACUGCUCUAUUUCGCCAUUUUCCCUUUGCUAUUAGUCUUCAGUGCUCUGUUCUCACAUCAUUCUUUAGGAUUUUUUAAAACUUUUGUAUAUUCUUCAUUUUCCGAAUCGUUCCAGGUUUGUGAUUGUUUGGUGUAGUUAGCCUGCUAGACGAAGGAGAUGGUUAAUCUAUUACUGAUCGACUUCGGCAUUGUUAUUUAACUUUAUUCGUUUGAUUGAGUCCUUGAAUUUAUUUAUAGACAGUGAGUUGUUAAAGACUUAGAUUAAGAAAUUCCUCACAAAUGCCUGAACAGGAUAUGUGUGUUUUGCUUUCGUAAUUCCUUCCUACAAUGGAUUUCAUUAGACGAGUUUGAUUAGAUACUAUGAAUUUUCAUUUUCACAAUGUUUAGCUGCCUCUUAUCAAUGGUUUAUUGGGUUUUUUUUUUCAUCUUACGUUGUUGUUUUGAUUAUCUAGAUUUCUCAAGAUGUAUACGGCCCUGAAAAAGAUCCACAAGGAUAAGGAUGUUGAAGCCUCCGAGUUCGAAGAGACUGUUGCGCAGGUUGUUUUACUAGAAAAUAUUUAUCCUUUUGUUUAUUCGACUGUGAAAGAUGCUUUACGUUCUUCUUUGUUGGCGCUUCUGAUGAUUGCAUGUAUCUGCAGGCACUCUUUGAUUUGGAAAACACCAAUUCGGAGCUGAAAAGUGACCUUAAGGAUUUGUACAUUAAUUCAGCGCUGUAAGUGUCAUUUAUUUUCGGUAAAUAAACAAUCAUGAUGAAAUGGGUAUGUUGUUUCAUAUUAUACCAACACGCUUGGCUUUUUUGGUUGCAGUCAAGUUGAUGUUUCUGGAAACAGGAAAGCCGUUGUUAUCUAUGUUCCCUUUAGAUUGAGGAAGGCUUUUCGCAAGAUUCAGUUGAGGCUUGUUCGUGAGUUGGAAAAGAAGUUCAGCGGGAAGGUAAUGGAUGGUUUGUUAUUGUUUCUGUUCUUCUCUUCUCACUUUCCAAAAACAGUAUUCUUUUUAGUUUUUAUCAGUAGUUAACUUGCGAUCUUAUCUAGGUGACGGUUAGAUGAACUGUUUUUAGGUUUAGGAGAGAUGUUCUACAAAAUUGCUUCAUUGACUUGAUUUGAUGUUAAGCUGCAAGGAAACGUUGUAUCUUGUUCUACACAAUCUCAAGUGAUGUAGUACAAAUUUCUUAAUAGUCAGUUGGCAUUUCUAUAAUUAGAAAGAUGCUUUACAUUUUCCCCCCCUAUGUUUUCUAGUAUACAAAUUGAUGGUUGUGCAUACAAGUAGCAUCUCUCAGGCUUAUUUCUUCUCAUGCUAAUUUUCUUCAUUCCAUUUUUAGGAUGUGAUUCUGGUUGCUAACCGAAGAAUCUUGAGACCUCCAAAGAAAGGGUCAGCAGUUCAAAGGCCUCGCACCCGCACUCUUACUUCUGUGCACGAAGCAAUGCUAGAAGAUAUUGUUUUGCCUGCAGAGAUUGUGGGGAAACGAACCAGAUACAGGGUUGAUGGAUCAAAAAUCAUGAAGGUAAAUGGAUAGUUUAAAAAUAACUUUUUCCUCAUUUCAUUUAUGUAGUUAAUGAAGUUAGAAUGACACCUGUCACAUCUAUAUUUAGAAAAAUAUAUGUUUCUUCAUUGAUUUCCCGAAGAAAUUGUAGCUAUUAUACCUAGGCACCCACAGUAGAAAAGCCAUUGCUCAUUAUUUUAAUUUGGUCUUAAACUGAUACUAAACUACAUGUUAAAACGAAAGAUGGAAUAUGCUAAAAGAAUCUAGAACUGCCCUAUCCCGGUUCUUGCUGCCACCUCCAAAUGAUUUUGCCACGCUUUGUAUCAAGGGAAUGCAUAGUUUGCGACUCAUCUUAGCUCAAAUGACAAAUUGUUAAUUUUUGGUUCUUCUGGGAUGCAGGUUUUCUUGGACCCAAAGGAGAGGAACAACACUGAAUACAAGUUGGAGAGCUUUGCUGCAGUUUACAGGAAGCUUUCUGGAAAAGAUGUUGCGUUUGAGUUCCCGAUAACCGAGGCCUAAUUAAUAACCUUUAUGCCAUGUGAUACCGUUUUAGAUGCAUUUAGUUAAAAGUCAUUCAAAUUUUUGAUGUUGAGAACGUUGAGUGAUCGUCUUAGAUUCUGUUUUUAUAUGAUUUUUGAUUUGCCAAAGCGAAUUGUUUUAUGAAUGUGACGGGUUUUAGUGUGGUAGCAAUUUGAAUGCCCCUAUCUAUUCUACUAUUGUUAUGUUCACAAAUUUUGAGUAGCCGUUUCAAUUAGCUUUGAAUUUGAACGAAAAAGAACAUCAGGUGAUUGAUGGUGGAAUAAAAAAUUACACACUUGGUAGUUGUAGUUGGACUAGAAUUUUUCUAUAGUGUUUAAAAUUUAAGUGUGCCGAUAAGAAACUAAUAUGUUAUGAAUCAAACUUGAAGGUUGAGGGUAUUUGUCAGAAGGUUGAGGUUAUUUGUUUGACAAGGAAAUUUAAAGUUAUUGGAGCCGAGGAAACAAUCAACAAUUUUUAUUUGUUAUUAGUAGCGAACUAAGAUUAAAUCCAUUAAAAAAGAAGAGAGAAAAUUGGAUGUAUCCUUCAUUAUUUAUUUAGAAUGAAAAGAAUUGAAGUAACCUAAAGCAAUAUCAAAUUUCUAGUAUCACCUGCCUUCAUCAAAAGAAGAAACGGACAUGGAAUUCCUUGAAUAAUCUUCCAUCAAACUAUUACUAGUAGAAGCUUUGGUAACCCCACUAUGUGUACUAGUAUUCGUCUUGGUGAAAGCCAAAGUAGAGGUAGUUGUUCGAUGACGUGGUGCUCGACCAUGAAUUCCAGGCUUUCCAGGUCGUGGCAACGUGAAUGAAUCACUAGAAAGCAUGAGAUGAGUGGUACUCAUAUCAGGCCUAUCUGAAACCUUUGCUUGACAACAUAACAAGCCCAACUGUAUGCACAUAGCUGCCUCAUCUACAUUGUAUUUUGUGAGGCUUUGAUCCACUAAUUCUAAAACCCUUCCUUCUUGGUAAAGCAACCAUGCCUGUUGAAGACAUAUUUGUUUAGGUACUUCACCUAUUUUAUAAAGAGAACCUUAAAAGCAUUCUACACAAUUCUCUUUUUCAUUCUCAAACACAUUUCAAUAAUGGAAGGGUUCACAAUCAUCCACAAUAACUUACGUAUCCCAAGAGGUCGACUUGUUGUGCGCCAAGUCGAAUGUCAUGAUUUUUUCUUCCACUAACAAUCUCCAACACCAAGAUGCCAAAACUGAAUAUGUCACUCUUUACAGAUAAAUAUCCAUGAAUUGCGUACUCGGGAGCCAUAUAGCCACUGCAUUAAGCGAAAAAUGCAUUUAUUAAGCAUAAGGAUAAGUUAGCUCAAUUUAGGAGUCAAAUAUUGUUUGCAAGAGUCAUCAAGUAAAACUACUUACUGAGUACCAGCGAUCUUAAAUGUAUUCAAGUGUGUAUCUUCUCCAGGAAAAAGUCGUGCUAGUCCAAAAUCUGAGAUUUUCGGAUUCAAUUUCUCAUCUAAUAAUAUGUUACUAGCUUUGAUAUCCCUAUGUAUAAUUCUUGAAGGAGCCUCUUCAUGCAAGUAGAGAAGACCUCUCACAAUACCUGUAAUUAUAUGGAACCGUGUUGUCCAAUCCAGGGAUGGAGACUUCUUUUUAUCUGUCCAUGUUGUCAAUAUAAUUAUCAUUUACUGCCAUACAUUUGCAAGAAUAAAUUCCCAUUAUCCCCAACCAACUGCAACAAGAUACAUGUAAAUUUCAACAUAACAAUUAGAAGAAUUUCACGAAUCCCCCUGGAGUGAGGUCCUUACCAAAAAUAAAGUAAUCAAGACUUCUGUUUGGCAGGUAUUCAUAUACAAGCAUCUUUUCAGGUCCUUCCACACAACAGCCCAAUAAAAUGACCAAAUUUCUGUGCUGAAUUCUCAGUAGAAGUUUCACUUCAUUACUAAAUUGCUUCACUCCUUGUCUUGAAUCUAUCGACAGCUUCUUGACUGCUACUUGUUGGCCAUUUGGCAUCAAACCCUGUACAUUUAGCAAUUCUACCAACAUUAGAUCAACCGCCCUACACUCUUCUUCAAACACAAAUAGAGGAAAGACGAAAUAGUGAUCUGGAAAUCGAAAAGAAUCAAAACCAGUGAACAGAAGGCCAGCUUGUAAGUUAAUUAUUUCCCCAACACUAUAAGGCGUUCAGGUCAUAAUCACUGAGAAUCGUUAUAGAAAACUUUUAGGUCGUACUAUGCAGUGGUCAACUAGUCAUCAUCUGGGCACUCACUCGGAAAUAUUAAUGGCUAAGUCUAUCUAUCUUGUGCUCCUGAUUUUAAAGGAUUCUCACAUGCAAUAUAACCCAAUAUGUCUUUGUUCAUUGGGAUAAUAAACAGGCCUAUGUGAUUGGUAAGUCAGAAAACUUGAGGACUAUUACAAAUCCACGUGGGUGGUAAAUCCUGAGAGGUCAUGAAAGGAGAUUCAGCAGUAUACCUCCUAAAGAAAGAAAAUAUCAGAGCCAACCAAGUAAUAUCACGUCAAAUUAGAAUCAUGUUAAUAUUUUAGCAACUUUUUUCUACUUAAAAUGCGAUACAGGACAUACCCCUCUAGUUAUUUUGGCUCAUGAGAGAGCCGUGUAGAUGAAAGUUUGUAUACUUUCUCUAACAUUUGUAUUUAUGGAAAUACAUGAACGAUCUUCUUUGACAGGCUUAAAUAUUAUUUAAAAGACAUAAAAAAGUAAACAAGGACAAAAGAUGGGGAACACAAAAUUUUAUUUCAUACAUAUAAAAAAAAAAAUCCCAUCAUGCAGUCAUCGACUUCCAUAUAAUAGUCCGGAUAAUUCAAAUAUAGAAGAGUUACUUGUGGAGAACCUUGGCAACUUGUAGAGCUUCGAUGUAAAUGAUAAUUACCUUUCUUUAACAUAGCACGAAAUCUUCUUAGCUAUCCAUUUCUUUAGGUACAAUUUCAAGCGACUUUCUUCUAAAAUAUAUACUGAAUUCACUUGAAUGGAUUUUUUUAUUCAAUCAAGAAGCAAUUAAAUAAUGGGUCGAAACAGGUAGCACCGAACUAGAAAUAAAAAAAUUUCCAUUGAAACCUACACUGUUCUUAAGUAUUAGAGUCUUUCCCUACACUGUUCUUAAGUAUUAGAGUCUUUCAUUUGUCUUUGUUCAAUUUUAAUAAAAUAAUGAUUGGUGUAAAGAACAUCUUUCUGAUCCUGUUUUCAAGUAGGAUGUUAUAAAUAACUAUUUUGAGUGUUCUGUAUGAGUGUGUAUUGUGCACUUGAAAUCACUCAUCACAAAAAUAUAAGAAGGAUUAUAGAUAUUAGUAAAUUAUAAAACAUGCCAUGGUGCCUCAACACGUAUAUAAACCUUUGCCUAGAUUACAAACUUUAUAUCUAGACUACAAACCUUUGCCUCAACAUGCCAAAGUUUAUAUCUAGACUACGAACCAACUUUUUAGCUCUGUAGUCUAGAUACAGAGAAAGGCCUGUCGACCUUUUUGCCUCAACACGAGCAGACCCAUGAUCAGAGAAUGAAAACAUAAAUAUACGACAGCCAAAGUAUAAACCAGAACAUUGAAAAAUUCGUUGAGAUCCGAAAAAUGUCAUUCUUCAACCUUUUCUCUUUAAUUAAAAAAAGACUUUAACCUUCGUAAAUCAGUAUAAUCAAACCUAUAAGAUGGUAUUUGGAGUGUAUUCCAAUAAUUUGUGAAGUUCGGGGAGUUUUGUGCUCUUGGCCCAUGGUGCAAUCUUUGAAAGCUUGUGUUUGGGAUAUAAAGCUUAAGAUCAAAAAUAGAAAAGGAUAUAAAAAUGAAGUAUUCCAUAAAUGUUCAAACUUCAUUGGUGCUUUUUUUUUCUUAUGGAAGUUGAGGCGUUAAACACCAACAAAAAAAUAGUUGGUGCACCAAAUGAUCGGUGAAUGUAAUCUUACAACCAGCGCUAUUAUAAUAUUAUAUAAGUAAUCUCUAUCAUGAAAAUAAAUAUAUAUGAAAUGGUCUAAAAAUUGAUAAGUCAACCAGUCAAUGCCAUGGUGACAAAUGGCAACAACUGUGAUAUUCGAAGGUUCAAGUAAUUUAUUAUUGGCAAUUGACACGGAACUGUUCCGAAACCCUAAGGAAAAGAAGAAGAAAAGAAAAGGAAAACUUCCAAGCGGGCAGAAUUUUCAUCAAUGGGUUUCAUCGACCUCAAAAAUCAUAAUCUAGGUUAUUUAACACUUCAGAAACAGUUAAAUGAACAGAACAGAUAGCUCGAGUUGCGACGCGACCAAUCAACACUUUUGUAUCAUAAUCAUCCAAGUAGAAUCACAGUUCAGAAGCAGAGAAGCUAUAUUCAAUCAGAGCCGAAAAUGAGAAAAAAUAGAACAAAUAUAUUAAACAUUCCAAAUUCCCAAAAACAACGCCUUAAAUUCAUUACUCCAGAACAAAUAAAUCGUACCUUGUAGACGGGCCCAAACCCUCCAUUGCCGAGCUUAUUCACCUCAGAAAAGAAAUUAGUAGCAAUUUGCAAAGUAUUCAGUUCAAAGAAGAUGUCAGUGGACACAUCUUCAUCAUCCGCUUCGUCGGCACCAGCAGAAUUAGCAGGUUUAAGUUUUUUCUGCAAGCAGAGGCAGAGAGAAGACAAAAGCCCCAUAGACAGCAUUCAAACAACGCCGCCAGCAAGACCGUAGGUGAAUUGCGCCGAUGAGGUCGUGGUGACGGCAGAACAAGAGAUCGGCGAAUGAGAAGAUGGUACGGAUUUGAACUUUCUUAGAGCCACCGGAAAACAGAGUUUUGAAUUAAUGUCUUGACGCCUUAAAUGUGAAUACCUCAGAAGUCCCGCUUAAACUAUUUUAUAUAUAUAGAGUCAAAUCACACGUUAUCAAUAAAUGACUUUGUUGAGUCGAAUCACCAUCGUUUCUUCAUCGUUUCUUUUCUUCUUCUUCUUCCAUUUUUACUUUUCUCUUUUCUUCUCUGUUGAUCAUACCAUUCCAUGAUCGUUUUAGUUUCUCUGAACAUUCUCAUUUGAUGCUUCUCAUAGCCAUACAUCAUAAAAACUGAUUUUCUUCGAUGGAAAUGUAGUUUUGUUUUUCUCUUUGUUGGAAGAAAAGUGAUUAGCUUCGUUGACAAAGAUAAUAGUAAAUAAAAUAAAAAGGUUUUACUUUUAUAGUCCUUCGUAAUUUGUGAAAUUACAUAAAAAGGGCGGGAGAUAAAGGUGCCAUUUUCCCACAACUUACCAAAAAGCGUGUCAUUCUUCCAAACUUGGAGGCAAAGGAUUUCACGUUUUAAAUUUCCAAAAUUACCUUCACAAGAAAACCAAAAUGACUUUCUUGCCCUCUACGACGAAUUGCGUUUUUCUAUUCUACUCCGCCAAGCCUGACGCCCGAAUCCACCAUUGAAGAGCCCACAAGUCUUUGCUGUGAAGCUUACUGGUCGGAGUAACGAUCUAGGUUUUCAGAUCACGGAAAAUGGUUGUAUCAAUUUCGGAAGGGAAGCGAAGGUGAGAGACAACAGUUCUCUUCAGAGGGUAUCAGAAUGAGACCUUCUUCGGAUAGAAUCAACAUCGCCGCCAGUACCCGGCGGGUCGUUGUUGACAAUCGAUUUCCUCUUCGUUAUUACUAUCGUGUCGCCGAUAAUGUUUUGAAACAGGUGAUUUCGCCUCUUGAAUUUCGCUUUCUAUUUUGCUCACCGAUGUAAAAUUGAGAUUGUUUUGACGAGCGUUUUAAAAUUGAGGGGUUUUUUUUUACAAUUUUUUUCCAUUUCUAAAUAUUAAUCUUUUUUGGGGAUUCGAUCUUGUUGUUUGUCCUUGUGGACUGCAGCUGCAUUUAGUCCAGAAAUGGAACGAGGCUGUUUGAAAUCUUUUUGCGAAAUAUUUCUUGAUUGAUUAAAGAAGUGCCUUGGGGGCAGUCAAUAGACUGCUAUUUAUUACAUAUAACAAUAUUCUCUGGAGUCAUAAAACAAUGAAUCAUGUAGCAAUUUUAUGAUUAUGUUGGACGAGUUGCUAAGCAGCUUCAAGUUAGGUGUGCAAAGUUUGUAACUUUUGAUUUGAAAAAAAAGCCGGUUUCGGAUAAGUUAAAAAAGGGAAUUUAGCUAAGUGGAGGUGGUUUGUUUUAAACUGUAUGUCGUUACUGAAUCAAGUAUGAAAAUCUGUCGCAUGUUUAACUUCACGGUCUUGUUUUUUUGUCCAAUUAAUAUUUAAUUCUCCGCCUAUCACUAUUUUUACAUUUCAGGCUGACAUCUUUCGAGCAGAGAAGAACAUAAUCGAUCUUUAUGUCAUGUUAAUGAGAUUUUCAAGGUAAAAAUCUAAAAAAUCUAGAAGUAAUGUCACCCAGUUCUCAAGCAACUUUGAUGUUUAAUUGACAUUUUCGUCUUCUGUAUUGUAUUUGGUGUUAUGAUUAUCCACCAUGUUACACUUUGUUUGUAACUAGCUACUAAGUUAUUGUGUAAUCUGCUAUCAGUUUGCAAGAACCUGAUCUACUCUUCUGUUCAAGAAAUGAAAGUUGGUUUCUCUCCUCCAUUUGUUGUUUCCUUGUUUGCUUGCCAGUUUGUAGUUUGUAUGCCACACAUGGAAAGUUAAAGAAGCAGGAUUUCUUUAACUUCCUUUCCAAUUAGAUUAUUGUUGGUCUUUCAUUCAGUAUUAAGAAUAACCCUACAUACAUUUGGUUUUUUCAUGCAUCAGUUUGGUCACUGAGACGAUACCUCGUCAUUUGGAGUAUGGGACAACUCCAAAAUUCCAAAAAAAUCAUUUUAGAAAGGUAAAUGCUGCCUUUGGUUGUAAUUAUGGGCACUGCAUUCGUGUUGUCCAUUACAUCAACUUAGUUUGUUUAUGCAGAAGCUAUUAGAUGCUUUGAGCGAGCUUGAAGAGUUGAAGCCAGCAGUGCAAAGAAAGGUGGAUGAAAUAAAUGGGAAACAAAAAUAUCAAGUUAACGGGCGGGGUAAUCAGCAACAAAAUGGUUCAUUGGAAUGGCAUUCUGGUGGAAAGCAAUAUCUUCCUAAUAAUGGCAUGGCUAAGGUAUAAUCGUGUUAGAAUUUGACCAUUGUUCUUUAUGAUAACAUCGUGAAGUAAUACUGUCAUUUAUGCUCCAUUAGAAAAUAAAAGAAUUUUUGUUUGUAAUUGCUGUAUCCUCUGACAGGCUGGUAGAUCACCUGCUCGAGAAAUUGCUCGUCAAGGUUCAGGACCUCAACAAUUUUCAUAUUCCAGGUCCAUGGAUGACAAGUUCUGCAGUUUGUGCAUGUCUAGAUGUUAAUUUUUUAUCUAAUGCUUUAUGCUUCCAUUUAUGACAGUUUUUUUUCCAGCACAAUUCCCUUUUAGGCUUUCACUUGGUGUACAUUGCCCUUUUGUUUUUUUAGCUUAAAGGACUUUAUAGUCCUAUGGGGAAACUUUUUCUAAUUUCCUUGGGAUUGGGUUGCCUUUUUCUGUAAUUUCUUCACAUCAAAGAAAUUGUCUCUAAUCCAAAAAAGUUUCUAAUUCUUCUACUGGGUACCAAAUAAGCUUACAAUAGAUAUCACCCUUUUUAAUGCCGCAAGUAUUGCAGAAAUGUUAAUGUGUUUUUUUAAUUAUAUAUUAAGUUCAUUGUCCUAAUCUUGUUAAAGAACAUGGUUGAUCUUGAUGUGAUGUGACUCUUUAUUUCCUCAUUCCACAUGUUUGUAUCGUUGUAGACCUAUUCAUAUUCCACUCCCGAAGGAGGAAACAUUAUCCCGUCAUUCUAUCUUGGGUCCCAAUGGGCUUCGUGGCCAGUGGCAACCACCUACCAUUGAUAAAGGGGUAUUUACAUACUAUACCCUUUUUCUAGGUUUCCUCAGAAGUAUACUGAUAGAUCUUAUCAAUGUAGGUCCAAUAUCCACGUAUUUUGGAUGUGUCUCCCGUUGACAUUCCAAGGUUUGUCUUUAGUUACCUUUAACUACAUUGAAUCUUAUUAUGUGUUCAAGUCAUCACCCAGCAGGCUGUAGGUCUGUAUACACAAUCAAGUUCUUACAGUUUCUAGUCCUACCUCCAUGCUUCUGAUUUCCAAAAACUUUAUUGUCAUGGUAUUUUUGUUUCAUACCCGAAAGGAGUUUACAUUUACCUCUAUUUUAUUUUUGUACAUAACAUCUUUUUUCUCGAUGUUCUAUAUAAACAGCUUACAACAAUCAAUAGACAAACUUACAAUAGAAAAAGAUCUUGGAAACUUGGAAAAAAAAGGAUCUGAUAUAGAAUCAAUCUGCACCCAGAAUAAUGAUCACGAGAAUAAUGCCACGGAAACAGAUUCCUUGAUCUCGUUUGAAAAUGUUGAGAUGCCUGCCCCUAUUGAAAUUGUGCGGCAGCCUUCUCCUCCACCUGUACUUGCUGAAGUACAGGAUCUGAUACCUGCAGUGUCACCUCAAGUUUCGGAGGUAGAAUGUGCAAGAGACACUUCAUUGUCGGAUGGUUUUGUUCAUCCUGAACCUUCUAUGCAGUUGCAUAUUGUGAGUUACUGAUCCUUGUUUUUGGUUUAUUUUCUAUGCCUUGUGCUUUUUAGUUAUUUCUGGAGUAGUUGGCAAAUUAUGAAAAAGAGAAUCAGCUGUAAAGAUAGCAAGUCAUAUAUGUAAUGUUUUCAAUUAUGUAUAUAUGAGAUAAAAUUAUUUUUUAUGCUUAAUGUUUGGAAUAUUUAGGGGUUAUUUUGUCUGGAUGGAGGUGUUAGAUUGGUGUUUCAUCCUUACAAUUUUUUUUUCAGUCAACCACGAUGAUGGAGAGUUUCAUGAGGCUAGCCAAGUCAAAUACUGCCAAGAAUUUAGAAACCUGUGGUGUUCUUGCCGGUUCACUUGUAUGUUUUGCUGUUUCUAUCACCUGCACCAUUUACAAAUUUUUGCAUUACUGGCUUUUUAUUUGCUACUCUAGAUCAACGUUCCAACUAAAUAUCCUCUUUUUUGCAGAAAAACAGAAAAUUUUACAUCACUGCAUUAAUUGUACCAAAGCAGGAGUCAACACCAAAUACUGUAUGUCUGUGGUUUUUGUUCAUUCAACUCAACAAUGUUUCAUUUACAUUUUUUUUCAUCUAAUGAGUAUAAACUGUUUAAACUAUUGACCAUCUAAUCAUCCAAUCAUCAGUGUCAGGCAACAAAUGAAGAAGAGAUAUUUGACGUGCAGGAUAAGCGGUCUCUAUUCCCACUUGGGUGGAUUCAUGUAAAAAUUCUGGUUCCUUACCGUAGUUGAUUGUCUUAUUAUUCUACUUGAGAUUGUUUUAUUAGCAUGUUUUUUAGUUCUCAGUUUAAAGUACUUUUUCUGAUCUCAUCGAUGAUUGGAAUUCAUUUUCAAGUUCAAGUCUUCAGAUUUAUUUCCUUUCAAGCAUGAUACAUUUUAAAAAUAGACUGUGAACCAUGACCACAAGUGUUGUAAAAACAUCAUUUCUUUCCAUCUUACCGGCUUCUAGUUUUAAAAUACAAUUUAAUGUAAAAAUUUUUGCAAUGUAAUAUCUCUCACUAGUCACUAGUUACCACAGAGGUCUUGAGUUCUAUUAUCAAUAUGCAAUGGAUAAUAGUAGCUUGUGCUAGGUAUUUAUUGUUAGUCUACUAUAUUAGUUUUUGAGUUAUGCACUAGUAUUCAUUAAAAACACCUCAACUGUACUGGUUACGAUAUCAAGGAGAAUAGUUGUGACUGUGUGGACCAGUUGACAUUUCUUAAAAAAAUCAUUAUUGUUCUUGUUGUUAUAUUCACGUAUAUCUUUGAUAGAAAUAAGUAAUGAUGAUAAUUAGACAACGGAAGAUAAGGUAAACCAACCUCCCACCUAGCCAGAGAUCACAAGGUUCAAUAAAAAAAUUGUUCAACAUUUGAUCAUAGGAGUGUUAUGUUAUUGAAACAAAAUUUGGCAUGGGUUUCUUAUAAAAAUAAUGGUACUAAAACAAAAUUUAUUUAACUCUGCAAGAAAAUUAUCUCCACCCCUUGAAAUUCUUCUUGAAUAAAACCUCCAAAGAAAUGCCUCGAUAACAUUACUCUACUCCAUAGAGACUGCUUUCUCUGAUUGAUUUUCUAUGGAAGUUUGAGAUAGAAAACCAAGAUUCCUUUUUGAUCUCAAUCGCCUCCCUCUUGAAAGUUGAUGAUGCUUAAUACCAAAAGGGGCAGAAAGCCGAUGAAUGUUCAAUUGACUGUUCUUACAUGGAUGACUAUUUGUUUCUGACAUGUAUACUGUUUUUCAAUGCUAAUGCCAUUAAUCUGUUUUCAAUGCCUUGAUAUUUGAUCAUAUAUGCUGUGCGUGAAUUAUGAAUUUAUUGGGCUUAAGGCGAUUUAUAUCUUAUUUCAUUGUUCCUGUUGUGUUACGUCAGACACAUCCUACACAGUCAUGCUUCAUGUCGUCCGUUGAUGUCCACACACAUUACUCAUAUCAGGUAUCUCGUUUUCUUCCAAGACAUAGUUAACUUGUUGGAUAUUUGAUCAACUAUACUUCCCUCUCGCAUGAAUUAUCAGUAUAGUAGUUUGUAAGAGUGGGCCUCCGUUUUGUAACCCUUUGGUCCUAUGGUGGUUCCUCGUCUUCCCUCUUUUGUAUGGCGUCAUUUUCUUCAACGUAUGCUCUUUGUUUCUUUCUUUUUUUUUAAAAGGAAAAAAAAAAAAAAAAAGAACGUAAGAAAAAUGAAAAAGAAAAAAGCUCCACAGUUGAUUGAAAAAAGCCCUACAAUUAAUUGUUCGUAGGGUAGGAUAAUUUCGGAAAGAUUCAUUUGCCAUUUGGCAGCCUUCAUUUUUUUGGUAUGUAAAAAUCCUUUAAUUUUAAGUUAUCCUUCUUUUAAAUCCUUCCUAUAAUAAGACUAUAAGAGAUGAAGGCAGAUAGAAAGUAAAGUUAUUUCUCUCUCUUUUACUUGUACUUUUCGUUUUUGAUUCCUUGGUGAUUUGAGGGACGUUAGUUUUGCUUAAAUGAGAUAUAUAUUACCAAUUGUGAUAGUUCAGAGCUUACUUCUAUUGGCAAAAGAAAAACCUUUAUAUCUUUAAGGAACGGCAAUGAAAUGCACUCCUUUGAUUAUAUAUGUGUAUAUAAACGAUCUUUUCCAUGAUUUUGAAAUGAAUUAAUACCCAUUUACUUAAAAAAUCUAUGUAAACAAUCUCCUUCCCUCUGGCGAGGGGAAAAAGGGAAGAGGGGCAGGUUGGGAUACUCCCAAGUUAAAUCAAACGGUGGAGUGAGGGGUGGGAUCAUUGAAUCUCCCUCUCGUUUUAUUUGUGUGUGUGAGACAGGAGAGAACUUGGCGUGGAUUGGGGAAAAAAAAAAAAUUGCAUAUGCAAAGUCACGGGAAACUUAAAAGAGUGAGGAGUGAGGACAUUUUGAUUUUUGCAAACGCUUGGAUGUUUCGGUGCAAGUAUUACUAAAUCAUCUGAAAUUAUACAUUUUUUUAUGCUGUUGCUUUGGAAGCUAAUGUAGAUUCACCAUCUCCAGGUAAUGUUGCCUGAAGCUGUUGCAAUUGUAAUGGCUCCCAAGGACAGUGCAAGGUAUGAUCCUAAAUCAAAAUCCUUGCCUGGUUUGCUUUGCUUGGAUUCCAUUAAUCCUUCUCUUGGAAAUUCUUUAACAUCGUCUUUCUAAUAAUGUUCUCCCUGACAUGAACAGAACCCAUGGUAUUUUCCGGUUGACAACUCCCGGCGGCAUGUCAGUGAUUCGGCAAUGCCAACAACGUGGCUUUCACUCACAUGGUCAGCCUCCUGAUGGCGGACCCAUUUACAAAACCUGUACAGAUAUAUACAUGGACCCCAAUUUGAAAUUUGAUGUCAUUGAUCUUCGAUGAUCACAACCAUUGAAUCUCGAACCAGUAUUUUUGUGGCAUUCAAUCAAACACUCCUAAUUGUUCGUACAGAUCUAAAGUUCCAUCAAUAGAGGCAAGCUUCUUUAAUUUUGUUCAUACGUACACUUCACCUCCAGUGGCAACGAUGUUCAGUCUUCUUUUAGCUUGAGCUUUUGCGCACCAAGUAAUUUCUCGAUACUAAAAGUAAAGAGAUCACAUUGAAACAAACACGUUAGUAAAGAGAUCUCACUAAAACAAACACGUCCAAACGAGUGUUUCUUGUACAAACAUGCUUGCAUUGUAUAAGCAAGGAAUUCUAUACCUUACAAAAUGGCUUCAGGAUCCAAUAUUGAGAAAAUUACUCUUGUUAAUAGAUUACAAAUGAUGAAUGGAUGUUUCGGUUUGUUUUGAUACGUGAAUACUAAGUUUUUUUUUUUUCCUAUUUUUGUCUUCUUUUUUAACAUACUUGCAUUCUGAGGACAGGCAAUUUUUUUUUCCAUAUUUGAAUUGUGAAAUUCUUAUACAAUCUUUUGAAAGAUCAAUGAAACAGUAAAUAGUUUUGAGUAUUGGAAGAUCCAACUUUAUUUCUAAUGGAGAAUGAAAAAGCAGAGAUGGUGAAAAGAUGAAUAGCAGGAAAAGCUGGGAGUAAAGUUGGAUCUACAAUUAACACAGCAGGGGAGCUGGGAGAAAUGUGGAAAAUCUCUUUAAACCUCAUUUUUGAGUUACCACAUUAUAGUUAAAAAAAAAAAAAAACUAGUCCGUCCAUAAUUAAAAGGAAGAAAGAAGAAAGUUGAUUCAAAUUUUUGGUUCAUUUAUAAUUAAAAAGAAAAAAGUUGGGGCAUUUUUAGGUAGUAACAUUCACACAUUCAAUAUUCUCAAUUCAACCAUUAAUUUUGAAUCAACUAAUUUUAAAUAUUGUUUUUAGUACUUAAAAGUUCUAAAUCGACAUAACACACGUCUUUUGAAAAUUGCAACUACAAUUUAAUUUUCAAAUCAUUGAUCAAACUUGAGGAAGAAACAGUAUAUAGUAAUUUGAUGAGAUGGACUAAAUGCAACUUGGGAUAUAUCUAACUAUUUUUCUGGUACAACUCUUUCCUUCCACGUUUAAACAGACAUUACAUGUCAGAAAUGGUACUCUACCAACAUGGUUUGUAUGAUUCAAUAAUGAAAUCAAGACAUUGAUAGGGAACUUUCUUGAGAGGGGUCUCCUAUUGUAAGUUCAACCACCAAAACAACACACUUCCAACACACCUGUUAAGGUUCAAUCACAAUCACAGAGUAUUUUAAUGCUUCUUCAAAAAAAUUGUUUCUGUUCUUCAUGUUCGUUCAUGUCCACUGCAUCAUUGUUUUCUAAACCCAUCUCUACAACUUGACAACACAAGAUGAGGAGAUUGGUGCUGGCUGAUGGGUUACAAUGUUGCAGCUAAGGACUUUUUUGUCAUUUACCUCUUCCUCUUCCUUGCCCCUCUUGGUCCCCCUCAACCAAGAUUGGUCAAAUGGCAAGUUGCAAGGAUUAUACCCUACUUCCCAUCAUUCUCCAACUCACACAAGCCAUCUUAUUUGUUACUUAAAAACCAAUUUCCAUGCCACCGUUUGUGCAACCUAAGAAGUACGAACACUUUAGUUUGACUCGUGUCGAACAUUGAACACCCCCGACGCUGGUUGGACACGUAUAAGACACAUGUUAGUGUAUAUAUAUUAUAUUAGAAAUGUAUAUUUAGAUAAACGUGUUCUAGCCAUAUCGUUUCCUAGACUUUUAAAAAACGUCGCGUUGUAUCCAUAUCUCGUAAAGAACUCUUCUUGUGUAUCUGUGAAUAGCCAGUAUUGGAGAGCUUUUUGACAUGGAAAUGAAAAGAUUUGUAUGCUUUAGGAAAAAGGAAACAGAAAAGAAAAGGGGAAAAAAGAGAAAGUUGGCUUGACUUAAAGCAUUCUCCAUUUUUAUCAUGUUCUCUUGUUGUAGCUUUUGUCUCAACUAAGCAUAUUCUAGUGGAGACUGAAAUAUAGUAAAAGAAAUAAUAAAAAAUGGCAAAACCCAACCUUUGAAAAUGUGUAUAUAACUGGAAAUUCAAUAGAUCUUGUUAAGAUCAUUGACAUAUUUUCUUUAUUUACUGCUUGUUCAGACAUUGCCCAAUAUCAAAAAAGUAUUACAGUUUUGAAUAAAUCAUUUGGGACAGCUUCCUUCUGAGCUAACUACAGCUAAAGCACCUAAAAGUCAACCUAAAAAAGAUCAGCAGUUAACUUCUACCUCAAUUAAACUAUAACUAUGUAAGAUUAACAUUUAAGCUAAAAUAUGAAAAAAGUUUAUAAACAGGAGAUAAGUCAUUUUUAGUUUAAACUAAGAUGUAACAAACAAAAUAAUUUUUCUCAUUUGAUAGGUUAUCUUUACACCCUUUACUAGUUGGACUGUCAUUUUCUAACACGUCUAUAGUUUUGUAAUUACUCUCGUCCUUUUCGCUUAACUUUUUGAGUCAUUCAAAAUUUAACAUGGUAAUAGAGUGAAUGGUUUAGAAGAUUCUACGUUUUGGAGUCAAUAAUGAGAUGAUUUUACGGUAUCCAAAAGUAAGAUUCAAAACAAAAACAUAAGAGCCUUAUAGACUAAACUAAAAUAAUGCUAUCAAAUUAGUUAUAUUUAGAGGCUCUUCUCAUCAAUCAAACAAUACAAUAGCUAAGAAAUGUAGCAGCAAGUUUAAGUACCAAAUCCCACAACUGCUCUUCUCUUCUUCUUCCAAAAUUAUUAGCCUUAUGAAGUUUCUUCCUUAAAGUUUACAUUUUUGAUCUAAGAAGGAAUGUUCAACUCUUUGAAAAGGCCACAUUCUAUAGAAGUUGGUGGAAAGAGGUGGUUUGUUACAUCUAAAAAUAGUAGUUUGCUGCAUUAAAUAGGACCAAUAAUCCACUAGUUUUACAAGUAAUCUUAAUCUAUAUAUUUAUCUAUGACCAAUGUAAUAAUUUUGUAUUAGAAAUAUAGAUGCAUUAUGAUUUUCUUUUUCUUUUUGCUCCACUAUGAGAGAAAUUGGCUUGGAGUUGUUGACAAGUUUUUCUUUACUGAUUCAACAGGGUGAUUUCUUUCUACCUUUGAUAAUGGAAAAAACAAUAAUAAUAAUGUUGAAACAAUCCCACCUAAUGUUUACAAAUUCAGCCAUAUAAAAAAAAAAAUUAGUUCAUCAUAAAAUUGUUAAAAUCACUCCUAAAUAUCCUUUUGAAAAUGUUUUUAAUAAUUUGAAAUCACUUUUAUUAUGUUUUAGAAGUGUAAAACUUGUGUUUUGGACACUUCAAAUGUGACAAAAGUGAUUUGCAAAUUGAGUUGAUUAUUAUUUCUUGUAUAUGCAAAUCUUAAAAAUGUCUUAAUUAAACUUUCAAAAUUUCCUUUGGGUGAUGUAAUUUCUGUGUUGAAAAUAAUGAAAACAAAAGACUUUUUCUAUGCUUUGGAUUAUUACUGUCUAAGUACAAUUGGCAAAGUCUAUAAUUUUGGUCUCUAAUUCAAUAUAAAAACCUCUACCAAUUUCCAUUUACUUUACCAUCACUUUCAAAUCCUUGAAUCCAUUUCCCUUCUUUCUUACUCUUCAAAAUAAUCCUAUCAUUUUCUUUUUGCAUCUUCUCACAUGGGUUCUUCUUUUUUUUCUUCCUUUUCUUCUCUUUGAUGCCAUAUCUUGAAGCUAAUUCCUUACCCUUUCUCUAUCUCUAGGUUUGAUAUGAAGUUAUGGGGAUCCAUUUUUUCAUCUACUUUUGUCAGUUUGAACCUUCAAGGUUGUACAAAACAACAAAACUUCCCUUAUAUUCUUGACUAAUUUGAGCAUUAUUUGUCUCACUUUUGAGUUCCCUCUUUUCACUGACAAAUAGCAGAUUCCAUCUCCAUUUACUAUGAAGAGUUAUUAGAACAUUGAAGCCCCUAAUUCUUGGGCUUUUUGGAACUCCAUUUUUUUCUCCCCCUUGAAACAUGUGAAAGACAGAUCUUUCUUUGUUUUUGUUCCUUUUCUUGUCUUCUAUAGGCCUUGAAACUAAUUCCCCAUUAUUUUAUUUAUCCCCAUCACUUUUUCUUGACUUUCUUAAAGUAUUCCUCACCUAUUUUCCCUUUUUCUCACCCUCCUCCUUAAGACCUCUAUCUUUUCCUCCUCUUACAAAAGUUUCAAACUUGGAAACCGGGGUGGUCGAGAGCUAACACCAUGUGCUCGGAAAUAUCCUCACCCAGAAUAUCAUUCUCGCAUAAUCUUAUAUGUGAGAGUAGAUCGCCGAUGGAUCAGUACGUCGAGUACAGGCGGCGAGACGUGUCGUUGUUGGAUUCGAUAGACUUUGAGUUCAACAUCAGCAUUGAACAUGAAUCUUCCUGUGCAGAUGAGAUUUUUAGCAAUGGAAUCAUUCUUCCUAUCAAAAUUCAGUCUCACAAACAAUCUCAUCCUUCACUUCCUCCUCUUCCUCCUUCCAUAGAACAUUCAAAGAAAAUCACAUUGGUGACUUCAUCAUCAUCAUCUUCUUCUUCUUCUUCUUCUUCUUCUUCAGAUCAUCAGUUAGAACAGAGAGUUUCAGAGUCCAAAUCCUUUUGGGGAUUCAAAAGAAGUACGAGUCUCAACAACUUUGAAACUAAAACACUAUCUCUUUGCCCAAUUCCACUUCUAUCAAGAAGCAACUCAACUGGGUCAGUUUCAAAUUCAAAAUCCAAAAAGUUUAAAGAUUCACAAAAGCAAAAUUCUCAGAAACAGAACUCAUCAUCAAUGAGAAAGUCGUCGCCGUCACCACCGUCUUCGUUAAAUCAAUAUCCAACAAUUCUAAAGCCUCAAAUGUGCAAGAAUCCAGGUGGGGUUUAUGGAACUUAUCAUUAUAUUGGUCCUGUGUUGAACGUUCCUCCAAAGUUUUUUGGUUUUGGUUCACUUCUUGGAUGUGGGAAAGAAAAAAAGAGUAAGAAAUGAAUUUUGUUCAUCAUUUUGGUUUGUAUUUUUUCUUUUCUUGAUCAGUUUAAAAUCAGCACCUACCUUUGCUAAUGUGUAAUGGGUUUGUUCUAAGGUUCUUAAGCUGAUUUCUAUGGUGAAUUUUUGUGAAAAAUAUAUUAUUAAAGGUAAAAAAAACUAAUGUAAUUUAGAUAUAGUUGUUGUGUACUUAUACUUUAUACAUUUUUAAUUCUUCAUUUAGUACAUAUAUGACAACAAAAAUCUCCUACUUUCAUGUUUGUGUCUAAUGUUGUCUAAUAUUUUAAAAUUUGAUGUUUAUCUAAUCACUAUGGACUUUUUAUUAUUUUUAUUGAGUGUUGGACGUUUGGAAUUGUGAUUAUCACUUUAAUAUUAUGUUUUACUACUAGUUUUAGUUUGAUGACUUUAUUUAUACCAAAAUCUGUAAAAAUCUAUCAAUGGUAAAAAUCUAUCAUUCAUAGAUCAUAUUGUAAAUAUUAGAUUUGCCUAUAUUUAUAAUUUUUUAAAAAAUGUUGCUUUGUUCUUAAUUAUUACUCCUAAAAUUGCCACAAAUUAUAAUUACUCUUUCUCUAUCAAAUUAGGUGAAGAAUGAAUUCAAAAUUUUAAAAUAAUAAAAUUUACAAAAUAUUUAUAAGAAAACUUUUUAAAUUUUAUCAAUUAUAGUUGCUAAAGUGAUACAAGUCUAUCAAGGUAAAGAUCAGUGAUAGCAUUUUUUCUUUUAUUUUGUUUAAAAAUAUUAUUUAAUUCAAGUUCCUAUUCCAAAUAUAAAUGAUGAUUUUUCAAAUAUAAACGAUUCUUUUCUAAAUAUAAACCAUAAAAUCUUUCAAAUAUAAACUAACAACAAAAAAUGAAAAAAAAAAUAGAUUUGACUGAUAAAAAAAAUAGCUAUAAUAAUUUCUUUGUAUCAAAAAAAUAGUAUGAGACGGUGUUAUAUUUUAUAAAAGAUCUCAUUUAAUACACGUGAAAAUAGAAUAUUAAAUAACUCUUAUUAAAAAAAUGAAGCAACCAAUGGAGUUCAACCAACUAUACAACAUUUGUAUUGAAUGAAUAAUUGAGAGUUACUCAAUCACUAAUAAAACAUUAUAAGAAUAAUGUUUACAUUAUAAGAUUUUGGGUUUGAAGAAAAAGGUUGAAUGCAAAUAUAUAUAUAUUUUUUAAAAAUUGAAAAUGUAAUUCAAAGAAAUAUUAAUUUGGUUUAAAUGGAUUUUCAGAAAAAAAAAACCAAUAAUUAUUUGGUUUUGCUUCAAAUCCUUUCCAUGGAAUUGCUUUCGCAGUAAACCCUUCUUCUUUGCAUUUGGUUUUGCUUAAGCUUCUUCUUUCCAUGGACGGCCAUGUCUACGAUCCCUUCGAUUCACUCGCAAAACUUUGCCUCAUUUCCCACUCCCAAGAGGAUAUAUUACGUCACUGCUCUUUCGCCGGCGCCCCUAACUCCCUUGAUGCCUCUCGUUUUCCGCCCUCCCAAUUCCUUCACCCUUACCCCACUCCUGUUUCCACGGCUUCUCCUCCGGAAAGUUUGGAACAAAGAGAACAACUCAUCUCUCCUGAUGCCUGCCAGCCUCCACCGGAACAGUCUGGUGGACGCCGGCCCGUGGUUGUUGAUGAUCCUUCUGUUCAAGAUGCCGCCGCGGCGGUUGGAGGUGGAUGUGUGAGCAAUGUUCCUACUGGAGUCGAUUUGGGGAAAAAUGAUGAACUAGGGUUUCUCGAAGUUCAAUCCACUCGACAGACUGAUGGAAUUGAGAUUAUCGGUGUUCGUAGAAGCAAGGUUUCGGAGUCUGGUACUGAUGGAGAAGCUGAAUCGGCAUCAAAGAGGUUGAAGCUCUCGAAUGAAGCUUUGGGCAAAGACUCUUCUGUACCUUUUGUCGGUCUACUGAUCGAGAAAUCGGUACCAGUCGGUGAAGAAUCCGGCAAAAUUGAUGAUGGAAAGGUCUCCAAUGGGGAAGAAACUCACUGUAACAAGAACAAGCAAAACUUGACAGAGAAGAAAGUCGAAAAUUCCCAGCCUGAAGUACCGGGCGAGUACGACGGAGUGAUGAAUCGCGAUGCAGGGAGGGAGACUCUGAUAUCAAUAUUGAAUGGAUUGAUUUCGAAGGAGAAAAAUGAUGAUGCAACCUCAUCUGGUGAAUCUGGGAGUGGCAAUUCCAUCAUUAUGGAAAUCUUGAAGAUUUUGUCACAAGUAGAAAGAAGUGAUGAAGACGAGAAAUUAGCAGACAUGAAUCUUAUUGAAGUGGCAAUGAGCCGUGGAAUGACAUUUCCUCGGCCGUGUUGGUGGCCGGAGGAGUAUGGUUCCAACGGCUUGGAGAAGAAAAAGUGAAGGUAAAAUUAUUAAGAUGAAGAACUUAUUUUGGGAAUGAAAUUUUCUAAGAUGAAGAAAUGUAUAGUUAGUUCUUGAAAUGGUUGAAUGUUUUGUAGCAUCAAAUCAAUGCGUUUUUUAGAUGCUCUGAAUGGUGAAUUUAGGGUGUUUGUGUUUUGUGAAGACUGACUGACUGACUUUGAAUGUAAAUGAUUUUGAAUCCUUCCAUUUCAUUGGUGUUCUCAUGGGUUUGUGUUCUUCUUCAUCCCUAUACUUUAUGUUAAUGCAUUAUUGUGCUGAUUGUUUAAACAGGAAAUGGUUUGAAAUUUGUCGAACUCAGUAUGAAUCACAAUCACACAUCAUCGAUUGGUAUAUUUGGUGUAUUUUCUUGUAUCUUCUUAGUUUAUAAAAAUUGAGUCUUUUCUUUCAACCCGAAUUAAUUAAGCAAUUUCAGUUUAAACUCUCAUUGAACACUUGUCAACAAUGGAAAAUGUGAUGAAUAUUUGAGCGAUUUUCUAAAAUUUUGAUACCCAAUUAGGUUAACUAAGAGCCAAUAUUUUGAAUUAUCUUCUAAGUUUUAAAUCUAAACCAUAACUUGUCCUCAAGAAAUUAUGAGAUGUUGAAUUGAAUAACAAAAGUAUUAGAUUCAAAUAAUAUUGAAGGUUAGAAUGUAUCAACAAAUCAGAGUGGCGCAGCGGAAGCGUGGUGGGCCCAUAACCCACAGGUCCCAGGAUCGAAACCUGGCUCUGAUAUCUAGAGUGGCUUCCGUGGUCUUUUCUUUUUUGUUCUUCGAAGUUCAUUUCGAGUUGCAUUCAAGCCCAUUUCAGUAUUAGAGCGAAGCCCACAUACCAAAUCGUCGUCUUCGUGAAUCAAUCGAGCUCCAAAAUCCAAAUCCAGAUCAUGGUCUCUUCCCAUUUUCACAAUUUUAUUACACAAAGCUUCUAAUUUUUUUUUUUUUUGUUUUGUUUAAUUCUUCAAUCUCGUCCCUCGAAAUCUCUGUUUCCUGUUGCAUCAAUCGAGCUCCACCGAAUGGAACUGAUUUAAUUGAUUUCUCCGAUCUCUCGUUCUUUCUUCAACCAUGAAAUUCUAGCCCGAAUUCCCAUCUGGGUAUUGGCUACACAGACAUUAGAGUGACUAGUUUCGUCUCUAUCAAUGGCGGGUUCAUCUCUCAUGGACACUCUCUUCCAGCGAACUCUUGAUGACCUUAUCAAAGGCCUUCGCCUUCAACUUAUUGGCGAGUCUGCUUUUAUCUCCAAGGCCAUGGAUGAGAUUCGUCGCGAGAUCAAAUCUACGGACCCUCAAACUAAGUCCACCGCUCUGCAAAAGCUCUCCUAUCUCAGUUCCCUUCACGGCAUCGAUAUGAACUGGGCUGCUUUCCACGUCGUUGAGGUUAUGUCAUCUUCUCGUUUCGCUCAAAAGAAGAUCGGGUAUCACGCUGCGUCCCAAUCGUUUCACGAAGCCACCCCAGUUCUUCUCCUCAUUACCAACCAGCUCCGGAAGGAUUUAACUAGUACCAAUGAAUUUGAGGUUAGUCUUGCUCUUGAUUGUUUGUCGAAAUUUGCAACUGUUGAUCUUGCUAGGGACUUGACACCUGAGAUUUUUACAUUGUUGUCGAGUACUAAGGUGUUUGUUAGAAAGAAGGCAAUUGGUGUGGUUUUGAGGGUUUUUGGGAAAUACCCAGAUGCUGUUAGGGUGUGUUUUAAGCGUUUGGUUGAGAAUUUAGAGAGUUCAGAUCCCCGGAUUUUGUCUGCAGUUGUUGGGGUCUUUUGCGAGCUUGCUUCUCAGGACCCUAGAUCUUAUCUUCCAUUGGCACCUGAAUUUUAUAGGAUUUUGGCUGAUAGCAAGAAUAAUUGGGUGCUGAUUAAGGUCUUGAAGAUAUUUAAAAAUCUUGCUCCAUUGGAGCCUAGAUUGGCAAGGAAAAUUGUUGAACCUAUAACUGAGCAUAUGAGAAGAACAGGUGCUAAGUCAUUGUUGUUCGAGUGUAUUAGGACUGUGGUGACUAGCUUGUCUGAUUUUGAAACAGCAGUUAGACUUGCUGUUGAGAAAACUCGAGAAUUUUUGGUUGACGAUGAUCCGAAUCUUAAGUAUCUUGGAUUGCAUGCUCUUUCAAUCCUUGUGCCAAAACACUCGUGGGCAGUUUUGGAGAAUAAAGAGGUUGUAAUCAAAUCUCUAAGUGAUGUGGACCCAAAUGUUAAACUUGAAUCCUUGCGGCUUGUGAUGGCUAUGGUUUCUGAUAACAAUGUAACUGAAAUUUGCAGAGUUUUGGUGAACCUUGCGCUUAAAUCUGAUCCUGAGUUUUGUAAUGAAAUUCUUGGGUCCAUAUUAGCCACAUGUGGUGAGAAUGUGUAUGAAAUCAUUAUUGACUUCGACUGGUAUGUGUCACUUCUUGGAGAAAUGUCGAGGAUCCCAUAUUGCCGAAAGGGGGAGGAAAUUGAAAAUCAGCUUGUAGAUAUUGGUAUGAGGGUCAAGGAUGCAAGGCCUACUCUUGUCAUGGUUGGCCGUGAUCUGCUAAUUGAUCCGGCAUUACUUGGUAACCCUUUCAUGGAUAGGAUACUAUCAGCUGCUGCUUGGGUGUCAGGAGAAUAUGUGCAGUUUUCAGGCAAGCCAUUCGAACUUCUAGAGGCAUUAUUACAGCCUCGCAGUAAUCUUUUGCCACCAUCAGUUAGAGCAGUUUAUGUUCAGUCAGCAUUUAAAGUAACGAUUUUUUGUUUAAAUUCUUACAUUCAAGAGCAAAACAUUGACUCCUCUUCCUAUGUUGAUACAUUGGUAGAGAAUGGUUCAGAAUCUAUCUCUGCCAGGGAAUGCCAAGAUGCUUCUGCUUUAGCAUCAUGUGAUGCUUCUGAUCAAUUUGAACAGGUUGAAGUGUUCAACCCAAGGGGGUCUAAUCAACCAACAAAAGUUACUUUUGCAGAAAAUGACAGGGAGACAUUGACUCGUGUCCAGACAUGUACAUCUGCAUCGUUAGAGGAUAAUAGUUCAUCUCUUGGAUCGAUAGUUGAGUUGUUGAAUUUUAUUCAGUUUUCUUUGGGCCCUUUAACGUGGAGCCAUGAUGUUGAAUUGCUCGAGAGAUCUAGAAACUUGCUCAAUUUUAUUGAACUAAUUAGGAAACAGAUUCCUGAUGGCCUAAAUGAAAAGGAUGGGAGUGCAGAAAUGGAACUUGCUGAAAUCUCCAAAAUAGUUGAACUGAUUCUUGAUGCCUUCUCGGAUGACUUUGGCCCAAUCUCAAUAAAUGCUCAAGAAAGGGUUCCAAUUCCCGAAGGAUUGAUACUCAAGGAGAAUCUUGAUGAUUUGAAAAUGAUAUGUAGUGAUAUUGAGGUAUCAGAAGGCUCCUAUUCUUUUGGAAAUUCUCUCUAUGAGGAAAAAGUUGAUUCAUCUAUAUUAUCCCAACAGAUCCAGCAAGAGUCUGAAUCAUUAAAUGCAACCACAUCUCUUCUCUCCGAACACCGUAAGCGGCAUGGAAUGUAUUAUCUUCCAUCAGAUAAGACUGAUGAUGCCUCCAAUGAUUAUCCACCAGCCAACGAACUCAAGGUACAAGAUAUUCUGGAUGAUGAUGCUGCCCACCUUGUCAAGCUUGCAGAACGGUCUCUCGCAUUGAAGAAAAAAUCUACUUCAGCCAAGCCUAGGCCUGUGGUGGUGAGAUUGGAUGAAGGAGAUGAAUUGCCUGUUACAAGGAAGAAACCUCAGUUGAACGACGAACAGCUAUCCGAUGCAGUUCGCGAUGUUCUUGUGGGUAGUGAUGCGAGGCCUACUUCCUCGCAAACAAACCAAUCUUCCAAACCUUCUGGCAGGAGAAAAGGAAAGGAGAAACAGAAUGCUGAUAAUCUUUUGGAAUCAAAAGAAAACUUGGGCAAUGUCGAAGAGCAAUCCUCCAACAUGGUAGAUACAAGUUUGAGAAGAACACAUCGACAUCAUGAAAAAGAUGCCAAACAAGAAAGUCCGGAAAAGAACAGUGAGAAAAAGGAUCAAACUCAUAAAAAAGGCAAACGAACAAGUAGUCAGCGGCAUGGUAGACAUAAAGCUAAACAAAGUGGGGAUACUUCAUUACCUGUGGCUUCACAGACAGUUAUACCCGAUUUCCUUUUAUAGCUUGAAAAACCUGAAUCAGAUUUGCUGCAGAACAUUCUGACGUAAUGGCCAGUUUGAUUUCCAAAUUCUCAUGUGCCAUGGUUAGUUCUGCUGUGAAAAUUUGUUGAUUUUUUUGAUGUACGUUUGGGGGUGCUUUUAGAUUCAUAUGUUCCAGAAUAGAUGUCCAUUUUAGAAACAGAGUUUCAUAUUUGGGAUUGUCUGGUUUCUGGUAUUGAUAUGAAGCAUUUUUUCUUGAAAAUUUGUGUAUAAUAUAUAUUGUAGUGGUUGAUCCAAAUUUAAGUCAAGUAUGGGCAAUUUUGAGCUGGAUAGAUUUAGUUAAUGGCAGACGUUGCUGGAUAGAUUUGAACUUCUUAAAUAUUAAAAGCAAAACAUCACUCCUUAGAAACAAAGGUAUUUAUACUAAAAACAUGUUAGUAUUGUCUGUUUUGCCUUUUCUUUUGAGUACUAGGAAAGAGACCAAAAGAGAGAAUAAAUUGCUUCAACUUUCCCGAGUUGAGAGCUACCAAUAAAGCAAAAGGAGGAACGUGGUGAAACCUUAAAACGAUGGAAGUGUGUUAAUGAAGGGUUUAAAGUCAACCACUUGGAAAUGGCAAAUCCAAUGGGAAGGAAGACUUUUAGAGAGCUAUUAUCAAAGUUAAUCUCGCACAAAUACUCACUAAUCAUAUAUCAUAAUAUUUAACUCGUUGCUUAAUGGAUCUGAUAGCUUUAAUUUUAGCUAAUUAUUAGUUUAACUAAUCGUAUAUCACAAACAUGUUCACAUUUUCAUAUGGGAGGAUGUUUUUGCAUGCUUGAUAUGCCCUUCUUGAACAAAGCGAACAGAGAAGACUUUGGAGUGGAGAUCACAUGAUUUCUUACUAACUUUCGGUUCAAGUUACUUUUUUUUCACUACUCAUUCUACUCUCUUCUCUCAAAUCUUCUUCAUAAUCUUCUUCUUCAUCUUCUUCUUCUGGUCAAAAGCCAUAACCAAAAUGGCUAAUGAUCCGCUGAAGCAUUCUCCAUCUCAGUUUUCCCAAAUCUUCCAUGUGUUCUUCUUACUUGUUGGUUUCUCCAUUGGAAUGGCUGUCAGUUUGAACCUCAAGAGCUUCUCAUCAUUCAACAUCCAGCUCCCCAACUUUUCCUUACCAUCUUCACCAUCAACAACACUAGUGUUUAUCAGACAACAACAACCACCUCCGGCCUCAUCGUCACCGCCACCACUUCAACCGCCAUCUCCUUCAGUUGACUCCUCCGAAAUGAAUAGUUUUUUUGAGGUGAACGUAGAGCCGCCUCUAAUGCAUAGAAUGAGUGAUGACGAGGUGUUUUGGAGAGCAUCCAUGGUUCCAAUGAUCAAAGAAUUUCCAUACGAACGUGUGCCAAAAAUUGCUUUCAUGUUCCUGAUAAAAGGGUCAUUGCCUUUAGCUCCUUUGUGGGAAAUGUUCUUCAAAGGACACGAACACCUGUUCUCAAUUUAUGUGCAUACUCAUCCAUUGUAUAAUGUUUCUUCUUCUCUGCCUCCAAACUCUGUCUUCUAUGGAAGAAGAAUCCCAAGCCAGGUGAGGUUAAAGCCUUUCUUUUCUAAUUAAAUUACGACUUGUUGUUUCUGUUUUACGUAUACUUUCGAAUUAAAUCACAACAAAUUGGUGUUUUUUUACCUAAAAAAUUUAUAUAUAUUUGGUUUAAGUUGAGAUGUUUCAACCUUGAUUUAAAAUAUAUGUUUAUGUUAUUGAAACAUUGGUACUAAAAAACGAUUAUAAAGUUUUCAAAUAUUUAUAUAAUCUAGGAAUUUUGAUUGAUGACAAUGGUUGUUUAGUGAAAGAAAACAGACUUACAAUAAUGAGAAGAGAACACUACUAAUUUAUGCUUUCUUAUACUAAUUUUUUAGAUAUACAUUCACUUAUAAGUUUUAAGAAACUUUGGGAUGAUUUGAAUGAACAUAGGCAGUGCAAUGGGGGAGACCUUCCAUGAUCGACGCCGAGCGUCGCCUUCUAGCAAACGCCCUUCUCGACUUCUCUAAUGAAAGAUUCAUCCUCCUCUCAGAAACGUGCAUUCCUCUCUACAACUUCACCACCAUCUAUAACUACCUCAUUAAUUCGCAAUACACCUUCGUUUCUUCCUACGACGAUCCCCGAAAAAUAGGUCGUGGUCGAUACAACCCCCGGAUGUUUCCAGUCAUAUCGAUCGCCGAUUGGCGAAAAGGAUCGCAGUGGAUUGAAGUUGAUCGAAGGGUGGCCAUCGAGAUAAUCUCCGACUCAACAUAUUACCCUGUUUUCAGGGAGCACUGUGGGCCGCCAUGUUACAUGGACGAGCAUUACAUUCCUACAUUGGUUAAUAUUGUUUUGCCAGACCGGAACUCCAACCGAACCGUUACUUGGGUUGACUGGUCCAAAAAUGGUCCGCACCCUGGCAGAUUUGGGAGACGGGAGAUCUCGGUCGAGCUUUUGAACCGGGUUCGGUUUGGUUUUAAUUGUAGUUAUAAUGAUGGAAACGAGACCGUUUCACUAUGCUUUUUGUUUGCUCGGAAAUUCAUGCCCGAUUCUUUACAGCCUCUGCUCAAGAUUUGGCCGUCGCUAUUGCAAGGUUUGAUUUAAGCUUUAAAUAUAAUGUUUGGUAUAUUAUGAAAAAUGAUUCAAUUCUUUUUACACAAAUUGAUGUAAUCUUGAUUUGAAUUAUAUUAUACGAAACGAUUUAAUGAGGUGAGAUUCACAAAAGUUUUAAUUUCCUUUGGACAUUUUUAUUUGGAUCUCAUGAAUUUAAUGAGACCAUUAAUUUGGGUGAAUUUAGGUAGAUCCUAUGCUAAUGAAUCAUAUUAUUUAAAUAAGCUAGAAGGUAAAACUUGUAUAUACUUUUAUGAAGUACCAUAUAAAUUACAUUUCUAUGGACAUAUGUUACCUAUUUUCACGUUUUUGUAAGUUUGAUAUCUAAACAAUUAGAAAUUAAAAAGUGCCACAAAUCUAAAUAUCAUAUAACUUGUUUAGGGUUAAGAUUCACAAAUUUUAAGACGAGAUCAAAAGACUUCUUACUCAUAUAAAAGCAACCAAUAUCAUGUUGUCAACCUCUCAACUAAGAGGUCACGGUUAGUUUUCAAUCUAUUGUGGUUAUAUACCUUAAAAUUAAUUUUCUUCAAGUUUUAUUGAUAUACACUUAAAUACUUAAAUGUUGUAGGAUCCGAUGAAUUGUUCGUGAGAUCAUUAGUCGAUGUAUAUAUAAAAUGACUUACAAAACUAUUAGGUACUACAAAAAUAUAUAAACUAAAAAAUUAUGUCUACAAGCUGCCUGCAAAAUAAUAAUAAUGAUGAUGAAAGUAAACUACGUGUUGACACAAAUUAAUACUCCACCAUAUGUUACUCAAUCCUCCAUAUGAAAAAAGCUAAAUGCCUCCAAUUGCAAUUUCUUAUUUAAAAUUGAUUUGGUUGGUAUAUUAAAACAAAGUUAAAUCUAAAUGGUGUCAUAGAUGUGAAGCUCGACACAAUUACAAAUGUUGAAAUCUCAAUUUUAUAAAAAUGUUAAUUGACAUGUCUAUAAAUGUUAUUGACGAGAUGUGAAUAUCAAUAAAUUCUAUUUACGAGAAGUUCAUGUGAAUAAAAACGGUGAACUUAUAGAAUAAUAAUACAGUAAUAUUAAUAACACAUACAUCACUAAAUUAUUGUAGUAAAUUAGGAAAAAAAGGGUAAGAAUAUGGGAAAGAUAUAUGAUAUAUGGAAUGUGACUAUACGUAUAAUACAUAUGAUUAUUGAUUACGAAAAGAUUGAGUGAGAGCAUAUAAUAAACAGAUCCUUAAUUCAACACCUUUGUAUCUUAAAAAAGUAAUUCAACUUUAUUUUUUAAUAAUCAGAUCAUGAGUUUAUACUAUUUAACAUUUUAUUAUUUGAAGUACGUGCAACUUAGUUGGCCUCAACACACAAAUAUUCCUAACUAUAUACAUAUACACAAAGAUUAUUCAUGAAAUAACAUAAGCUCGCUAUUUAUUCUUUGAGACUUAAUCAAUUACAAUAAUUAAAAUUAAUUGUUGUCUUGUGUAAGUGAAACUUCAAAUAAUCAAAAAAUCAGAAAAGAUAAAAGUAAGAUAAUAAAGAUAUGAUCGAUCAUGUAGAUUUUGGUUCAAAUGAAGUCCAAAUGCUGUAUAUGUUCUUACUAUCGUGUGAAAAUUUUAUGCAUUUUGACUGUUCAUAUUUUGACGUAAACCAUUGUAAUUAAUAUCAGUGUUCAACUACAAAACAAGAUAUAGGAAUAUUACUGUGUUUCAUAAACACUUUGAUUAAUAAUGUUGGUGUAGCAGUAUUAAGUUGUCAAUAUCCAACCAAAAUUCCAACCCUUGAUAGUGGCCGCCACCUUCUUUUUUCUUCCACCAUUAUAUUGCAUUAAAAAGUGGAGUUAUAACGAACUAAUAAAUCCACACUAAUUAAUCAAUUAAUCAAUCCCCAGAAGAAGAAGAAAAAAGUAUAUAGACGAUUUUAUUUUGCUGUUAAUUCCCCCAGCAACGGCCGCUGCACAUGGCGGAGCCGACGGCGAAGGUUCUUCAGGGCGUUCAGUUUCAUCAACUCAGUAGCCUUAUAUCUCACUUUCUUGUGUUCGGGUUAGGAUUGGUUAUUGGGAUUACUUUUAAUUUCUCGAUUAGGGGUCGUUUAGUUUCUUCCAGUAAUUUUGAGCUGAUACAGUGGCCGGUUACUGCACCGCAACCGCCACCGGUGGUGGUGGGGAUGAGAGAAUUUAGGAGCUCAAAAAGUUUGGGGAAAGAGAUGAGUAGUAGUAGCGAGGGGGAUGAGUUGGUUCACCGGAUGAGAGGGUUACCGGCGGUGAAGGGAAGUAGGGGGAAGGUGGCAUUCAUGUUUUUAACGAGAGGGGAUUUGCCAUUGAGGCCAUUUUGGGAAAGGUUUUUCAAUGGAAAUGAAGGUUUAUACUCAAUUUAUGUGCAUUCUCGUCCUUCUUUCAAUGCAACUUUCCCAUUAAAUUCUGUGUUUUAUGGACGUAACAUUCCUAGCAAGGUUAGUAAGUAAAACCCCUUUCCUACUUUUUUCUCUUUUUCUCUUUUCUUCAUUCAUCAUUCUUAGUUCACCUCUCUGCCUUCCACCUAUGUCCAUGCAUGCAUCCUCUUUAAUAACAAGAUAUGAUUUGAAAACUUCUUUACAAACAUAUAGUUGCAACUUUGAGAAUCUCUAAAUGUUUAUUUAUAAAGUUUUGAGAUUAAAAUGUUGAUGUGUUGAUGAAGAUAUACGGAGGCCUUAAUUUUACAAAAAUGAUGAUAAAAUAUCGGGAUGUUAAAUACAUGUUUUAAAAGAAAAAAGCUAUAUACUUUUUACAAGUUUUUUUUUGUUAUAUUUUAUAAAUAGUUUUGUUAUUUUUUUUUUGUCACCCACAAUAAUUUCUUUAAAAUGUAUUAAAAGGUUAAUUAUAUACCUUAAAUUAAUUCACAUAUUUUGUUGGCUUUUUUUUUCAAUGUUUUUAUAGCUUUUUCGAUAGAAUGUAAAUAUCUUUUAUCUUUUAUGAUGUUGUUGAAUUCAUGAAAAUGUAAAAGUAUUCACAUAUGACCAAAAGAAAAUAGACAAAUGAGUAACAUAAUUUUGAAGAGAAUUGUUUUCGAAAUUAUAUAUACAUCAUUUAAAAUUUGUUUAAAUGAUAAAACUGUAGAAGAUAUUUUAUGAAUAUAAUAAAAUUUGAUAGUCUAUAUAGUAGACAACACACAUCUAUCGGUGAUAAAUGAUAAAGAGUUCCAAUAUAUUUUAUGAAAAAAAUUCAUAAUAAUUUGAGUAUUCUACUUUUUUUAUUUUUUUUUUUAUUUUUAGGAUAGAGUGAUUUAUAGCAACAUUUUAAUUUGAAUUUUGAAACAACACAAAUAGAAUUAAAAGUGGUUCUAAAAUUCUUUUUUUUUUAAUUCUAAAAAUAAAUUAAAUAAACAAGUAAUAAUGCAAGACAUUAAACAUUGAUUAAAAAUGUUAAUAGGAACAUAAAUCAACUAGAUUAUGUUAUGCAUAUGAGAUAAAACAACUAAAAUUAAACAAAAACAAAAGAUUAGAAAAUGUUACCUCACAUAUUAUUAUCUUAUAAGGUAAGAUCAAAAUCCUCACCUCUGCAUAUCAUUAAUUACUGUAUUUGAAUAAAGAAAGUUGCUACAAUGGGAAGAAAACUUCAAAAACCCUAUAUUGUCCAUGUAAUUAUUUCUAAUAUAUAUAUGCCAACUUUGAUGUUGAUAUUGACUAUAUAUAUAUAUAUAUAUAUUAAGGUUUUCAUACAGAAAUUAAUCUCACUACAACGUCGUAGUAUGUAUAUAUAAUGUAAGAAGAUUUGAAGUCAAAAUCAAUCCUUGGGAAUAUUAUGAGACGAAAGCAACUGAUGACAUAUGUGUUAGUUGUUGUCUUUUUAAUGAACUUAACUGUAAUAAACAGAUAGUAUAUAUAAAUUUGACAGGUAGUAGUUGAGUGGGGGCAGCCAAGCAUGAUUGAAGCGGAGCGACGGCUGUUAGCCAACGCUCUUCUCGACAUCUCCAACCAACGAUUUCUCCUUCUUUCCGAGUCUUGCAUUCCCGUCUUCAAUUUCACCACCGUCUACACUUAUCUAAUGGGGUCAGCUCAAAUCUUCGUCGACUCCUAUGACUUACCUGGCCGUUUGGGCAGAAACCGGUACAGGUCCGAAAUGCAGCCCACAAUCCUUGAGACCCAAUGGAGGAAAGGGUCGCAGUGGUUCGAAAUGGACCGACGGACGGCGACGGAGGUGGUGGAGGACCGGAAGUACUUCCCAGUGUUCCAAAAGUACUGCCACCCGGGUUGCAUUUCGGAUGAGCAUUAUUUGGCGACGAUGGUGAGUAUAGAGUUUGGGGAAAGGAAUUCGAACCGAACGCUAACUUGGACGGAUUGGUCGAAGCAUGGACCUCACCCGACUGGGUUCGGGAGCGAGAAUGUGACGGUUGGGCUUUUGGAAAGGAUACGGGACGGCAGCACGUGCGAAUAUAAUGGAGAAAGAAGUAGAAUUUGUUAUUUGUUUGCGAGAAAGUUCAUGGGAAGUGCUUUGAAUGGGCUGAUGGAAAUUGCUUCUCAAGUUAUGUUCAUCCAUUGAAUUAUCACUUCCCUUCCUUCACUUGUAAUGUAAAUCAUUUUUCAGUUUUAGGCCAUUAUACUGUAUAACUAUAUAUAUCCUACAAAUACCUUCAAAUGAUCUAAUUAAUUAUCAUUUUCUAGAUGGAUGAUUAGGGUUUCUAUAUUGUAGAUUUCUUUUUGUUUCCUUAUUGAAUGAUUAGAUUUUAAUAACUUAGACGAUGACGAUUAUCGAUAAUUCAAUCUCUUGAGACAAAAAAGAAAAUUAUUAUCUUUCAUUUUUAUAUUUAUAACUAUUUAGAAUCAUCAUCUAUCUUAAUAUUUAAGAUUUGGGUUAAGUAUAAUAAUUAUUUGGAUUUCAUUUGGUAAAGUUACGUUCUAAAACACUUCUAAAUUAAUUUAAACGUUUUCGUUUUCGUAAAAAACAAAAAUGUUUGUAAAAAAACCAUUGAUCACCAAUAUGACUUUUUCUUUUAAAAAAUGAGAGGUAGGAUAUUUAUUUCCACAGUUAUAUAUUAAAAGAAAUCAUUGUAGGUUGACCCAUAUUGAUUAAAUUAUUGACUUGGAAAAUGAUGAUAAAUAAUAAUGUAUAUGGCAAAAUGCUUUGAAUUGAUGGGCGGCUGGGAAAUUGCUUCUUAACCUAUCUUCAUCCAUUGACUUAGACUUUUCAUUGACUUGUAUUGAUAUUUCAAGUCCAUAUCAGACCAUUACUAAAGUUCUAAAACACUUCUAAAUUAAAUCUAUCUAUUAUUAAGCAGUUAAUUUAAUACGUAUUAAACAUCGAUACAAUAACUUGAUAUAGAUUUUACAAUUAUUAAACUAAAAUAAAUGUCGCAAACACAUAUUAUACUUAAGGAAAAAAACACUUAUUUUCUGUUCAAUUUUGAAAUUACAAAAACUAUUUUUAGUUUUUGAAUUUACUAAGUAAAUGAAUAGUUAUAAGAAAAUCAUAACAAGUGCAUUUUCUAACCCUCACAUAGGUAUCCAAAAGAAACUUAUAACUUUUAUGGUAUUUUCUUGCCAUAUUUAGGUUUUGUGAACCUUCAACCAAGUUUUGUUAGUAAUUGAUGAUUUUUGGGUUUACAAACUUAUUUGAGCCCUUUGCUUUUCUUUUUAUAUUAUUUUUAAAUAAAAAACCUUUAAGAAGUUAGGUCUAGAGAUUCUUAAGUUUGAAAACUUCCCAUAACAAUUUGCUAUAUAUGAACUCGACUCUGAUGCCUAAAUUAAUCGUAGAAAUUAGACCCUAGAACAAUAAAAUUGAAUACUCAAAUUUAGCUUAUAUAAUCAGUCCAAUUUAUAUAAUUAUGUAAACUUGAAUAAAGUUCGAGCUCUUAAUAAAAAGUGUGAAAACCACGUUCUGGAACGUAAGAGUUGAGAAGAAAGCGGUAAAUGUUAAGUAUAAUUGUUAGGCAUUGAAGACCGUAUGGGUUUUAGCUAGUGACAACCUUCUUAAAAUGAUUAUCCAUAUUUGUAUCCCUUUUGGAGUUUGACCUUGCAUCUAUUGUUGGGGUGAAAAUUAUGGUGUGAGGAAGAGGAUGUGAACGGUCAGAAAGUAGAACACAUGCUACCACUAAGCCUACAGUGGAUUCGGCUGCUCAUUUGUUGAACCCAGGCACUAGGAGAGAAUAGUAGAAGAAGAGUUGAAUGAAUUGAGAGGUUAAUUCAAAGGUUGAUAGAGGGAUUGACAGUGCAUCGAAAGAAGAAGUUUGGAUAAUAGAAAGAUUAAAGGGUUUAGGAGCAGAAGAGGUUGCUGGAACACAGUUUGUCCAGAAGAAGCAGAGAAGUAGUUGAAGAAAAUAGAAAAAGUGUUUCAGAGUGAUGUGAUGUCCCUGAAGAUAAAAAAUGGUGGACUUAGCCACAUUUCUACUUCAAGACCAGCAGAAAACUGGUGGAUGUUAUUUGAAAGAGCAAAAGCAUGGAAAGUUAAGUUAGGACAGAUUCAUGGAAACAUUCAAUGAAAAGUUUCACACGAAAACCUACUGUAACUAAGGAGAAACGAGAGGAAUUUCUGCAUUUGAUGCAAGGCCAAGAUGAGAGUGACAGAAUAUGAAAAGAAAUGUACACAGAGUUGGCAAAGCAUGCGUUGACGAUAGUGGACUCAGAGAAGGAGAGAUAUAUGUAGGCGUCUUGAGAAAAGGUCUCAAGCAGGAAAUAACAGGCCAGUAGCGCCAACUGCUGCUUGUAUGAUGUAAAUUCUCAAAGUUGGUAGAGGCAGCGUUGCGAGUAGAGAAGGGAUAUCAGUGUGAGGAAGGGUCCACAUUUAAAGAUGGGUCAAAAGAAUAGUCUUAAAGUAAGUUAGUAAGUUUAAGUAUAAGUGAGAGAGACAUUGAUUUAUAGGGACGUGUGGGACUCAGUGUUUUUUAAAAUAUUCCUAAGAACUUCCACACUGUUACCGACUAAUUCCCCACACAAUCAUCUCUCUAUUUCUCUACCAAAGACAAACUCAAUAUAUAUUGAAAGACCGAGUAAAUCAACCUGUCUUUUUCAUUAAACAGAGAGGGGAAAAAAAAGCACAAUGUCUUUUUUAUUCCAAAAUUGCUUUUAGUUCUUUCUUGCUUUCUUCUUUUGACUUCUAUUAUUCUAACCUUUAUCAUAUCUAAUCUUUGGAGAAAAAAGAAAAAUCAAUUUUGAUCUAAUUCUUCCAAUUCAGACUUCAAAUUUUCUUACAUUUCAUCCCACUUCCCAUUCCAAUUUAAAUAUAAAGUGUUUUCCAUUUUCAUCACUUUUUGAUUCGACACUUCCUUUUUCUUUCUAGAAAAAUGAUUCUAAUAUUUUAUUAUUAUUUUAUCUAUAAACACACAACUUUACUAAAUAUUUAUUUUCAUUAAUUACUUUAAUAAAUUUCUAAAUGCAAUCAAGUAUUAAAGUUUUUGUUAGAUUUAAAAUGGUAUAUAGUGAUUUAGAAUCAAAUUUCUACCAUAUAUUUUCACUUGUGAUACAUUCAUUGUAUUUCUAGACCCUAGUAAGUGUUGAAUGAUGUGAUAUAAAAUUUGACUAUACCAUUGACUUAAACUUUCUUUUUUUUCAUUAACGAUUUAAAUCAUCGUUUAGAAAAGAAAUAAUAAGAACUUAGUACAUUAUUAUCAUUCAACAAUUUGGUGGCACUUUCUUUUAUACAAAAUGCAUAUAAAUAUUUGUCUUUAUUAUAUAUAUAUAUAACAUAAUUUCAACCAUGGAAGAAAAAAAGAAGACUGUUUUUGGGUUGAUGGAGCUUACGUGGGAUUUCAGUGAUAUUCUGAACUUACGUCUCUGUUGUUUUCUCAUUUGGCUACGUGUAGUUCAGGCUUGUGUGGUAAUAAGUUCCCAAUUGAUCAUCCAAAGAAGCUAUAUAUGAACAAAAAAGUAAACUAAUAUCUCAAAAGAAAAAAAUGUGGCUCUCUCUUUAAUUAUAAUUUAUUGAAUUAUCAUAUUUAUAAUUGCUUAAUUUAUGCAGGAGUGGCUCUCUUUCUUAUGCAUGGUUUUGCAGAAGGUUUUGGAGGAUAUGGAGAUCAGUCCUCAAAUUUUCAUAUAGGUUUUUCCCUUGUUUUCUUUGUUCUCACGACAUAACGCUCUCUAUCCUCUCCAUUUACACGGACGGGGCGGGGGGGUGCACUGACCAACGGUUUGGCGGCUGCCUCCUCCUCUCCACACAGCAGCAGGCGGCACCGAAAACUGAUAUAUAGAAGGGUGGCGAGUGGGCUGAAAACUGGAAAAUCUGCCGUUAUUAUACAUUAACUUUUUGGUAGAUUUAUGUAACUGCAAAGCUAGGGGCUUAGGGUCUGAACACUGG